rnacentral:lncRNA from 1 species
AAAAUAAAAAAAAAAAAAAAAAAAAAAAAAAAACUCCCUCAAAAUUCCAAUUGAAUACACUUAGGGCUAGUUUGGGAUUGAUGUGUUUUUUUAAUAAAUUGCUUAUGCUAUGCAUUAAGAGUAAUCAGAUGCAAAAAAAUAAUGAUCAACUGCAAAAUAAAGCAGUUGAGCGUUUGAUAAACUGUAUUUUUAAAAGUGUUAUGAGUAUGAAAAACAAUGUAAAAGUAGUGUCUAGAAGGAUAAAUAAUGUCAUUGUUUAAAACUAAUGAGCUUAUUAUAGGAAUUGAAAUUAUUCUAAAGGCUCAACUUCACUUUUUAUUAAAGCAGCUUUUAAAAGCAAACUAAAAACUGCUUUUAAAAGUUGUUGUUUGGAGGCCAUUAUUUUUAAAAUAAGCAGUAUAUUUUAUUUCUACCAAACACAUUUUUACUGCUUAACUUUAAAGUGAAGCAAUUUUUGGCAAAAAAAAGCAAUACCAAACUGGACCUUAGUCUCACAAAAACAUGUUCCAAAUAAUUUGUGGCAUUUUCUGAAGAGAUGGACAUUUGAUUAGUACUGACUACUAAAUCUAAGAAAAUAAGUCAAUUAGUAUGUAUGUCUUCGGUUUGACUGACUGUUUGGUUCUUUCUUUAAUUGAUGACAUGGUGAGCAUGAGACUCGUAUAUAGAUUGAUGUGUAGGAAAUAUUGGCACAAUAUUAACAAAAAAAUCAAUUUAAUGCAGGAUUAGAUGUUCAAACAAACAAAAGAUAGAAACUGAUACAAGUUCAAAACCUCAAGGUGCAAUGUGAAAAAGUUGAAACUUCAUAGCCCAUUUGAAAACCAUCUUAAUCCAAGGUGUAAAACGUAAUUAGACCAUUUUUAUCAGAACCAAUCCUUAGUUAAAAUACAAGUGAAUUCUACAAAAGUACUUAAAGUGCUUCCUGCAAGAAGCACAUAAUUGAUGCUUCUUCCAAAAUGCACGUCAAUCGUUUUUGGAACUCAAAAAAACUUUUACUAAUAGCACUUUCAAUCACUUUAAAAGUAUUUCCAAAGGAGUCCAAAUGUUCAUUUUCGAUUGAAGUGUUUGUUUAUAGUUUUUACUAAAUUUUUGCACUCUACUUUCACUCAUGCACUCCUUUAUCUUUGUCUAGCCUUAUGAUUGAGUAAAUUUCCUUCCCAACACAAAUAAAAGGACAAAAAUAAAAGUUUAAGUGCUAAAUGAAAAGGUGAAAGUGUGUAAUCUCUUUCCCAACUUAUAAACCAAUAUCUACAUAUUAGUAGUUUUUAUAUGUGCGUGAAUGAUUGUGAGUUGCUAAUGAAUGUGAAUCUUUCUCUUGAUGCACUAUGAGACUGACUCACAUUCAUUUAUAGCUCAAAGUCACAAAUCCUUGUGUGAGAGACAGAACAUUGCAUUCUUCAGGCUGGAACCCACUUCUCAGCCCUUGUAGAAGUUCAUCGAGCCAUGCUUUGCAAGUAAGGCCAUCUGCAAUGGAGGGUUAUAGGUCCAAAAGCCAAAAUAUUGCAUGAUUUGCCCAAAAAAUCAUCUCCAACCGAUAGCUAGACUAUACUUCUAUGGAGCCCACCUGGCCAUUAUUUGGCCAAAGGGGCAUCAAGUUGGCCAAAUGUAGCCCUCCUCUUAGCCCUUUUUUUGGCACUCAACUCCUCAAUUGCGAUAAUUGAUUCAAAUUUAAUGGCUAGAUUUGAAAACAUUCAAUGGUAGUUCAAUUAUAUUAACCAAUAAAUUUAAAGUAUAAAAUUUAAAACUAACAAAUUAUUGAGGGAUUAUGUUUAGCCCCUUCGAUUGGAGAUGAUAUAUGAGUAUUGUUUGUCACUGUUCAUUUAAAAAUAUUUUUUUGCAGAACUAUGUUUAGCCUUUUCGGUUGGAGAUGGUCUAAAGUUGUGGAUAAAGAGUAGGAAUUGGACACUUUUCGUCCAGCCCUAGGCUAACCCCAAUUGUUUUAGGGACAAUCCUCUUUCUCAAUCAUAACAUUUUACACACGAGCCUCACGCGAAUGCAGAAAAUAUUUUUUGAAUCACGGCGUGCUACGCGCGACUUACAUGUUUUAAAUGUAUUUAUAUGCGUGAAUUGACAAAAGAAAAGUCAAAUAUUUGAAGUAAAUGAAUAAUCUUAGAUUAUGCUAGAAAAAACCCCUCACAAACCAAUCAAAGUAGCUGAACUCACAUAAUAAAAUCGGUCUUUCAAUUUCCAUCGAAAUUCUAUUGAAUUUACAUUAAGAAUAGAGAAAAUAAUAUUUAAUAAACAACUGAUUGAAUCACAUUAUUGUUAGCCCAUUGUGAGGCUAAGCCCAUCCCCUCCUUCUUGGUGUAGAUGUUAUUGUUUGUUAAAAAAAAAAUCAUUUGACAACUAAUUUAAUUACAUUAUUAUGUGCGUGCGAAAGACUUUUUUUAUAACUAGCAUUACAUGCCACUUAAGAUGUUUUAAACGUGUUUACAAAUAGAGAAAAUAAUAUUUAAUGAACAAUUGUUUGAAUCACAUUAUUGCUAGCCUAUUGUAAUGUACUAAUUAAAAAAAAAACUAUACUAAAAGAAUUAAUUAUUAAAAAAAGUACUGUUAAAAUGACAAAAAUACCCUUGUAUUAUUUAAUGCAUUAUUUUGGAUUGCUUUUGAAUUUUUUUUGUUUUGGGGAUAUUUUUGUUCAAAAACUUUUGGUGAAGCUUGUGACCCUAAAAAAAUUUGUUGGCUUUAUAUAUAAAGAUUAUUAAUCUUUACCAUUUCAUUUUCAAACGUUAUCAGAUAAAUCCUGGUAAUAUUUUUAAUCAUAUAUCAUUUAAUCUUAUUAUCAUGGGGCUUUAUUUGUUAAAUUGUUUUGUUUUUAAUCCAUUUCGUGUCCUUCGUUUGUUGUUUUCUUCUUUAAUAAUUAUUAAUAAUGUCACGUCAUGUCCCACUAUAGAUAGUUGCAUUUGGGUGGAUAUGGACACCUUUACUUCCUCAGCAAGAUUGAUACAACAAAGAAAAUGUUACUUUCAUGUGGAAGUAAUAACUUUCUACUACUUUAAAAUACCUUUUUCAGUUUUUUUUAAUAUGGAAUUAGCCGUUGGAUCAAAUUUCAAUAGUUCGAAUCUUCUGAUUUGAUGGAUUAUGAGGAAGGGAUCCGGAGAGAAUCCCUUUCCCUUAUUACCUUUCAGGCAUUACAUCUUUGUGCAAGCUUAAUUCAUCUCAAUUGUUGAUAGUGAUUUGCCAUCUAUCCAUAGUUGGUAGGGUCCCUUUAUAUGACCUUCAAGGCUUUGGACUUGGCUUAGUCUCAUCAUACAACCAAUUAACUUAAGGCUCUACUUAGUUACAAGUCCAUGCUUGACGUCAUAAAAGAACAUUAAACACAAGCAAAAUUUAAGGAGUGAGACAAAAUUUAAUAACAAAGGUAAUACAAUUAUUAGAAGGAUAAUAAAAAGGUUUAAUAUAUAAAAUUUUAGAUUUUAGAGUUUUUUUAUAAAAUAUAACUUGUUUAGAAGUGCUUUUAAAAUUACUAAAAGAGCUUUUAGAGAAAGUGUUUUUGGGUUUCAAAAACACUUGAAGUGAAUUUUGCAAGAAUCACCAGUUAUGUGCUUUAAGUGCUUUUUCAGAAUUUACUUGUAUUUUUACUAAAAAUUAGUUUUAAAAAUAUUCUCACAAAAAAUGAUUUCAGAUAUUUUAAAAGCAUUUUUAUACAGAUGGCUUUUAGGUCAAUAUUCCUUUAAUAUUCUAUGAAAAAUAUAAACAGUGUUCGAUAUAGAAAGAAAGAAAUCGACGAGACGACGUAUUUGGAAGUUUGUGUAUGAACUAGUAUCUGAGGACCGCGUCAACAAACAACUCAUCACUCAACAAGCAACACACAAUGUCAAUGGGUUCUCUGAGACUCUCAGACUCAGUCUGACUGAGAGAGACAGCCUCCAAAACCUCAAACCCUGCUGGUACUGCUGCUGGCGGAGCUCUAGAGAGAGAGAGAGAUAGAGAGACAGAAAGCUCAAAGCUCAAAACAUGGCCGAUUCCAAAGUGGAGACAAUCUCCCGAUUAGCCCAAUGGAGGAUCGAGAACUUCGGACCUUGCUCUUACAAAAAGUCCGACCCUUUCCGGCUCGGAAUCUGGAAUUGGUACUGCCCGCAACACGCAUUUUUUUUACUUUGAUUCAUCUGUUUAUGCGGGUUAUGAAAUUUGAUGAUCUUUUUUGGUUGGGAAAUUAGGCAUUUUUCGAUAGAGAAGAAUCGGUACCUCUACAUUCGUCUGUUUCCAGAGCCGUCGCGGGUGUCGAAAGAACAGCCUCCCCUUGCUCGCUUUGUUCUCAGAGUCUCUAGCCCCGGCCCCGGCCCCGGCCGUAAGCCUUACAUCUCUCCUGGUAUUUCUCUUUCUCUUGCACUUUCAAUUAAAAUUCUUGAACUUUUUGGGGAUGGUUUGUGAUUGAUUGGUGACGAUGAUUGCUGUGGAUUUGUCACCUUUGGGAAUGUGGUUAUAUUGAUUUUAUUAGGGUUGCAUCAGCUCAAAAUUGUGUAAAAUGCAACUUCAAAUGCUAAAGGGUGUUUCUCUUUCAAUCGAAGGGGUAAUUCUUAGUCGAAUAUAGAUCAAUCUCUUCCAUUGUUCAUAUGGGUUUGAUAUGGUUUCUAUACUUUUUUGGAAGUUAGUAUAUGAGUGAUUGAAAUGUUCGUAAGUUGCCAAUAGCUAAGUCGAGUUAUUGGAAGUAGUACAUAAUUAGACUACAGAGGAAAAGAAAACAAAAUCGAUACUGUAGUAGUGCUUAGCGAAAUGGGAGCUGCCUACACAACGAAAAUGGGGUUGUGGGAGAGCAUUACCAACUUAGUAGAGUUAUUAAAAGUAGUACAGAGUCAUGGUAUCAUAUCUGAAGAGUGAAGGCCGAUGAAUUCUUUUCGUUCCAUAUUGAUGGAUUUCGUUUUUGUUGUUUUCUUAGAUAUGUUUUGUAUGAAUUCUCCAGUGAUAUUUUGAGGCAGAACUGAUAGAGGAUCUUCACAUGUCCCUUGUCAAAUAUAUCAUAUACCUGUGUUUCAGCAUGCUCGUCAGAACAUGGUAUAAAUUAAUAUGUAACUAGACACAACAAAUUCAGACAGCAAAAUUCCCCUCGCUCACUGGAACUCUGGAAAAUUUAAACGUCAUCAGAAAUAUUUACCUCACAUAUAUUUGUUUUAGAAAUCUCCUUUUUUAUGGCCUUUUCUUUUCCUUUUAAUCCAGAAUGCAUUAUGCAGUAAUUCUGCUCCUGUGAUGUUGUUCUGCCUCUUGUUACAGUUCAUGAAAGACUGCUUCGUACAAGUGAAGACUUUGUCUGGCCUGUUGAUUCCACCUUCCUUGGUCGCUUCAUCAUUGAUGUUGAGUUUCUCGACUUGAAGAUAUGCCAUUCAAAUGUAAGUUCCAUAACAUAAUUAUCUGUGUGUUAGUUUCUUUAUAAAAUUUGUUGUAUCACACCAAAUGGAUUUCCAUUAUUGUUGGUUAUCUCCUCACUGGUGGACCAUGGGCGGCAAACCAUCAUUUAACCGUGGAAACAAUUAUUCUGUUUUUAGCUUGUUUUACCUAGAUUAACUAACAUGUAGCUCAGUACCAGUGUCUGGAGGACAUGAUUUCUUGCAAUUGUAUUUUAGUUCAACCAUGUAUGUAUACAUCCUUUAAGAGUGGUAAGUUAUUUUAUGAAAUCAGGGCGGGGAAGCUAGUCCUGUAUGGCCUGCUGAUGGAUUGAUGCAAUCUGUGUCAACCCAAAGCACUCUCCGGUGCCUCUCUCGCAUGCUUGAUGAGGGCAUCCAUGCUGAUGUUACUAUCAACACUGCUGAUGGCAGUUUAAGAGCUCACAAAGCAAUUCUUUCUGCAACUUCUCCCGUGUUCCAAAGCAUGUUCAGUCACGACCUUAAGGAAAAAGAGUCCUCCAUAAUCCACAUAGUAGACAUGUCCCUGGAAUCUUGCAUGGCACUUCUAAGUUACCUCUAUGGAACCAUUAAACAAGAAGAUUUCUGGAAGCACCGGUUGGCACUUCUAGGGGCAGCAAACAAGUACGACAUUGCAGACUUAAAAGAUGCUUGUGAGGAAAGCCUUUUGGAAGAUAUUAACUCAACGAAUGUCCUUGAGAGGCUGCAAGACGCCUGGUUGUACCAGCUGAAUAAGCUUAAGAAAGGAUGCUUGAUGUACUUGUUUGAUUUUGGAAAAAUAUAUGACGUGAGAGAAGAAGUAAGUAACUUUUUCAGGCAUGCAGACCGAGAAUUGAUGACGGAAAUGUUUCAGGAGGUGCUUACUGUUUGGAAGCCUGUGUAGGUUACCAUGGUAUUCUUAGUGUCAUAUGCAAUCAGGUGAAAGAUACAUGUAUGUACAUUUGUGAGUCCUUUGGUUAUAUGCAUAUAUGAGGAUGUUGUGAGCUCAUAAGAGAGUUGUUAGUCUGAAGUUUAGUUUUGGCUCUCAAGUGUUGUUUGAGUGAGAUAAUGCAUGUUGUUUGAGUGAGAUAAUGCAUGUUGUUGUAGCCAAUCUUAAAUCUUGUAAUGAAUUUGCGUAUUUCGGUUUUGAAAUUGUUAAAAGCUAAGGGUUGUUUGAUAACUAUUUUAUUUCUGCUUGAUUGUGGUCACGAGGAGGGUGAAAUUUCCCAUGGCCUCUCAAGACCAAAAUGGGUGGAUAAUUGUGGUUUGCUAUAGUUGUCUCCUUUUUUUUUUUAUACUUUUUUUUUUCCAAGAAGGAAAAAAAAAUUAUAUUAUGAUGAAAUUGAGGUCUAUUAUCAAAAUAAUCUAUCCUUUAGGUUUUCAUUCUAUUGUAUCGCUCCUCAAACAUUCACUCAAAUUAUAUUUUGUCAUUAUCAUUUUAUAUUUAUAUGAUGUAUUGUUCAUGUAUGAACAUGUUAAUGAUAUUUUAUAUUUAUAUGAUGUAUUGUGCCUGUAUGAACAUUUUUAAUGAUCAAACAAUUUUCGAAACUCCGCCUAUGUAAGUUUAUCUUACAUUGCCGGUCCCAAGCCCGGAUAAAGGAGGAGGGGGAGGGCGUCAGGUAGUCGACAGCCGGCACUCCACAGUUACGUCGAAUCCUUAUGACAAUGAAUCCAGAACGAAAUCGCGCUAAAGCUAGGACGUCACCCGUAAGUGGCGCGCUGUGUGGCCCGAGCACAGUGAUAAGUGAGCAAGGGUCGUUGUAUCUCCAUCGGCACCCGGAUGCAGUGUUAAAUGAGCAAGGGGGCCAUAGAAACUUCUUUUCGAACGACUCCACUCAAAGUUGUUUGGGAGCAUAUGCUCCUAUCAACUUUACACAGGACACACAAAAGAAGUACUUUGAUCCUAUUAGACGGGGGAUGGUGAAGAAGCUAGGACAGAAGGGUAGAGUUCAAGAGAGUAGAAUGCGUUUAGGAACGUGGAAUAUAGGAACCUUAACAGGAAAAUCUAUGGAAGUAGUGGAAGUUAUGGUGAGGAGAAGGAUAAAUAUUAUGUGCCUACAAGAAACUAAGUGGGUUGGUCUUAAGGCAAAGGAUCUAGAAAACUCAGGGUUUAAGCUUUGGUAUUCGGGCACAAAUAGAACGAGAAACGGUGUUGGCAUCAUUGUGGACAAGACCUUGACACAAGAUGUGUAGAUGUCAAGAGGGUAGGAGAUAGAAUCAUGACAAUCAAGAUUGUAAUAGGACAAGAACUCAUCAAUGUGAUUAGUGCGUACGCACCUCAAGUAGGGUUGGAUACGAGUUCGAAGGAGAAAUUUUGGGAAGACCUUGGAGACUUGGUGCAAGGAAUUGCUCAGACGGAGAAGUUAUUUAUAGGAGGAGAUUUAAAUGGACACGUGGGCAGGGAGACAGGCAACUAUGAAGGUUUUCAUGGUGGCCAUGGUUUUGGGGAAAGAAAUGAGGAUGGGGAAGCUAUCUUGGAUUUUGCAAUGGCAUAUGAUCUCUUCUUAGCCAACACCUUCUUUAAGAAGAGAGAAGAACAUGUGAUCACCUACAAGAGUGGGUCGUCAAAAAACACAAAUAGAUUUUCUUCUAAUGAGGAAAGGGGACCGUAUAACUUGUAAGGAUUGCAAAGUUAUACCGGGGGAGAGCUUGGUUAAUCAACAUCGCUUGUUCGUGAUGGAUGUACAUAUCAAAAGAGUGAGGAAAAAGAACAAGACUUGGAAGUGCCCAAAGACUAGAUGGUGGAAUCUAAAAGGAGAAAAACAAGUCAUUUUCAAAGAGCAAGUAAUCACCCAGUGUGUGUGGGAUAGAGAGGGGAAAGCUAGCCAAAUGUGGGAUUCCAUGGCUAGCUGUAUCCGAAAAGUAGCAAAAGAGGUAUUAGGAGAGUCCAAGGGCUUUGCUCCACACCAAAAGGAAUCUUGGUGGUGGAAUGAGGAGGUACAAACAAAGGUGAAGGCUAAGAAGGAAUGUUGUAAAGCCUUAUACAAGGAUAGGACCGAUGAAAAUGGUGAAAGGUAUAGAAGAGCGAAGCAAGAGGCGAAGAAAGCUGUGAGAGAAGCUAAGUUAGCUGCUUAUGACGAUAUGUAUAAGCGACUAGAUACCAAAGAAGGAGAGUUGGAUAUCUAUAAACUAGCUAGAGCAAGGGAAAAGAAGACAAGGGACCUAAACCAAGUGAGGUGCAUCAAGGAUGAGGAUGGAAAGGUUCUUGCUACAGAGAACGCGGUCAAAGACAGAUGGAGAGGUUAUUUUCAUAAUCUUUUUAAUGAAGGACAUGAAAGGAGUACUCCUUUAGGGGAGUUGAGUAACUCAGAAGAUGUAGAAACUACUCCUUUUAUCGUCGAAUCAGGAAGGAAGAAGUGGUUGUAGCUUUGAAGAAGAUGAAGCAUAGAAAAGCAGUGGGCCCAGACGAUAUACCGAUUGAAGUGUGGAAAGCCUUGGGAGAGACAGGUAUAGCAUGGCUCACUGACCUUUUCAAUAGGGUUUUGAAAACGAAGAAGAUGCCAAACGAGUGGCGAAAGAGCACCUUGGUGCCUAUUUACAAGAAUAAGGGCGACGUACAAAAUUGCAUGAACUAUAUGGGUAUUAAGCUAAUGAGUCAUACAAUGAAGCUCUGGGAGAGAGUCAUUGAGCAUAGAUUGAGGCAAGAGACACGGGUUUCGGACAACCAAUUCGGGUUCAUGCCAGGGCGCUCAACCAUGGAGGCAAUCUAUCUCUUACGAACAUUGAUGGAAAGAUAUAGAGAUGGGAAAGAGGAUUUACACAUGGUCUUUAUAGAUUUGGAAAAAGCGUAUGAUAGGGUCCCAAGAGACAUUCUUUGGAGGAUUUUAGAGAAGAAAGGAGUACGAGUAGCAUAUAUCCAAACUAUAAAGGAUAUGUAUGAAGGAGCAAAGACUGCCGUAAGAACUCAUGAAGGACAAACCGAAAGCUUCCCCAUAACUGUAGGAUUACAUCAAGGCUCAUCCUUAAGUCCUUACCUUUUUGUGUUGGUAAUGGAUGAGUUAACAAGACAUAUUCAAGAUGAUAUUCCUUGGUGUAUGCUUUUCGCAAACGAUAUAGUGUUGAUAGAUGAAACUCAGGAAGGGGUAAAUGCGAAGCUUAACCUUUGGAGAGAAGUGUUGGAAUCUAAAGGUCUUCGCCUAAGCCGAUCAAAGACAGAAUAUAUGGAGUGCAAGUUCAGUGCAAAUGGAGGCCAAAAUGAGUUAGGGGUGAGGAUCGGAGAUCAGGAAAUACCAAAGAGCGACCGUUUUCGCUACCUAGGAUCUAUCUUGCAAAAGAACAGAGAGUUAGAUGGAGAUCUCAACCAUAGAAUACAAGCUGGAUGGAUGAAGUGGAAGAGUGCAUUCGGCGUGUUGUGUGAUCGUCGUAUGCCAUUGAAGCUUAAGGGAAAAUUUUAUAGGACGGCGAUAAGGCCGGUGAUGCUGUAUGGCACAAAAUGUUGGGCGGUGAAGCACCAACACGUACACAAAAUGGGUGUAGCGGAGAUGAGGAUGCUUCGUUGGAUGUGUGGGCACACGAGAAAGGAUAAGAUUAGGAAUGAGGAUAUCCGAGGUAAAGUAGGAGUAGCUGAAAUUGAAGGAAAACUGAGAGAAAAUCGGUUACGGUGGUUUGGACAUGUGCAAAGAAGGCCUACUGACGCUCCGGUUAGAAUAUGCGACUACGGGACAGAGGUUCAGGGCCGAAGGGGUAGAGGAAGACCUAGGAAAACUUUGGAAGAGACUCUAAGAAAAGACUUAGAGUACUUGGAUCUAACGGAGGACAUGCCACAGGAUCGAGCACAAUGGCGUUCUAAGAUUCAUAUAGCCGACCCAACUCAGUGACUGGGAUUUUUCAAGUCUCCAAUCGAGAAGUUUUCCCCACUCGGGAAAUUAAGGGAACACUACCUCAACCUACAUGCUCCACUCACAAAGCUUCAACAUACAAGCUUCAACAAAAGAAAAAUUCAAAGAACUUAGUGAAGAAGGCUUUGGUGUAUUUAACACAAUACGUUGAAAUGAAACAAAGCUUAUUUAUUGAUAUCUCUAAGAAGUUACAAAUAUGUACAUAUACACGAGUCAAAAUAAACAAACAAGAUGGAGCCUUCACAAAGGUUGCUUAGGAGAAGUCUCAGCAGUCGGCAGAGCCUCAGAAGGAGAAGGCACCGGAGGGGGAUCAUUCGGAGCCUCAGUACUGGACAACACCCUAGAAGGAGGAGGCAUCGGAGGUUGAUCAUUUGGAGCUUCAUUACGCGGUACAGCCCCAGAAGACGAAGGCAAUAAAUGUCUUUGGAACAAACCCACAAACUUCUGAUGAUCAUGUAAAAUCUGACAAUCAGAUUCUUUCAUCUGGUCAAGUUUCCUCUUCAUGUUUGUAGCAUAGUCAUGAGCGAGCCGGUGCAAUUGUUUAUUCUCAUGCUUGAGCCCUCUAAUCUCCUGUUUGAGACUCAUCACUUCAGCCGCCAAUGAUUCAACUUGGCGGGUUCGAGCAAAUAGGCGUUGGGCCAUAUUAGACACAGAACCUGCACACUGAACACUGAGAGCCAGAGAAUCCUUAACAGCCAACUCAUCAGACCGUUUGGAAAGUAGUCUGUUAUCUUUGGGAGUGAGAAGGUUUCUGGCCACCACCGCAGCGGUCAUAUCAUUCUUCAUAACGGAAUCCCUAACGGUAAGAGGACCAGUAGGGGAUAAGAAGGAUGGGCGCCAUAUGUUGUCUGGAGAAGGCGUGGCUGCCUCUUCAACAAGGUUCAAGUCAAAACGACGGUCGGAGGGGCCAGACAUUUUCAAAGGUGUUGAAGAGAAAAGAGGUCGGACAAAUCAAAAUCUUAGAAAUGCAAAAAGGGAGCUUCUACUGGUGGAGAUUCAAGUGUGCUUUGGAACUUAAUACCAGCCUCUAUAAAAAUCCGCACUCGAUGGAGCUUCAGAAAUCGAAGAGGCGCCUGCUCAGAAAUCGAAAAGGCGUUUGCUUUCUCAAAAGCUGGGCUGCUCAGAGACCACGAGGGCCGAUCUCAGGAAUCGAAGAGGCGUUUGCUUUCUCAAAAGCUGGGCUGCUCAAAGACCACGAAGGUCGAUCGCAGAAAUCAAAGAGGCGCUUGCUUUCUCAAAAGCUGGGCUGCUCAGAGACCACGAGAGCCGAUCUCAGAAAUCGAAGAGGCACUUGCUUUUUCAGCCUUGUCAGCACCUGUCACAUGCACACUCAACUUUGCGGAAAUUACGGGCAUCCUGUCGAAGAUUUCUAGUGAAGUAGAAAGCACGUGAAUGUUACUGUUCAAUCAUUCACUUUCCACACGCAACAUCAGCCAACGGGUACCACAUAUAACUUUGCCAAAAAUCUCUGACAAAGUUUAGACACGUGAAGCUUGCAGCUCCCAUUACAUCGCUAUGACCAAGAUAGGUAAAAGAAUAGCAAAGCAACAACACUAACAAAGUUUAGACACAUAAAUUUUGAAGGUCUAGCUACCAUAUUAUUACCCACAAGGGUAAAGGAACAGGACCAUUGUUGGAUAAUUGGAAAGUCCCUGUGGGUCAACCUCUGUGCUCUGUGGCAAGGUAGACUAGCAAACAGGCCUAACCUUUACUCACAUUCGAGAAAACACUCCCAACAAGAUUGCUUGCUUCAAGAUCGAAGAGGCACCGUCCUCCGAAUCUCGAGAGCCAGACUUCCAACAUAAUUACUUUCUCAAAAAACGACGAGACACCGCUCUCAGAAUCUCGAGAGCCAGACUCCUAGCAGGAUUGCUUUCUCAAAAAUCGAAGAGGCACCGUUCUCCGAAUCUCGAGACAGAUCCCCAACAUGAUUGCUUGUUCGAAAACCGAAGAGGCACCGCUUUCUCAACUUCGAAAGCCUCUUAGAUAAAGCUUGUCUGUAAUCCUCACACCGCUUUCUCAACUUCGAGAGCCAGAUCUCCUUGGAUAAAGCUUGUCUGUAAUCUUCACACGUAACAUCAGCUUUCCAGAUAGCACAGACCACUUUUUCAAAGUGCUAUGACAGAGUUAAAACACGUGAAGCUGGCAGCUCCCACUACCGUGCUAUGACCAAGCAGGGUAAAAGAAUAGUAUUACUCCUUGUUAGGGAGACUCCUAUAUAUGUCGACCUCCAUCCUCAACUGACAGGCAGACCUGCAAAAAUGCUCAACCCUUCUUCAUAUCUGAGAGGGCACUCCCAACGAAGCCUCUCGAAAUACUCAGCUUUCUUUCCCCCCGAGAAUACCUCUGCAAACAAGCUACACUAGAGCAAGAAUAUCUCAUAUCAUCAGGGUUAAAAGUAAGAGUAUCCCAUAUCAUGAUUUUUCCCUGUCUUUUCCUUUGGCCUUGUUCUUACCUGCAAGACAAGGAGAAAGAGAGCAAUCAGUCAGCACUUGGAAUCAAGCUUCCAGUCCGGAACUGACUGCCUGGAACCCCAUUGCUCUCGAGUACUCAUCUUCAACAUCUUAUGCUUCCUGAGAAGAUACCACAUCUGCCUGAGGAACAAAUAGGGCAAGUGAGAAGGAUACAAGGAAGCAUGUGGAGACAAGCGCAACAGAACACGUGCCGAUACAUCCACUACUUUGUCAACAGCAAAAGUAUCCCAUAUCAGCAGGGUCGAACGUACUCUAGAUUUGAUGGACUUGUUUUGACCCUCAAAUUCUUCAGUCGGCCUUAUACUCUGGCGGAAACAAGAAAACCCUCCAGCCCAGUUCAAGAAUAAGUCUGUGGAAAGUUACUUCUUCAAAAGCAAAAGUAUCUCAUAUCACCUUUUCUCCUUUUCUUCUCUUUAUCCUUCAUGCUACCUGCAAGAUAAGGAGAAGGAUAACAAUCAGCCGGAACUCGAAAUCAAACUUCCGAUCUGGGACUGAUUGCUUGGAGCUCUGAUUGCUUACCUUGUCUGUCACCUCUUUCAGCAGAUCCCCUAACUCGGCGACUUGAGGGACUCCUACUACAUGGUUUGUAUCGCGCUUGACCAAGCCUGAAACUACAAGUAAGCGUUAAGUGAAAUUGAUACAUUACCUUGUGCAUCUUCACCAGUUAAAGAUACCACCCCUGGAGGGAGGAAGAGUAAUUCCAAAGAAGAUGCCACAUCUACCUAUGAGACAGAUAAGGCAAGUGAAGACGAUACCACACUUCGGUACUUAAAAGUUUCGUGAUUACGAGAUCAUUCUUCCACAAUAUUUCCUAAUGUCAUUUGUACUAAAUCAUUCACUUGUACUCACUAAAGGAGAGCUCGAACCUAUAUACUGUGUAAACCCUUCACAAUUAAUGAGAACUCCUUUACUCUGUAGACGUAGCCAAUCUGGGUGAACCACGUACAUCUUGUGUUUGCUUCCUGUCUCUAUCCAUUUACAUACUUAUCCACACUAAUGACCGGAGCAAUCUAGCGAAGAUCACAAACUUAAUAUUUAAGAUGAUAUUCUUUGGUGUAUGCUUUUCGCAAACGAUAUAGUGUUGAUAGAUGAAACGCAGGAAGGGGUAAACGCGAAACUUAACCUUUGGAGAGAAGUGUUGGAAUCUAAAGGUCCUCGCCUAAGCCGAUCAAAGACAGAAUAUAUGGAGUGCAAGUUCAGUGCAAACGGAGGCCAAAAUGAGUUAAGGGUGAGGAUCGAAGAUCAGGAAAUACCAAAGAGCGACCGUUUUCGCUACCUAGGAUCUAUCUUGCAAAAGAACGGAGAAUUUGAUGGAGAUCUCACCCAUAGAAUACAAGCUGGAUGGAUGAAGUGGAAGAGUGCAUCCGGCGUGUUGUGUGACCGUCGUAGGCCAUUGAAGCUCAAGGGAAAAUUUUAUAGGACGGCAAUAAGGCCGGCAAUGCUGUAUGGCAUAGAAUGUUGGGCGGUGAAGCAUCAACACGUAGGUGUAGUGGAGAUGAGGAUGCUUCGUUGGAUGUGUGGGCACACGAGAAAGGAUAAGAUUAGGAAUGAGGAUAUCCGAGGUAAAGUAGGAGUAGCCGAAAUUGAAGGAAAGAGGAGAGAAAAUCGGUUACGGUGGUUUGGACAUGUGCAAAGAAGGCCUACUGACGCUCUGGUUCGAAGAUGUGACCACGGGACAGAGGUUCAGGGCCGAAGGGGUAGAGGAAGACUUAGGAAAACUUUGGAAGUGACCCUAAGAAAAGACUUAGAGUACUUGGAUCUAACGGAGGACAUGACACAAACCCGAGCGCAAUGGCGUUCUAGGAUUCAUAUAUUUAGCCGACCCCACUUAGUGGGAAAAGGCUUUGUUGUUGUUGUUGUUGUUGUUGUUGUUGUUGUUGUUGAAACAAUUUUCGACAUCUGAUUAUUUUUUCAAGAACAAUUAUUCACAAGGUACAUGAACGAUUUCAAUGGAUGAACCACAUUAUAGAAUGGCGAAGAAGGGAGUAUAUGGGGACUUGGUAUGUGUACGAUGAAGAGUGAAAAAAUUUCGAUGUUGAUCUUGUAACUAUAUCCAGAAUGUGCCGCCCAAAUGCUGUCUGACGGUUAAGUUAAUGAAUGAUUUGAGUCAAACAGUGGGCAAGAGAAUUCAAGUGGGUAGAUUGUUUUACCGUACAUGAAUCCUAGAUGAGUGUAUUUAUACCGUGAGAGAGAUUUUUUUUAAGGAUAAAAUUCUCGUUCUAAGCCACGAGAAUCUUAGAGGAUAUCUAGUAAGUAGAUAUUGCGUUCUCUUAGAAGUUGUGAUUACUUGCGUCGCAUGCUUAUCCCUAGAUUGUAGGGACUCCAAGACUUAUAGAAUCUGAUUCUGCCCAUAUCCGGAUCAGAUCGUGUGUUCUGCGAAACAAGCAUGGUCAUCCAGCAGAGUCACUAGGACUCCGCUUGUUGCCUCGGAGUAGAGUGAUGGUGGCACCCUGCUCCGUCUGAUACAAUUUCAUCUGAAGUUGGUGAGUUCAUGAUCGAACCUAUGAGGUAAUUGUAUUCGAAUCAGCCUUAUUUUGGUCUUGAAAAAUUAUAGUCCCACAAUGAUCCAAACUCAAUUAUUACAAAGUGUUGUUACUCAAAAGUGUGAACCCAAUUGCACACAAUUGAAGCAUGAGAAAUGUUAAGGAGACUCUCAAGGUGGAACUUUUUAUGAACUCUGAGUUUAACUUUAUUUCCCGUGCUAAUAUUAUAAAACAUUGUGCAAAAAGUAUGAGCCUUAACAUUUCUCUUAGAAGCAAUGAAUAAGAUGUCCUAAGAAUAAAAACAAACUUUGCUAAAAAUUCCUAAGUUAUUUUUCGGCUACAAGCCUAAAUAUCUUAUCUUUUUUUUAUCUACUAAACUUUUAUUUUGUUUUUUUUUUCUAACAAAAGAUAUUAAACUACAGAGAUAAGAUUCGAACACUAGACCUCAAAAGAUUUUUCUUAUUUGAUUAAACUGUCGAUUUUCCCUUUGAACUUUCACCAAACUUUUGAUUUACCCAUGAACUUUUAAAUUGGAAAAUCAAGGACUUAAACUAAUUGUUUAGGCCCAUUUCUCCCUUACCGUUAGUUUUCCAUAAAUUUCAGCCAAAUUAACGUUAACUCUUAUCUUGUGCACACCACAUGACUCUCAUUUGAGAAUGAAAAUGUUACUUCGCUAGACCUUCAGACGCAAACACUAUAGAUUCACACAUAUUUGCACAAGUCAACGCUUUAAAAAUCUAAGGUUUUCAAUUAUUUUAAAGAACGAAGCGACCAAACUAUUCUCACAUAUUGUGCACAUAUUUUCAUUUAACAGAAAUUUGGAUAGAAUAAAUAAAAAACUAACAGUUGGAAAAAUUGGUCAGAAUAAUUAGUUCAAGUCCUUGAUUUUUCAAUUUUUCAAUUUUUCAAUUUAAAGAUAAAUAAAAAAUUAAGUGAAACUUUAUAGGGAAAAUCGGCAGUUUACACUUUUUUCUUUGCCAAUUGGAAUUGGUAAUGUUACUUGGAACCUGGGUAGCCCAGCAAACCGACUGGACUAAGUAAGUAACACAUAAAUUCACACAAUUCGAUACUUUUUCCACAAUCUCGAUCAAAUUACAGACCAAAAGAAUUUUCCCAAAACUUUAAGAACGAACCCCUUUGCUACUUUCUCUUCCUCACAGUUUGUUUCUCUGAGCUCUCCAAUGGCUUCCACCCUCUACCAAUACUCAAUCACUCAGCAAAACCAAGCCCUACCAAACACCCACCACCUCCAAUCCUGCGACUGUUUCAUCUUCCACUUCAACUUCACCCACCAACUCCAACUUUUCUUCCCCCAGGACUUGAUUGUCCCACUCAAUUCAAUCCAACAAUCGUUCCUUGUCCCCUUUCAUGUGUUUUUCUCACAGACCCGAGAAACAAUCGAGACCAUUCUAUCCGGGACUGGAGUUUCCAUGGACUUUGUGGAGACUCUGGUGCCGGAAGUUUAUGCUUUGGCCGUGGAGAUUACCCGGAACUCUGAAAAUGCUGAGCCGAUAGUAGUCCCGCUGGAUUUGGAUGUCCUUGCUGUGACCCCUUUUGAUGACCGGGAACAGAUUGAGAGGGCUAUUGUGGAAUCUGGGCUGGUUUAUAAUCCUGUCCCGGCCGCCAAGUCAUUGGGUGCCGGACUAAAGACUGUAAAUAUUGAGAAUUUGGGUGUGAGCAAGGAAUGUAGCAUCUGUUUGGAGGAGCUUUCGACCGGAUUGGAGGUUGUGCUCAUGCCCUGCAAUCAUCUGUAUCAUAAAGAUUGCAUUGUUGAAUGGCUGAAGAGAAGUCACAUGUGCCCCUAUUGCCGCUUCAAGAUGCCCACUUGAUUGCAUUGGAUUGGAUUGGAUUGCGAAAGGUAAAUUCUUGAACUUGAAUUUGGGAUAUCUUGUAUUGGAUUGGAUUAGUGAUUGACGUGAUUAUAUUAACCAGUUGGUGUUUCUCAGUUGCCACACCUGCUCGCUUGAUCACAUUGGCCUAACGGGAUUAUGAUCGAAAUCGCGGUGUUUGAUAGCUGGUGGCAAGGUUCUUGUCCUGGUAUGGCCGCUUCUCUAUAAAUUUUGUGUGUUUGCGUAUUGAUAUGUGAUCAUUCAUAUAAAUCCAUAGCAAUUAUUGAUUUGUAUAUCACUUUUAACUAAAGGUCAAUCCAAGUUUCUAACCAACACGAAGGAACUAAUGAUUUAAUUGAUUGCAUUGAGCCAUUCAGCUUUCUGCUAUGUUACCGACGACGGAGGGAGUCUUAUGGAAAGUUUCCGGUGUUGUGCUUGGAACUGAAGUGCAGGGGACUUGAUGCAUUAGCAAGCUGCUAUGAGUAUCUGAGCCAAGUGCACGAAGGCUAGAUAGAAAAAAUUCGGCGUUCAUAGUUUAAGGUAAAUAGAAAAUGCAGCACAAGUUUAUAUGUAAUGUGUAAUGUAAGAGUGGUUUCUUGAGUCUUGGCAAAGACGAAUGUCAUUGUAUUCGUUAUCGACAAUGCUAAAAGAUUUUUGUCCUCUUUACUAUGAACGAACGCUUUGCUUACGUUACAAAUCAAAGGCAUUCAAGGAGAAAAAAAGGAAAAAGAUAUUAACACUGUACACAAAAAAGAAAGCCAAAAAAAAAAAAAAAAAAAAGAGUAGUGCACAGCUUCUUCUCUUCAAUUGUACAAGGGUGUUUCUAUGCAGAUACUAUUUUCUUCUUUGCCUCAGAUCAGUUAAAAGUUCCCGCCGCGUCGCUCUUGGAUUGGUUUAUUUGAGCCAAGGAGUAGUACCAAACUGCCAGGGCUUGUCAGCCAGUUAGUGGAUGAUCAUGUUAUUUGCGAGUUUGUGCAGGAGCAGACCAUUCAAGCAAGCAGGUUGGUUCCAGAGUUUUUCAUCGCAAAGAGGGAUUUGUUGUUUUGGAUUCGGGAUUCGGGUUUAAGUUGAUUUGGUGAAGGGUAGUUGUUUAUCUCCUCGUUCCAAGGCGUCUCUCCAUUGUCUGUACCUCACUCCUAGCUUGUCAUAUGUCACCGGCCAAUUCCAGACAUUUGCCCCGUUGUUCAUUCGCUCUUGUUGACCUAGCACGAGCCUUAGAUCCUCGUUCAAAACCUGUGGAUUGAACACAAGAAAUUUUGUAAGCAGGAAUGCGAGAAAAAAAGGUUAUGUGAAAAGUAACGUAUGUCACAAACAAUUUUGUUUACCUGUUGGGCAAAAUGCCUCCACAUAAAGUUCAUGAAUGGAACGUGCUUCAGCACGGGCGCAAAAUCCAGUGACAUUCUGUAUAAUAACCUUGUUUUACCUCUCGAAGAAGGUAAGCAUACGUGGAGUUGAUGAAGAUGUGUGGAACACUGUCUAGUACUCUGCCCUUCCAGUUUUCCCGGUUUUGAGAUCCCGAUGGUUGAAUUUACCAUACAAGGUGGUCGAAAUUCCAUAUCUAUAGGAUAAGGGUCCCAAUAUCCUUGGAGGCCAGACGUAGGCGUCAAGAAUUUCACGAAGCUGAAAAUUCAGAUCAUUCACCACAUUAAGUCCUGAUGGAAAGGAUUUGUUGUGAAACAACGGGCUACAACAGAAGCAACUCCACACUGAUGGAUAGAUAUUCGAUUCUACAAAAAAGAAACAAGAAACAAACCUAGGAACACUCCAUCCCUUCGCAAAGGUGGACGUGUGAGUGAAAGGAGCAUGAGCGAGAUCUAAAAGGUUAUCAAGAAGCAGCCCAUGUUCCACUGGGAGUUCUAUGACGAGCUGCCAACAACAGUAGAAAAAUGUUACAACACUCGUCCACGUAUAGAAACAAUCACUAAACCUUGUUUUAGAAGAGGUAAAAGGAUAAGAAUUUUAUCUGUAGCAUACCUCGGCGUGGAUUUGAAAUCCUGCAGGAGGUUGUAAAGAAGGAAGGGUGGCUGACGGAGGAUCAGCACCGGGCCAAAUCCACAACAUUCCAUCUUUCUCGAAACAUGGCAAUGACUUAAUCUUCACUUUGUGUAAUCGCGUAGAUGGCAUUUUUUCACAUGUUCCAUCGGUUGAAUACUCCCACCCUGAAAUUUAUCCAUCACAAUGUUGUCAAACUGUUGAGUCCUAUAAUCAUAAAAUGUCCCUUGUCGUACUUUAUGACCUAAAUAUAGCGCAAAUGGCAAUGCCCCUUAAACAUGUCACUAACCAUGGUAAGGGCACGUGAUACGGCCCUCAUUUACUGAGCCGAGGUCAAGAGGGCAAGCUCUGUGCGCACAAGUAUUCUGCACACAUCCAGGUUUCCCAUCUUUUCCACGAAAGAGAACCCAUGGUUCCUCAAAACAAUCAAGUGGCACCUGAAAAAGGAAAAUCGAUGAGACUCUUGUUAGAAGACAUACUAGAAAACAAGUUCUCCAAAAGAUUAACUCCGCAGAAGAAGUGUAAUCCGAUAGAUAAUAUCAAACUCCAUAAUGUUCAAACUAUAAUAUAGCAACGAAAACCUAUGCCACUGAACUAACUAUGUUUUUUGUUGUUGUUGUUAAGGCUAAUGUAGCUAAUGCACAAAUAAUGAAUGCCAAAUUCGAAGAACUAGCCUACCAUGGUAUCAUCUUUCAGGUCAGUGGUGAAGGCAACAGGAUACCAAAAAUUCUUCAAUCGGGGAUGGUAGGAUUGAACUGGACCUGAAACGUUCAAGCUUUUUCGAGGAGGCUUCCUUUUUACAGAAUCUAGAGAUUGCGUAGAAGUGCUGGGAGAAGGGGAUGCUUCCUCGGAAGAUGUAGUUGCUCUAUCCUGUAACAGCUUAUCAUUCACUAAUUCUUCCAUGUAAGCCAAUUUAUCCAACGCUGUGGAAACCCUUGCUUCCGAUAUAUGAACCUGUUGUAAAUCAAUUUCAAUAGUAAGUCUCUGAUCAGCUGAAUAGUCUAGAACUAAUUAAUCUUCGUAAGUACUCAAUUUUCAAGGCGGAUAAAUGGAAGGCAAUUUCAAGUUAUUUGCAAGUUACAAGGUUUUAUAUCUUCAGGUGUUAAAAAAUUAUGUACCUGUCUAUGAGCCUCCCCUAGUUCUUCUUGCAACUCUGCGAGCUCCUUUUUGACAGUACCUAUAGACUUAUAUUCUCGGGCUAGAGGAUUUAGAACGUCCACAACCUGAGCAGCCAUACUCGAGUGUAAGAAUCCCAACGGAAAAUUUCAAAAGCUAAUAAGAUAAUUACUAACUAAACAAUAGUUUCCUCCCAUGAAUCAAUGCUCAAUGCGCAUCACUAGCAUUUUUCAAGAUUUUGAGAUUCGAACUUGAUAUAUCGUCUAGAAUCCAGAUAGAAGUUACUCAUAUUAGCACUCUGACCUUUUCAUGGAGGAGCAUGAUUGCGAGCACAUCUUGCCGAGCUCGCCAAUCACAAUACUGUAUAUCAAAUCUAGCAACUUCCAAGGCCUGGUUUGCAUCCAGAAACUUGCCCUUAGAUUGUGGAAAUUUCGACCUUGGAUCCUCCACAUCAAAGAGUGUGCUCCAAGCAUUCUUCUUCUCUAUAUCUGACUGCUCUCCGAAUACAGCAAAUACUCGAAAUCCUCCUUUCACACCCUGAAAUUUAACACACCCAACCACCUAAGCCACCACAUGAUAAUUUGGUCUACAUUCAUUAGAUAAAGAUCAUAAGCACUAGUUUCAAUCGACAACUCAAUUAACCAACAAACCAACUAAAUUCCCCUUCAAAAUUAGCUUGUGCCCACUUAAAUAAAGGUGAAACCUAUCCAAAUUUGUAUACUUUUCCACUAAGCACUUAUCAAACACACUAGAUAUGGGCUUGUUUGGAAAUGCUUAUCCAGAAAACACUUAUCCACAUAAGCAGUUUGAACUUUGAAGAACGACCGAAACUUGAAAUAAAAACCCUAAAAGUCGCUUUUGCAAUACAUGAACACUUAUAAUAUGUCAUACCACACAUUAUCAUAAGCACUUUCGAUUAUCUAAACCGCUUUCGAAAAAAGGCCCCUAACAUGCAUUAUUCCACAUUUCAAUGUACAAGUCUCUCAGAAUUGAUAAGUGAAGUCUGAAUUCGUACCUUCCUGGUGCUAAGCUUGGUCGUUCUGCAAAAAGAUAUUGGCAGAGAUAGAGCUGCAGCUGUGGCUACAAUGGUCAUGGCGUUUGAAGCUGACAGACUCAUGGCAUAGAGAGAGAGAGAGAGAGAGAGAGAAAACGUAAGAGAUAUUGGUGUCACAAAUUUAUUGUUGGAAAGUUUUGUUGAUAAGUGGCUACUGUAGCCCGCGAUCUCAGUUCUCCUCCCACGACACGCCACGUGGAUGCAGUUGGAUAACACGUGGCAAGCUCUAGUUCCACAUGCUAUUUGCUUGUGUUGAGGAGUAUCUGGCAGAAGUGGGGCCCAUAUAUGGUGCCAGCUCGGAUGACCAAGAUAUCCUGAUCUAUCCACCCCGUUUAGUGUAUUUUGUCUUUGCACUUCGAUUUUUCAAGUGGAUUGGGUUUCGAAGUGGGUGGGGGCUACACCUCUAAUUUUAUUUUAUUUUUCAAUUAAAUGAUAAAUUUGUUAUAUUAGUUACCGAUGAAGUUCGAAUUUACGUCAUCAUGCAAGAGCACAAGUCUUUUUCACUACUGUGGUAAAAGGCCACAUGCUAAUUUUUUAAAUGUGGAAGGUUCCAGGUUCAAUGCUUCGAGCUGGUGAGUCUACUUAACUGUAGCCACGGCUUACAGACUUGACUGUGGCUACGGUUCACGGGCAGAGUGAAAUUCCCCAUAACUGUACCUAAAAGGAGUAAAUAAUCGAAACUUACCAUCAAUUGUCCUCUUUUUCUUGUUUUUUUUUCACUUUUUUAUUUAAAAAAAAAAGAGAUAAAUUGUUUGGAAAAGGGUGAUUGUUUGUGAUCAAAGAUGUUGAUGGUUGUGAAUUGUGAUUAGUGCUUAAGUGUGUAGCAUCUUAUUUUCAAGUCAAUUAAAAUUUUGAAAAGAGAGAGUAUACGCUUUGACAUGCUUAAUGGGUUGGGCUCAAUUUCGCUGUCGGGCCGGUACAACGUCAACUUUGGCCUGGGCAUUUGCUCACUGCUAGACCUGUAAACAAGUCGGGUUUAUUGAGUUUGGGUCGGGUUGAACCCGACCCGUUAAGUUAAUAGGUCACCCGAACCUGACCCGUUAAACUAACGGGUCACCCGUUUCACCCGUUAACAUUCGUUAACAAUUAUUUUUAUUUUAUUUUUGCAUAGAGUUUAUAUUUUGUUGUUAAGACUUUAUUGAAAUUACUAAAACAUCUUCAACUAAAGGGUGUUAACGGGUCUAACGGGUUGACCCAAAGUGAUCCGUUAUUUAACGGGUUGACCCGUUAGCGAUCCGACCCGUUAAGCAUCCACCCAAAUACUAAUAUUAACGGGUCGGGUCGGGUCCAAAAUGCCAGGUCUACUCAUUGCAAUGGUUUGAUCGUUGUUAUGCCUCGCGGGAUGGGAUGAAAAAGGAUAAUAUCUGUCUCUUUUAUGGGGAGACUUAGGCCAUCUCCAACCGAAGGGUCCAGAAGGAUAAUAUCUGUCUCUUUGCAUAGAGUUUAUAUUUUGUUGUUAAGACUAUUGAAAUUACUAAAACAUCCUCAACUAAAGGGUGUUAACGGGUCUAACGGGUUGACCCAAAGUGAUCCGUUAUUUAACGAGUUGUUAACGGGUUAACCCGCUAGCGACCCGACCCAUUAAGCAUCCACCCAAAUACUAAUAUUAACGGGUCGGGUCGGGUCCAAAAUGCCAGGUCUACUCAUUGCAAUGGUUUGAUCGUUGUUAUGCCUCGCGGGAUGGGAUGAAAAAGGAUAAUAUCUGUCUCUUUUAUGGGGAGACUUAGGCCAUCUCCAACCGAAGGGUCCAGAAGGAUAAUAUCUGUCUCUUUGUAUAGAGUUUAUAUUUUGUUGUUAAGACUAUUGAAAUUACUAAAACAUCCUCAACUAAAGGGUGUUAACGGGUCUAACGGGUUGACCCAAAGUGAUCCGUUAUUUAACGAGUUGUUAACGGGUUAACCCGCUAGCGACCCGACCCAUUAAGCAUCCACCCAAAUACUAAUAUUAACGGGUCGGGUCGGGUCCAAAAUGCCAGGUCUACUCACUGCAAUGGUUUGAUCGUUGUUAUGCCUCGCGGGAUGGGAUGAAAAAGGAUAAUGUUUGUCUCUUUUAUGGGGAGACUUAGGCCAUCUCCAACCGAAGGGUCCAGAAGGCCAAAUGGCCGAAAAUAGUCCGAAAACCGUCUCUAACCGAGGGCCAGACCAAAGGGCUAUGGAAUCUGGGAGGGCCCCACAGAAUCGGGAAGGGCUGGAGGGUUGGCCACUUCCAGCCAGCCAGCCAGCCCCAAGCUGGCCAUUUUUUUUUUGAAGUGUUGGAUUUCCUGUCGGUUAAAACCGACAGGAAUAGUAUAUAAUAUAAUGAAUUAAAGCUAACGGCUACUGGGAUAUUUAUUAAUUAGUAUUAGUGUCGGUUAUAACCGACACAAAUACUAAUUUGAAUUAAAGCUAACUGCAGCUAGCUGUUGUAUUCAAAUAUUUUUUUUUUGAAUUUAAACCUUUUUUAACUUCUAUAAAUAUGGUGAAGCUCUUUCAAUUCUUCACUUCAUUUGCAAUAUUUCCUUCAAUAUAUUUUUCAACAUUUCCUUCAAUAUAUUUUUCAAUAUUUCCUUCAUCUGCAAUAUUUCUUUCAAUUUUUCAAUAAUUUCCUUCAAUAUUUUUUCAAUAAUUUAAAUAAUAAAUUAUGUUUGGCCCUAUGGCCCUCGGUUGGAAACGGUUUUUUGUGACAUGGCUAAAACAAGCCCUCUGGCCCUCGGUUGGAGACGGAGGCAAAUAUGGCCCUAUACUGUUCAUUAAAAUAUUAAUAUCUUGGAGAAUCUUGGAGGGCCAGAGGGCUAAAACGAGCCAUCUGGCUAGCCAUCGGUUGGAGAUGGCCUUACUUGUCUUCUCACUUGCGACUAACAAACUUUUGCUGUUCCAUCAUUAUAAUCGAAACUGUUCAUUCACCUUAUUAUUAUUUAAAGAUCAGACAUUCAAAAAAUUAUCUAAUUUCGAGAUCAUCCAACCAUUCAUAUGCAUAAAACAAAUAGACAGUCAAGAGGUGGUACAUGCUACGAAAAUUGUUGAUUGGUUUUACACGUAUGGAUAACUAAAUGAUCUCCAUUAAAUGAUUUUUUUUACAAAUAUAAUCUUUAGAUGAUGAUAAAGAGAAUGAACAGUUCAGAUUAUAAUAUUCAUACAAUAAACGUUCGUUAAUCAUAAGUAAAGGGCAAGGUAAGUCUGGCCAUGGGGGAACAAGCAUUAUCCAACGAGAAAAGUGUUACAAUUCGUGUUGUUUGUUCUUUUGGAUACUAAACGUUCUUAAGAGAAAAUUUGGUAGAAAUUUUUUUAGUGCUUUUUACCUAAGCACAUUCUAUGUGCAUUUUUUUUCUAAAUUACUUCUAGGAAGUCUAUGAAUUUAGUUUGGUUUUGGCUAAAGUCCGGUCAAUUUUGUUUGGUUUGGAGAAUAGAGGAGAAGAUAAGAAGAUUGCAAGAGAAGCAAAGGCGAAGACAAAAAAGAGAGGAAGAGGUGAAGAGAGAAGGUGGUGAACGGAGAGAGGAGGAUGAGAUAGAGUAAGUAGGCAACUCAAAGUGAAGGACAAAUUUGCAUCCACCUUACGGGUGUGCUCACUCAUGAGUGAAUAACAUACUUUAAUUGUAUAAAUUUCAAAAUUCAGACUUAUCUACUUAAAUAAUUAAUAGGAACUUGAUAAGUUAUCUUUACGCAUACAACAAAUUGAUAAGUAUAGUAACCAUUUACAUUCUUAUGAUAGAGUAUCAUUAGUUUGACACAUAUGGAUGAUAAUCAUCAAAGUGAUUGAUAUUCUACAAAGACAUUCCUUAAAUGAUGAAUAAGAAAUAGAAAACCUCUUAUAUUGACAAUGGUACGAUUAUCAGAGUUAAUUGGACAAGAAAGUGCAUACUGUGCAACUAUGGUUGAAUCUAGUAUUGCCACAAAAUAAAAAUAAUGUUAGAAUAGUGUUAUUUACACAUCAUUUUUAUUUCUCGCACUCUUUCUCAAUUCGAUCCUUAGAUUAAAUAAAUUAAAAAAAAAAUAACGUAAACACGAAUAUUCCUGCAAUGAAUGAGACAAGAACACAUGUACAAAAUAAUAUUUAUAUUAAUAAUUUAAGGGUUACAAUCUCUUCUAAAAAUUUAGCCUCUGAUUUGAUCUUCGUAAUGUGUAGAUUUGUGGAUUGUGCUGUUGAUCCAAGGGCAUUCGAGGCUUGAUCUUAGGAUAAACAGGUGAUGAACGAUGAACGCUUUCUUCAAGGGGGCCGUCGGGGCUUGAUCUUGAAUUGUGGAAGUUCUUCAAGGGUCGUCGGGGUUUGAUCUUGAAGGAGGAAGUUCUUCAAGGGCCGUUGGGGCUUGAUCUUGAAGGAGGAUUUGACGAAGAACGAAGAAAGCUUUCUUGAUCCUUAGGGAUUUGCUUAGGAGCUUUAGAGUUUCAAAGCUUCAAGGUUUUGGUGUUUUCUCCUUUUUUUUUGAUCCUUUGAUGGAAGAGCCUAUUUAUAGGCUUUGAGAAUGAAUCACCACCAUCCUUUUUUUUGGUGAAGUAAGUGGAUGUUGUACAUGAAGUGAGUGGAUGUUGUAGGUGAAGUAAUUGGAUGAUGUAGGUGAAAUGAAUGGAGGUUGUAGGUGAAGUAAGUGGAUGUUGUAGGUGAAGUAAGUGGAUGAUGUAGGUGAAAUGAAUGGAGGUUGUAAUUUUAAUGCAUUGGUCAACAUUUAUUUCACCGAAAUUUCGAUGUCUACAAAUGCCCCCACUUCAAGGCGUGUUGUAUACAUGUGAUUGUCACGUGUAGAAGAUGCGUUUUGAAGUCCCCUGAUGUAGAUGUCGAUCCUAGGGCCUUCAAGGCUUGAUCUUGAAACGGACUGGAAAUUUCUUUAAAGGCCGCUGAGGCUUGAUCUUGAAUUGAGCUUGAAAAUUUCUUCAAGGGCUGUCGAGGCUUGAUCUUGAAUGAAAUUGGACCACAAGAAGCUUCAUGUGGUAAAUGAUCUUUGGCUUUGGUAAUGGAUGAAUCGACACAUAUUUUGUUGCGAUUGUUGACUUUCCAUAACUUCGAUCUUGAACUAGGUUGGAAGGUUUUCUGGUUUCCUCCAAUUGUUGAUUUUCCACAAGCUUAAUCUUGAACUUGAUUGGGGGGGGGUUUCUUCUGCCAGACUUGCGCCGAAUGUCUAAAUUUACUCCUUUUAUCUGGAGGUGAAUUUGGUUCAAAGAUGGCGAACACUUGAUCUUGAAUCGAACUUGUGAUUUCUUCUAGGGUCAUUGGGGCUUGAUCUUGAAUUUCAAUAGGACCGCGAGCAGUUUCAGGAUUUAGACACAUGGCAGGUAGGCAUGAGAUGGAGGUGACAGUCUGUUUCUUUGUUCAAUCUUUCCAAUUCAUAUUGAAAAGGUUCAGGGGAUGAGGUUAGAGGCUGCAAAAAAUUUGCUCUGAAAGAUCAAGGAAGUUCGCGGCAUUUUCAUAUGAACCCCGAGCAAUUUGGUUAACGGUAUGAUCUUUAAGGGUUGUCGAGACUUUGCUUUUCGACGACAGUGCCAUCGAAAGGCUGUUGAAGCUUAUCGAGCUCUUUGAUUAUAGCAACGAUGGCAGGCUUGAAUCUGACUUAGACUCCUCCGUCCGGAUUAUGCAGUUCUGCCAAGAAGGGUGUCCUGCUAUAAUGAUUUGUUUCAGCUUAUUGUGUUGCAUUCUUCUUUGCUUGUUUUUUUCGCAUAGCAUAAGUGGUGCACAACCUUUUGCAUUUAAAUAGUCCUUAAGAGCAUCACUUCACAGCGACUCAUCCAUGCUUGGCAGCUUCAGUGUAAAGAGCCAACAUCUUAUCAACUGUCCUGAAGUAUUUGAUGAGGAAAUUCGAGACCUAUCAACAAUUGAAGAUGAGCACUCGAGAGCAGUGCUAGGUAAGCAACCAGGCAAAGGUUCUGGGUAAUCAGUUCCCGAUUGGAAGUUUGAUUUCGGGUUCCGACUGAUUGAUUUCUUUCUCCUUAUCCUGCAGGCAAGAGCAAGGGCAAAGGAAAGGACAUGGGAAAACCAUGAUAUAAGAUACCUUUGUUAUCGACCCUAAUGAUAUGAGAUACUUUUUCUUUUGAAGAAGUAGCGGAUGAUCAACACAUGUAUUUGUUACGCUCGUCUCCACAUGCUUCGAUGCAUCACUUUCACUUGCUUCAUCUGUUCUUCAGGCAUCUGGUAUCUUCUUUGGCAGUGCAUCAAUGAUUGAAGAUAAGUACUUAAGAGUAGUGCUAGGUAAGCAAUCAGGGAAGGGAUUCCAGGCAGUCGGUUCCAAAUCGGAAAGUUGAUUCCAAGUGCCGGCUGAUUCUCUCUUUCUCCUUGUCCUGUAGGGAAGAACAAGAACAAAGAAAAUGACAGGGGAAAACAUGCUAUGAGAUACUCUUGCUUUCGACUCUGAUGAUAUGAGAUACUUUUGCUCUAGUGUGACUUGGUUGAAGAGGUAUUUUCAGGGAGGAAGAAAACUGAGUAUGUUGAGAGGUUUAGUUGCAGAUGUAUUCUUGGCAAGGAAGAAGAGUCAGGCGUUUAUAUUUUCAGGGAGGAAGAAAAGUGAGUAUGUUGAGAGGUUUGGUCACAGAUGUAUUCUUGGCAUGGAAGAGGAGUCAAGCAUUUUGGAUAUGUGCCUUGCCAUAGAGGAUGAAGAUCGACCUAUAUAGGGAGUUCCCGAUAGCUGGUAGUGCGGAUACGGCAUUAUCACCCACGCUUGUUGGCAAAAGUGUGGUGGUUGAAAUAGUGAACUUCACGCGUUUUCAACUCUGUCAGAGAUCUUUGAAAAAGUUGCAUGUGCUAUCUGACAAGUUGAGGUUGCGUCUGAAAAGUGUUGACGAACUUUAUGCAGGAAAAUCCGGCUUUUGAAAUUCAGAGAGCGGUGUCUCUUCGAUUUUUGAAUUGGUGGUUGUGUUACCUCUCCUUUUAUAGAGGUAUUGAUCACAUCCCACAUGCAUACUUUGAAGAUUGCUCACUCGUGAAAAUCGUCUCCGGUGUAUUUCUGAGAUUUUACUCCAUCCAACCUUUUUCUUUUACCGUUUCUGAAAAUGGCUUACCUGUAUAACAUUUGCUUAAAUUUGAGUCUCAUGAGUGAUAUAAGUGCGCCGCGUUAGGGUAAUAUAUGGCACCCAUUCUUCUUAUCUUCUAAUGGCCCUCUUACUAUUGAAGACUCCGUGAUGAGGGAUGCAACAACGGCUAUGGUUGUAGCUAGGAACCUCAUCACUCUUAGAGAUGACAUGCUACUUUCAAGACGGUCCGAUGAGUUGGCUGUUCAAGACUCCUGGGCUCUCAGUGUUCAGUGCACGGGCUCUUUGUCCAACAUGGGCCAACGCCUACUGGCUCGAACUUGCCAAGUUGAAUCAUUGACAGCCAAGGCGGCCAAUCUUAGACAAGAGAUUAGAUGACUCAAGCGCAAGAAUAAAGAGUUGCGCAUGCUUGCAAAUAAUUAUUCAACGAGCAUGAAGAGAAAGCUUGAUCAGCUGCAGGAAUCUGAAGGUCGGAUUCAAAGUGACCAUCAGAGGUUUGUGGCUGUACUCCAGAGGCAUUUUCUGCAUUUGUCAUCUAGAGUUCGACUAAGUAUUGAGGCUCUGAAUAAUCAACCUCUGGUGCCUCUUCUUCAUGGAGUUCCACCAAGUAUUGUGGCGUCACGUGAGCAACCUUUAUGAAGGCUCCCUUUUUUUUCCUUUUUUUGUUGUUGUAUAUAUUUGUAAUUUCUUGAAGAUAUCAAUAGACAUGCUUUAUUUCAUUUAGUGUAUUGUGCCAAACAUAAAUAAAACGUAUAUCUUACCAGGACGUGUUACUUCCCUAUUUUUCUUUUUGUAUUUUAUUUUAUUUUUUUAUAAAUCAUAUUAUCCAAGAUGGUGCAGUGCACCAUCCCAUCACCCUUUAUUUUUUUUUUCAAACGGUGCCUGAUGCACCAUUUUCCCUUAUUCUCUACUUUUCAAUCAUUCUGUUGCCACCACCUUUGUUUUUUUUUUUUUUUUUUGACUUGCUAAUAGUAGCAUGCACUUGUGAGUAGUGGCUUGAAGAUGGCACGGCUGGGUUCCUCAGUGGGCUUCCUUGCUGUACUGUACUCUCUGCAUGCAGACCAUUUUCAUUUGCUUCUCUGGAGACCAUCAUUUGCACAGUCAUUGUGCUAACAGUUUUUAUUUUAUUUUUAUUUUUAUUUUAUUUUUAUUUUUAUUUUUAUUUUUAUGAUAUAUAUAUAUAUAUAUAUAUAUAUAUGAGUGUGUGUGUGCUGCAUGGGAUGAAAUGAGACAAUCUGCAAUAGGAGAGUUAUGGCUGUGUGUCGUAGAGACAAUGGAGUACCGAUUAUGGUGAAGCAGGGGAAUCGAACGACAAGCUGAAGCUCCACUACUUGAUGCUAUGAAUCUCUGUGCUUCCUGAUUCGACCUGGAAAACCCAACGUAUACGAAAUUGCUUACGUACAUGCCUAGAUCAAGAGAGGAUGAUAAGAAUGGGUCUUUGGGUUUCCGAUUAGAGUAUGAAACCGAGACAUUGAUGACCCUACUAGACCCAUCGUACUCGAUCCAUGAGCUUACCAGAUCGCUGCUCUUGAGAUUGAUGUCAACGGAGCCUAAAUCGCUGACAUGCGUUGACACCAUGGAGUUCAGAUCCAAUCCGAAGUGGUUCCUGUUGAUGUCUUUGAAUCUGGAGGGUGUCAAAGAGCGUUGGGUCAAGCUUAGAACUGGCAUAGUUGGAGAUGCAACCCAAUAAUAUCCCAGCAUCGAUGAACACCUCUGGGAAGGACGUGAGGAAACCCAUAUGAUGACGAGGGAGAGACCUCGACAGUGUACACCGGAGCAAUCAUAAAGGCGUAGUUGAUGGCGAAUUCUGUGAGGAGAGCUUCGACAAGGAAGAUGAGUCUGCCCUAUGCACUCGCAAGUUCUGACGUAUGGUAGAUUAGAGUAGCCAUCAUGGCUUUCCCAAGUACGUCACUUCGAACCUUGUGAAGACAAGCUUCUGUUCGGGGACGAUCUUGUAGUCGGGAUGAUAAUGGUCAUGAUCUCGUGUUUGAACUACCCUCUGGGAGCGGUGAUGAAGGCUUGGAAGAGCAGAAGGUACUCCUUGUCGACGGAGGCAGAGGGCAUAGCACGCCCAAUGGGAGUGUGAGUCUGGGUUAUGGUUUUUGAAGGGUUGAGGAUGAAUGAGGAGAAUGGAGAUUGAAGCCAAAACGAGUAGGCCGACGAGUGCUCAGUCAAGCCCAAGGCCCAUUGAGGGAAUCACACGCGGCUUGAGUAUAUGGGCCUUCGUUUUUUUGGGUAUAUGGGCCUUCGUCCUCAACACAACAAUCCAGCCCACCAUUUUGGGCUUGCCGACAUUUUGCUUCUACUUUUUUUUUUUUUGGAAGAAACUAUAAUUUAAUUUUUUUUAUACAAAGAAAAUUGCAAUUUUUUUAAUUCUAUAGGUGCUCACUGCAUUCAUGGAUUUCCUUGCUUGUUUUGACGGAUUACCCAUGUUCACAAUUGGGGCAGCUCCUUAUGAAUUUGCAAUGGGUGACGGAGUGAGCCGGAUGUGAGUGCAACUGUGCUAUUUGUCUGGUGCUUGUUGCAGUGCAUCACUUUUUACCGUGUGGUGCCGUGCAAAAGACUGCAGUUGGAUUUUGCUGUGUAGUGCCUUUUGGUCACGGUUUUCCCUCAGUGGUGAUGUUGUUGUGCACAUUGACCUUGCUGUUUACCGUGGGCUCUUUGCCGCUGCUACUUGGAGCUUGUUCCAGUGCGUCACUUUUACCGUGUGGGGUUGUGCAAAAGACUGCAACGAGUUUAUGCUAUGUAGUGCCUUUUGGUUACAACUUUCCUCGGUGGUGAUGUUGCCGUGCACAUUGACCUUGUUGCUUGCCGUGGGCUCUUUGCCGCUGCUACUUGGAACUUGUUCUAGUGCGUCACUUUUACCAUGUGGGGUUGUGCAAAAGAUUGCAGCGAGUUUAUGCUGUGUAGUGCCUUUUGGUCACAACUUUCCUCGGUGGUGACGUUGCCAUGCAUAUUGACCUUGCUGCUUGCCGUGGGCUCUUUGCCACUGCUGCUUGGAGCUUGUUCCAGUGCGUCACUUUUACCGUGUGGGGUUAUGCAAAAGAUUGCAGCGAGUUUAUGCUGUGUAGUGCCUUUUGGUCACAACUUUCCUUGGUGUGACGUUGGUGUGAUGCUCACCUUUGUAAUACGGCUUUGUAACCAAAUCAUUCCUUUAAAGGAAUAAAGUAUUAAUAUUUUGAAUUUGCUUUUUAUUCUUCAAAGUGUUUGUGUUUUUGUUGGUGAUGUGACUGUACUCGAAGUUUUUGAAGUUUCAAGUUGCCUACGUGUAAUAUCCCUCGUUUAAUUAAGGGUGAAGUGUGAUUAUAAUUGUUUUUAUACAAAAUUUUAAUCUACUUAGUUUUUAUUUGUUUAAUAUCUUUUAAUACUAUACUUUUUAUUUAUUAGAGAUUUCUAAUUAUUGUUAUAUAUAUAUAUAUAUAUAUUAUAAAAGAAAGGAAAAGAACAUUCUUUCAUGUUCUUCCUUUCUGUGCGAUGGAAACAAGGAAGUUGGGAGAAGGUGGCCUUCCAUAGCUUUAGGAAAAAAAAAAAAUCUUCUUUCUUCUUACCCAAAAAUCGGAUAGAGAUUAAGAAAUCUUGUGAUAGGUCGACCUUCGAUUGAUCAAAGGAGUGUGUCAUAGAGAGUUGUUCAUCUCCUAUUUCACCAAGGAGUGUGUUCGACAGAGGAUGAACUAAGAAGAGACACAGAGGUCUAUAAGCAGGAGGUGGAUGGCCUAGGAAGCUAGGUUUUUAUCAUGACUCUGAUAGGAGUGAGUAGGAUUAGAGAAACUAUAAAAGGGGUUGCAGAGAAGUGGGAAAGCAUCAGAAAUCGAAAAGGGGUAGAGAAAUUGAGAGUUAGAGAAUGUGAUUGUGAAGGAAUGAUUCAAAGAUUUGAAGGGUAAACUUCUUGUUACUUGAUUAUUUAGAUUUUUCGAAUUUAAUUUCCUUAGUUGAAUUGAAAUUGCCAUGAGAUAUAUUUGGAGUUCUUAGUUUUAUUUAGGGUUUUCUACUCUUCAAUGAACCAAUCUGAACUUGAAUUAGAGUUGGGUAAUUCGGAUUGGGUGUGUAGAUCAAAUUUCUUGAUCAAGGGUUUGGUUCAAAAGGUCAAUUUCUUGUUAAUUUUGAGUCAUGUUAUAUUUAGGUGUUGUAUACAUGAUUUUUGGAUUACUUGGAAAUAUUUUGGGUUUUGUUAUAUGAAUUGGAAGUAUAUUGUUAUGUAAGUGCAGAAAAUUGAUUUCUUUGCAGAGGAAACUCAAGUUUCUAGUGGUCUUAUUUUGCUCUUAAUUCAUAGGUCUUUAUGUGCUCCUUUGGAGAAAACUUUUAUUGUGUUGAAAAUACAUAUGUCCAUGAUUGUAACCCAAUUGUUUUCACUCAAUUUCGUUGAGUUUUGGUUGAUCAAAACCUUAUUUAAACUUGGGUCGCGAGCUGCCAAACAGCAGCAGAAGACUGGGUUUCCAAUUUCAAGACUCCAUUUUUCUUUUGGCAUAACUUCCAAUUUAGAGCUCCAUUUUCUACAAACUUUAUAUGCUUUUAAAGUACAUAACACGAACUUCAAAACCAAUGUAAUAUUACACGAUUUGGUUUAGUUUUGAAUGUUCGAAAAUGAGUCUAAACUUGGUUCAAUAGUGCUGUUUUUCUGCAGAUUUUGUGAAGAUGCAAAGUUCUGUUUUUAGCACACCUAAUUUCUUUUCCAGAUUCCUUUCUAGUCCUCUUUACUUGAUUUGAGUGAUAUUAUUUGAGUUAUAAGAUUCCAUAAUUUAUGUACUUUCUUUAGAUAAUAUCAAUUUUGUGGUUGAACACUUAGUUUGGUUUCUAAUAUAUGUUACUUGUGUUUAUAUUUUUGGUUGUAUUUUUGUGUUCCGAUUAGGUUCUUCAGAGGAACAAAAUUAAUCGAAUUCAAGGUAGGGGGUUCUGGGAAACCUUCUAUAUAGAUAUUAAUUUAAUUAUUUCUUACUUAAGUACAUAUACAAGUUUGAGAUACAUGUUUUUAUUGGAUAUUUGAGUAUGAUGAAUGUUCAAAAUGAAAUUUGGGUCCAUGAUGUGGGAGUAAAGUGGGAUUGUCGGAAACAACUUUGGGAAUCUAAGGUGGUGACUAUUAGUUUUGUGUAGUUGGGCCAAACUCUUAGUAGGUACCAGGUCUCAGGCGAGCCCACAGUGCACAGAUUCUUUAAGGGUAAUUCGGGACUGGAGACGAAGAGUUUAGGCAAGAUGACUAACAAAAGGGGAGUUCAGGGAUGUUUAGGGAUGGGGGUUAGUUCAUAUAUUUAAACACUCGGGAUCAAGUGCUAUAAGUACGGAAUGGGACGUACAAGGUCUGGGUGUUUAGUUAUGUGGAUUAACGGGUAUAGUUAAGGCAUUUGCAUUGCAUUCUUACGCAUCAUUCUAAUUUUGGUUUUAAUUCUGCUAUCUUAAUUAUACUUUAUUAUUUUAGUAAUGAAGGUAUAUGUCCCUAUUGAACCUUUUAAGCUCACCUUAACGAAAUUUUGCUGGUAUAGAACCAAAAACCUAAAAGUCUGCUUGUUGUCUGUUUUGUAAUUAUGUAUAAGAAAUAAAAAGAUGAGCUUGUUGGCUUUUGCUCUCUUGUUUGAAUAAAGAACUACUUUUGUGUGAACUUUGAGUAGUUCAUAAGUUGUAAUUGGCUGAAACUUUCAAUAAUGAAUAUGUUGUUUAGUUAAUUUUGUUCCAAGCGAGUUAUACAUGCUUUUAUUUCAUGUCACAUUCUCAAUUAUAUUAUUUAAGCUUAUAAUUAAGGUGUGAUUCACGUUCUGAACCAAGGUUUAUGUUAAUCCUUGGGUUGGGGCGUGACACUACGUACCCUCGAUUGAUGAGGGAUCAAGUCAUGACGUAGUUCAAAUGGGUGAUGUUUUUUUUUUUUUGUUUUUUUUUCCAUACACAGUUUAUGCUCUUGCGGGCUAGGAGCAUAGUGCGUUUGUUUUAAGGGUAGUAGCACUUUAAGAAUCUUCUAUUGAUGGGGCUGAUCUUCAAGCCGUCUUCUGCCAUGAUUAAGUAGGCACCGUUGGUGUAAACCUCUUGUAUUACAUAUGGUCCAUCCCACUUUGAUGUGAACUUACUUUUUGUCUAGUGAGUUGUGAUGAUAGGCCUACACAAUACAAGGGUGAGGUCUCCAGUUUGGAAAGACCUUGGGUGAACCUUCUUGUUGAAUACCUUGGAUAGUCGUGUUUGGUAGCAUUCCAAGUGUUGUUGAGUUUCGAGCCUUCUCUCAUUCAGCGCUUCCAGCUCUUGAAGACGCAACUUUGCAUUCUCUUCAUCAAUCAAGCCUUCUUGUAUAGCCAUCCUUAGUGAGGAGAUUUGACUUUCAAGCAGUAGAACAGCUUCCACGCCAUAUACGAGAGAAUAAGGCAUAGCUUGGGUAAGAGUCCUAUGUGUCGUCCUAUAUGCCCAAAGUGCUUCGCUUAUUCUUUCGUGCCAGUCUCUCUUUGUUAGGCCAAUCACCUUCUUCAGGAGGUUGCACAGUGUUUUGUUAAAUGCUUCUGCAAGACCGUUGGCCAGAGCAUGAUACAUGGAUGACUUGUGCUGUUUGAACUUGUAUUUCUCGCAGAGCUCGUCCACGAGUUGGUUAGAAAACUGUUUUCCGUUAUCAGUGAUAAUGUAGCGAGGCACACCAUAUCGGUGGAUGAUAUGCUCCUUGAUGAAACGGACGACAGUUUCCUUUUUUACUUCCCUUAGGGGUAUGGCUUCAGCCCACUUGGAGAAGUAAUAUGUUGUAGCUGGGAUGUAAGUUUCUCCUGUAGAUGACUUUGGCGUAAUUGGUCUUACAACGUCUAAUCCCUAUGCAUCGAACGGCCAUGAAGCAGCUGUAUGGUGUAAUGGUUCAGGUGGUUGAUGUAUGAAGUUGGCAUGGAAUUGGUAGGCUUGGCACAUUUUGGCAUGUUCCAGGCAAUCCUUCAUCAUGCUUGGCUAGUAGUAACCCAUUCUUUUGAGCUGGAAAUGCAAUUUUGGUCCAGAUUGAUGUGCCCCGCAUAUACCUGAGUGUGCUUCCUCCAUGGCUUGAUUGACUUCUUCCUCACCUAGGCAUCUUAGAAGUACCCCUUUAAAAGAGCGUCGGUAGAGUGUUCAUUUGUAGUAGAAGAAGCGAGGUGCUCGUCGACGUAUUUCAGAGCGGUGUCUAGGAUCAUAUGGAAGCUUUCUAUGCUCCAAGUAGUCAAUCAUCGGUUGUCUCCACUCUUCAACGUCAACUGGAAGUACUGAGAUAAGGUUUAUAUCAUCUAGUAGUAUUUCGGUGAUAAGCGGGAUCACCCAUCUUUGGCAAACAGGCACGUCUGCCGCUUCGUCUUCUCCUAAUGUCAUGCUCGAGGCUAGGUUGGCAAGAACAUCUGCCAUUUGAUUUUCUUUUCUUAGUACAUGUUCUAGUGUUACAGCCUCGAACCUUUGCAGUAAUUGAGUUGCUAGCCGGAAGUAUGGGACGAGAUCAUCUUUCCUCACCUCAUAUUCAGUCAAGAGCUUGGAGUCGCCAUAUACCUCAAAGGCUGUGAUUUCCAUGUUGAUCGCCAUUUGGAGUCCGAUGAUCAGUGCUUGGUACUCAGCGACGUUGUUGGAGCAUAAUUCGCUUAGUUGGAAGAAAUAAGGUAGUAUUUUCCUUUGUAGCGACAUGAAUACUACUCCUGCCCCCGCUCCAUCUGCUCGUGCAGAUCCGUCGAAGAACAUCGUCCAUGUCGGGAAAAUGUCGAUGUAGAACACCUUUUCAUCAGGCAAGUCGUCUGAGAUUUUCCCAUCAGUCGGGAUUGGGUGAUCGGCAAGGAAGUCUGCUAGCGCUUGUCCCUUAACGACUUUAGUUAGAACGUAGAUGAUCUCAUAUUGAUUAAGAAGCAGAGCCCAUUUAGCAAGUCACCCUAUUAAGACUGGUUUGGACAUGAUGUAUUUGACUGGGUCAGCUUUAGUAACCAGGUGGAUGGUGUAAGCGUGCAUGUAAUGCCUGAGCUUUUGGAUGGUGAACACCAAGGCAAGGCAUAUCUUUUCUAUUGGGGACUAGUUUAACUCAGCACCGGUGAGGGUUCGACUUAGGUAGUAAAACACUCAUUCUUUAUGGGAUUCAUUCUCUUAUGCCAAGAGUGCUUCAACUGAACUUUCCUGAGCAGCGAUGUACAAUAUGAGUGGUUUCCUUGGCACAGGCGUCCCCAGGACAGGUGGACUUGAUAAAUACUUUUUUAUGCUUUCAAAAGCAUUGUGGCAUGCUUCGUCCUAUACGAACGGAACAUUCUUCUUCAUAAGUCAAUUGAACGGUUAACAAUGCCCUGCAAGGUUGGAGAUGAAGCGUCUGAUGAAGGCUAGUCAUCCUUGUAAACUUUUCAGCUCAUGCAGGUUUCUUGGCUCAGGCAUGCUUUGAAUGGCCUUAAUCUUUGAUUGGUCCACUUCAAUGCCACGAUGCUUGACAAUGAAGCCAAGGAACUUUCCAAAGGUGACGACAAAUGCACACUUUAACGGGUUCAUCUUGAGGUUGUAUUUUCGCAGCCUUUCGAACACUAUUCGCAAAUCCUUCAAGUGAUCUGAUUUUUUUCUUUGUCUUGACCACCACAUCGUCUACAUAACACUCUACAUUUUUGUGUAGCAUGUCAUUAAAGAUUUUCUGCAUUGCACGUUGAUAUGUAGCUCCAGCGUUUUUUAGACCAAAUGGCAUCACCUUGUAGCAGUAGAUACCUUUUAGAGUGCGAAAGGCUGUUAGUUUCUCGUUUUCGAGAGCCAUGUGAAUUUGAUUGUAUCCAUAAGAGUCGUCCAUGAAUGACAGUGCCUCAUGACCAGUGGUUGCGUCCACCAUGAUUUUGAUGGUUGGCAAGGGGAAGUCGUCUUUUAGGUAAGCAUCAUUGAGGUCCCGGAAGUCUACGUAAAUACAUAUUUGUCCAGAUUUCUUAAGGACAAUGACGAAGUUAAAGAUCCACUUAGGGUAUUGCACCUCUCGAAUGAAGCUUACUUCGAUUAGCUUGUCAAUCUAGGCCUCAAUUUGUGGGAUGAGCUCAGAUUGCAUUUGAGUUUGCUUUAUCGGUCGUGUUCCAGUCUUGACUGCAAGAUGAUGCACAAUGAUGACAGGGUCAAGGCCGGGCAUGUCCUUGUAGGUCUAAGCAUCAUGGAUUUGAUCUUUUUGGGGAGAGCUUCGGGCACUAUGUAUUCCUCUAUAUAGAACUUGGCAUAUGCGAAGUGUGAUUCAGCUUCAGUGAAUGGCUUGGUAUCACCUAAGAUCACUUUCACUUCUUCCCGGUAGAAUUUUAAGCAUUGGUGGAUGGUGAAUGGACUACUCCAUUCCUGUGGAUCCAAUGCCUUCCUAAGAGCAAGUUGUAAGAAGUUCUUGCAUCAAUCACGUGGAAUAUCGUGCUUGAUUUGAGUUCACUAAUGGUCAUCUCCACUCGGAUCAUGCCCGUCGCUCUUUGUCCUCUUUGAUUAAAACCUUGGAUUAGUAGACGGCUUAGGGAUAGUUCAUCCAUCUUGAUGCCGAUUGUGGUCAUUGUUGACUUUGGCAUGAUGUUUAUGGCCGAUCCACCAUCCACAAGCAUGCAGUUGACUUUGUGUUCCCUUACGUACCCAAAGAAAGGACGGUUGUAAGGCUUGAAUCCUAGCAGCAAGUCUUCAUCGGUGAAGUGGAUUGCAUCCUGGGCAGCAUAACACAUGGCAUACUCAUGUGGUCGAAGUUUCAAGUCUUCAUCUUUACUUUCUUGCACUUCAUGGUUGUCGAGACUUGCCAAGACCACUGUUAGAGCUCUUCACAUCUUCUUUGGCAAUCGUAGCGCUUCCUUGAUGCUAAAGUGUGUUGACAGACCUUCUUUGGGCGUAAGGGUCUUUUCUUCCUCAAUGGCGAUAACUUUGCCUUUUGAGGGCUCUUCCAUCUCUACUUUAACCAUGUGACAGGCGAAGGUAGUGCACUAUUGGAAGAAGUUAUUUGGGAAGUACUCGUGCAAGGAGACAGGAAUGCGUGGCUCGUGCUCCAUAAGUUCCCCAGCGUACGUUGGCUUAAUAGCUCUUGCGUUUCCUUUGGGCUUCCUAUUGUUGUGACGGCGGUGCUUUCUCCCUUGCUCCCCCUUUGGCCUUGUGGCUUGCGGUCUUGGCUUCCUGGUCUUUUUAUAGGUCACAAAUGUCCACCAUUCUUCAUCAUCGGUAGGUGCAUCUUGGUCGUUUUCCCCCAGUGAUGGUUGUGCAGAAGGUACCAUAAAGCUUGAGCAUUGAUGGGAAUGGUCAAGUGUCACUUCAAGAGGCAUAGGAUCGAAUGAUCCAAACGCAAUUGUAGUAGUCUGUGUUACGGUCGUGUCUUCAAGGUCAAGCUCGAUUUGCCCUUGUUGCGCUAGCUUCAUGAUGAGUUCUUUGAGGACGAAGCACUUGCCAACAGAAUGGCUCACGAUACAAUGGUACUUGCAAUACCUAGGAUCGUUUACGUGAUUCAUCUUUUCAGGGCGCUUGCAUUCUGGUAACUCGAUCACCUUCUUUUUUAGCAAGUCGUCUAACAUUGCAUCCAUGUCUUAGUCAGGAAAAGGAUACGUCUUUUGCUCCAGCUCCCUCAAGGUGUUUUUGUACCUGUCUUUGGCGCGAGAAGGCUCAUCUCUCUUUAUUUCCUUCGCUUUGUUCUUGGAGGAGAUUUUGACAAGCAUGGAUGAGGUCUUGAUGGGGGUAGUGUUGACGGUAAAAGCUUCCUUGGUGGGCUUCUUCCAGUCUUGUCUACAUUCGGGGCGAACACCUUAUCCUUCUUGAAGUUAGUGAUUGGCUCAUUCUUCCCGUGAUAGGCAAUACUCAGCUCCAUGUCGUGGGAACGAGUUGCUAGCUCCUUAAAUGUUCUUGGUUUUAUGCCUUAAGGAUGUAAUGUAACCCUCAGUGUAUGCCUUGAACGCACAUCUCAAUGGCGGAGGUUUCAGAAAGUUGAUCUUUGCAAUCCAGACUUAAUGAACGCCAUCUAUUGAUGUAAUCGAUGACAGGUUCAUCCUUCCACUAUUUCGUACUGGUAAGUUCCAGCAUGCUUAUGGUGUGGCGCGUGUUGUAGAAACGGUUGAGGAAUUCUCUUUCUAGCUGAUCCCAACUGUUGAGGUCAGUGUACCAAUCAAAUGCGUUACCUUUCAGUGAGCGCAUGAACUGCUUGACGAGGUAGUCUCUAUCCGUCCCAGCAUUAUUUAAGGUUUCAAUGAAAUGGGCGACAUGUUGCUUUGGGUUUCCCUUUCUAUCGAACUGCAUGAAUUUUGGAGGCUUAUAACCCAUCGACAUUUUUAAAGCGUCAAUCUUCUUGGAGUAGGGCUUUGAGUACAGCACGGAGUCAUGUGAGCUUCCUUCGUAUUACGUCCUAAUUGUGCUUGCGAUCAUCUCCUGCAACUGCUGGAUAGAGAGAGAUCCUAUGAACGAUGUUGUUUGGUCUGGCUUAAGCUUCUCUUCGACUUUCUCCGCAGGAGGCUCUUCAUCCUCGUCAUUUUCCUUCUUUAAUGGGUUAACCCUUAGGUCGACUUUCACGUCGGGCUUCGCAUCUAGUUGGUUAACAAGUACGGCGAUUUGCAAGUCUUUCUUUUCCACAGUCCGUGUGAGGUUUAUGAUCGCUUCAUUUAUUUGAGCCAGCUGCUCCUCGGUUGAAGUUGUUCCGGUAGUCAUGACUUGCAUGGCUAUGCUGCUGCUUAAGUCAGCAUCGGAAAGUAAGGGCUCCGAGUACUUCAUUGGGAUUUCCUCUCUUUGCGCCCUUAGCGAGGCUAGGGUGAUCAUAAGCUCGUGCCUCGGGUGCUCUUGUUCCUUUGGCAGAGUUGAUGCGGGGGUGGAAGAGGCAGCGAAAAGAGCUCUUGCCUUGCUUCGAGUUGUGACGCCCGGAGUGACACCAGCUGUAGUGAUGACACUUUUGUUCUUUACAUUGGUUGUGAGAACAACUUGAACCUUCUUUGAUGUCAUUUCUGCUUUUUGCAGAUUCGAAGAUAGAGAUGAGAGGUAGAGAGAUCCCACCGAGCAUGCCAAAUUUGUAAACACAAAUAUUCCUGCAAUAAAUGAGACAAGAACACGUGUACAAAAUAAUAUUUGUAUUAAUGAUUUAAGGGUUACAAUCUCUUCUACAAAUUUAGCCUCUAAUUCCAUCUUCGUAAUGUGUAGAUUUGUGGAUUGUACUGUUAAUCUAAGCCUUCGAGGCUUGAUCUUAGGAUAAACAGGUGAUGAAGGAUGAACGCUUUCUUCAAGAGGCCGUCGGGGCUUGAUCUUAAAUUGUGGAAGUUCUUCAAGGGCCGUUGAGGCUUAAUCUUGAAGGAGGAUUUGGUGGAAGUUCUUCAAGGGCCAUUGGAGCUUGAUCUUGAAGAAGGAUUUAACAAAGAACGAAGAAAGCUUUCUUGAUCCUUCAGGAUUUGCUUGGGAUCUUGAGGGUUUCAAAGCUUCAAGGUUUUGGUGUGAUGUCUAUUGGUUUUCUCCUUUUUUUGAUCCUUUGAUGGAGGAGCCUAUUUAUAGGCUUUGAGAAUGAAUCACCACCAUCCUUUUUUUGGGUGAAGUAAGUGGAUGUUAUAGGUGAAGUGAGUAGAUGUUGUAGGUGAAGUAAGUGGAUGAUGUAGGUGAAAUGAAUGAAGGUUGUAAUUUUAAUGCAUUGGUCAACAUUUAUUUCAUCGAAAUUUCGAUGUCUACAAUUAACAAGGGUACUUAAAAGUAAAAAUGAUUGUGUAAAUAAUCUUGUCAAGAACAAAAGAAAUGAAACAAAAUCUAAACCGACAGUCACCGCCCGAUGCCCAACGUUAGGGACUUAGCUUCUCUGCCCUCCCAGUUCCCAUACACUCUCAUCCCCUCCUAUUUGUGCAUUCACAGUUAAGCCACGUCAAUAUUUUAUAUCACUAUUGCUUUUUAUCUUAUUAUCCCUAUAAAAAUCAAUAUAAAAUGUUAACGUGACUUAAUCGUGAUCGCACAAAAAAAAAAAAAAAGGAAUGUACGGGAUUUGAGAGGGCAGAGAAGCCGGGUCCCAACGUUAUAUUGCUGGUAAAAGAAGCAAGCAACCUCCAAUCAGACAAUCAGUCAAACAUUCCUCAAGUUUCCAAAAACAAAUUAAAUCUUCCAAUUAACGAAUUUAAUACAAUCCUAUCCGCCAUGAACAGCAACCCACCACCUUUUUUUUCAACUUCUACAAACAACAACAACAACAAAGUCUUUUCCCACUAAGUGGGGUCGGCUAUGUGAAUCCUAGAACGUCAUUGCGCUCAGUUUUGUGUCAUGUCCUCCGUUAGAUCCAAGUACUCUAAGUCUUUUCUUACUGUCUCUUCCAAAGUUUUCCUAGGUCUUCUUCUACCCCUUCGGCCCUGAAUCUCUGUCCCGUAGUCACAUCUUCGAACUGGAACGUCAGUAGGCCUUCUUUGCACAUGUCCAACCCACUCAUUCCUAAUCUUAUCCUUUCUCGUGAGCCCACACCUCCAACGAAGCAUCCUCAUCUCCGCUACACCUAUUUUGUGUACGUGUUGAUGCUUCAUCGCCCAACAUUCUGUGCCAUACAGCAUCGCCGACCUUAUUGCCAUCCUAUAAAAUUUUCCCUUGAGCUUCAGUGGCAUACAACGGUCACAUAACACGCCGGAUGCACUCUUCCACUUCAUCCAUCCGCUUGUAUUCCAUAUAUUCUGUCUUUGAUCGGCUUAGGCGAAAGACCUUUAGAUUCCAACACUUCUCUCCAAAGGUUAAGCUUCACAUUUACCCCUUCCUGAGUUUCAUCUAUCAACCCUAUAUCGUCUGCGAAAAGCAUACACCAAGGAAUAACAUCUUGAAUAUGUCAUGUUAACUCAUCCAUUACCAAUGGAAAAAGGUAAGGACUUAAGGAUUGUUGAUGCACAAAAUCAGUGAGGACUUUGGUACAACAGAAAGUAUUAAGUUUGUGACCUUCGCUAGAUUGCUCCGGUCAUUAGUGUGGAUGCGAAAAUUAUCUUAACACACAAAUUUAACCCUCUUUUAUCAAUUGUAGUAAAGAAUGUAAGUAGGGAUCGUUCUGGACCGGGGAUUAGGAAGGCUUGCUAAUAACCUCUAAACUGACUCAAAAACAUAAAACUAAACUUAAAAAUACUUAACAAGACUCACAAGACUCAAAGCAAACUUAAAAUACUCAAAACAGCUUAAAACAACUAAAUAAACUUAAACUAGACACUAGGAAUGACUUUGGACGAAAAUUGACUUUUACUUGAAUCAAAACAUUUAAAAACACAAAUUAAAACAGAUUCUAACUAAUUAGACACACUAAAGUAAAGGGGGAUUGAGUUUUGGAUGAAGUUGAAACAAACAAACAAGUAUGAAAAACUAGACAAAUUGUAAAACAAAUUUGAGAAAUAAGAUGAUGGAUGGGAUAGCUAGAGGCUUUUUCUCCACACAUGACAUGUAUGCAAAUAACUUGAUUGCUAGUUACUACUUCAUUGAAUUAUGAAUGACAAUGCUCCAAAUUAACCGUGACAUUACUAGUUAACUCUCAGAUUUUCCUUGUUUUAUUGGAUUGGAUGACAUCAUUCGACAACCCAAAACAUUCUUCUAAAGUUCCCUACAUGAUAUCAUAAUAGAGAUACAAUCAAAGAUCAUUACGUUUAAUGAAAAUCAUUAGCAUUGACAAAGCACUUGCAACUAUGACAUCAUGUCACUCAUGCUAGGAAUUGAACUUAACGCGAUCGUUUAUAAGCGACCUUCACUACAUGUGAAUAUAAGUUUGUAACGAUUAUGUGAAACUUCCUUAUAUUCUAGCAACGAAUUUAUGCAUGCCAAUAAAGUGUCGACCCUUAAUUAACAAAUACAAAUAAGUUAUCAAUCAAAUAAUUAAGCCAAUUGCAUUCACGAUUCAAGAGUUCAUAACUAGAAUUUAUCAAAUUAUAUUGCAUACAUAAUCAUGGCUUUGAAAUCACCCCUAGCCAAGAGGGGUUUAGCCACUCAUAUUUACAACAAAACGAAAGGAAAUGAAUUUAAACAUUAGAAACAAAAGAAAGAAAACACCUAAACGCUCCAACAAUCCAAGUUGGACAGCUAGCACGUCCAAGCACUUUCCUUCCCUUCCUUUGCUACGGCACAAGGUGUUGGUGAGUGUUUGAAGGUUUGUUUGUAUGGAGGAAUAGAUGUGAAGAUGAAUGGAUGUGUUUGGAUGAAGGUUGUGUUGAAUGCGGCAAAGAGUGGAGAAUUGUGUAGAUGAUGUGUGUGUGUGUUUUGGAUUCAUGUCUCCCUGAAUGUGUCUUUGGAUGGAUAUAUUUAUAGGCUAGGGAGAGGAUGUAGUGGGUGGUGGUAAUGAGUGGAUGUAGUGGUAGGUGAAUGUGUUGGGUGGUUGUAAUGAGUGGAUGUGUUAGGUGAAAUGAGUGUGCUAAAAUGGUUAUUUAUAGGGAGAGGAUGAUGCACAAACUUCAAAUUUCGUCCAUUCCUUUUGCUCCAAGCAUAUGUUAUCCAUUCCAUGCCCAAAAAUGCUCCAAAAUGCUCCAAAAUGCACUUCUUUGCCACAUUAACCCUUUGGACCUACAAACACACGAAAAUAGCUUAAAAUACUAAAAUAACUACGAACUAACAACAUAAAUGCCAAGAAACAAGCUAACUAAGUCGCAUAAAUAUGCUCCUAUCAAUAAGUAUGUAAAAGGAUAGAGACAGGAGAGCAAACACAAGAUGUACUUGGUUCACCCAGAUUGGCUACGUCCACGGAGUAGAUGACUUCUCAUUAAUUGUGAAGGGUUUAUAUAAGUGCAUAGGUUCAAGCUCUCCUUUAGUGGGUACAAGUGAAUGAUUUAGUACAAAUGGCAUUAGGAAAUAUUUUGAAAGAAUGAUCUCCUUUUAUAGAAGAGAGUUUCUAGCCUUUAUCUGACAUUGACACGUGUCGUGUUGUGAUUGGAUUCUGAUGUUGACACGUGUCACGCUAUGAUUGGCUUCUGAUGUCAACACGUGUCGCUCUGUGAUUGGCCUCCUGGUUGGAGGGGAAGCUCUUCGGUUGGGGACUUGCAAGAUCCAAGCCGCUGAGUAAUCACGAAACUUCUAAGUACCGAAGUGUGGUAUCGUCUUCACUUGCCUUAUCUGUCUCAUAGGUAGAUGUGGCAUCUUCUCUGGAAGUACUCUUCCUCCGUCCAGGGGUGGUAUCUUUAACUGGUGAAGAUGCACAAGGUAAUGUAUCAAUUUCACUUGAAGCUUACUUGUAGUUUCAGGCUUGGUCAAGCGCGAUACAAACCAUGUAGUAGGAGUCCCCCAAGUCGUCAAGUUAGGGGAUCUACUGAAAGAGGUGACAGACAAGGUAAGCAAUCAGUCCCAGAUCAGAAGUUUGAUUUCGAGUUCCGGCUGAUUGUUCUCAUUCUUCUUAUCUUGCAGGCAGCAUGAAGGAUAAAGAGAAGAAAAGGAAAAGAGAUGAUAUGAGAUACUUUUGCUUUUAAAGAAGUAACUUUCCACAUGCUUAUUCUUGAACUGGGCUGGAGGGAUUUUUGGUUACCUCCAGAGUAUAAGGCCGACUGAAGAAUUUGAGGGUCAAAGCAAGUCCAUCAAAUCUAGAGUGAUAUGGGAUACUUUUGAUGUUGACAAAGUAGUGGAAGUAUCGGCACGUGUUCUGUUACGCUUGUCUCCACAUGCUUCCUUGUAUCCUUCUCACUUGCCCUAUCUGUUCCUCAGGCAGAUGUGGUAUCUUCUCUGGAAGCAUAAGAUGUUGAAGAUAACUCGAGAGCAAUGCCAGGUAAGUAAUCAGGUAAGGGGUUCCAGGCAGUCAGUUCCUGACUGGAAGCUUGAUUCCAAGUGCUGACUGAUUGCUCUCUUUCUCCUUAUCUUGCAGGUAAGAAUAAGGCCAAAGGAAAAGACAGGGAAAAAGCAUGAUAUGGGAUACUCUUGCUUUUAACCCUGAUGAUAUGAGAUAUUCUUGCUCUGGUGUAGCUUGUUUGCAGAGGUAUUAUCGGGGGGAAAGAAAGCUGAGUAUUUCGAGAGGCUUCGUUGGGAGUGCCCUCUCAGAUAUGAGGAAGGGUUGAGCAUUUUUGCAAGUCUGCCUGUCCGUUGAGGAUGGAGGUCGACAUAUAUAGGAGUCUCCCUAACAACAAGUAGUAAUGCUAUUCCUUUACCCUUCUUGGUCAUAGCACUGGGAGCUGCCAGCUUCACGUGUUUUAACUCUGUUAGAGGACUUUGAAAAAGUGGUCUGUGGUAUCUGGAAAGCUGAUGUUGCAUGUGAAGAUUACAGACAAGCUUUAUCCAAGGAGAUCUGGCUCUCGAAGUUGAGAAAGCAAUGCCUCUUCGGUUUUGGAACAAGCGAUCCUGUCGGGGAUCUGGCUCUCGAGAUUCGGAGAACGGUGCCUCUUCGAUUUUUGAGAAAGCAAUCCUGCUUAGAGUCUGGCUCUUGAAAUUCAAAGAGCGGUGUCUCUUCGAUUUUUGAGAAAGUACUCCUGUUGGGAGUCUGGCUCUCGAGAUUCGGAGGACGGUGCCUCUUUGAUUUUAGAGCAAGAGAGAGAGAGGGAGAGAGAGAAAGAGAGAGUAUAAUGAGCAGAACAACGAGGGGUCUGAAAGAGGACAAGACGGGACCUGUUUGGAUCAAAACUUGAACUUUGGGCUCAAGAAAGGAGUUGGCCCAAAAGGAGGCCCGAAAGGGAAGAUAGCCGAAGCUCAGUCGAAGCCCAGAAGGCAGGGAAAGGCCUUUUCUGACUUGGUGCAGCUCAUGAAGACCACUUGCUUACCUACCCAAAGGCCAAGUGGUGUAGACUGAUCAACUACACAGCCCAUAAAGCACUUUAUGGUGGCAUUACAUGUAAAAUAGCUGAUGAGUCAUCACCCUCAAACCACAUUCGGGCAAAGCUGCUGCUACAGAAGCCUAACCCGAGUUGUCUAUAUAAGAAGAAAGAAAAUCCAGGAUUAAGGACACUCAAUCAAACAAACAAAUGCAAGCACAAACUCUGCUCAAAGCCAGAUUUGCCUUCAAAACAAAGCUGUAGUCAGCCUUCAUCCCUUUCGGGAUAAACCUUCAUCCCUCUCGGGAUAACCUUCUCUUCAACCCUUUUGUAAUAGCUCUACUACCUUGUUCAACCUUGCUGUAGUAUCGAUUCAUCUUUUGUAAUCUCUCUCUCUACCCCUCUAAGCUUUCAGACCUUUGACAAAACUAUAAAGAUAGGAACCUGCAAGACGAGCAACCUUACCCGAUAAGGUUUAACCUUGCCCGACCUUCUUUGCUUUGGUUUUGUCUUUUCAAUAUGUUGUAUACUUCCAGUUAUAUGCAAGUUAUUUCUAGCAACAUGACUAUUAAAAGGCUUUCUCAGUACUUGAAUCCGAUUUGAAUAUAUCGUCAGUGUUCAAACCAGAUCCAAGUCCUAAGCCCUCAGGCAUGUAAAUCUGAUCAGUUAAAAGUCCUUGGCCUCAAGGCAUAAAAAAGAACUUUAUGUGGACUUAACCCAUCCACGACAGUCCUUGAUAAACGAGAAGUCCGAAGUUACUUGGGGCGCAAGUAAUCAACCUACCUUCUAGUUUUCUUUCUAUUAUAUCAUGAUUACCAUAGAACGCUUGAGCAUGGAAUGAAUUCUAAUGGAAAGCCUCAAGGCCUACACCUAAGGCCCUACAAAGGCAUCCAUUUGGAUUCAUUCCAUUCAUCGAUCUAAAGAGUCUAAGUAUAAGAAUGAACUCUGAUGGGAAGCCUCAAGGCCUACAACUAAGGCCCCACAAAGGCACCUAUUUGGGUUCAUUCUACUUCUUGGAUUCGGGUAAUCAGAAGUAUAAUAGUUAGAAAACUCCUACAAUCACGAGAACAAAUAUGAUGUGUUCGAGCACUGGUUUAGUUAUUUAUGGGAAGCCUCAAGGCCUACACCUAAGGCCCCACAAAGGCACCUGUUAUAACUAACGCGGUUUCUUGGAUACAUACAUAUAUACAACUAAAGCACGACAACCAUUUUACAUCUGCCAUGCUAAAGAUGGCAGUGGCACGCCUGAGCACUUAAAUGUUAACCUUGAUUGUGAGCCUCAAGGCCUAUACCUAAGGCCCCACAAAGGCACCUCUCAAAGUUAACGCUGUCCUUCUCUUUCAGCCUUGUCCGAAGAGUCUUGCUCGAAGAGACUUGCCCGACGAGACUUGCCCGACAACGCCCGACAGCGAAGCAGAAGCCCGACAGCAGCCCUCAACCGGCGCCAACCUCCAGGGGAGCUGUGUGCUCGUUGGCCAGGAAACAACCCCGACGGAAAUUCCUGACACGAACAUGACCUUUCUUCUUAGCCAUUCUGUUGCUCUAGUUCGCCUCUGUCCUGUUCGAAAUACUCUUCCACCGGCGGUCGGAGCUGCUCGCCAUUGUUGCCGGCUGCUUCUUUUACCAAUUGGCCAACUGAGUUGUUCUCAGUUUCGUCUCUCAUGACCCUCUCUUCGUCAACACCUCCGUUUCUCUCCUCCACUCCUCCAUAACUUCCGCUUCAGGUCUCUCUCUCUCUCUAACUUUUGCGUUUUGAAAAUGUUUGAUGGGUUAUCGAGUAUGCUCUGUAGUUUAACAAAAGAUGGAAUCUUUGUACUGAAAUUAACAUUUGAACUUUGUUAGCUCAAAACCCAGUUCAUCAUUAGCAGGUUAGAAGGUUGUAACUUGGUAUUAAGCUUGCCUAUGUGCCUAGAUUUAUGUCGUCUUAUGAUUGAGGCUGGUUUGGAAGCCAUUGUUUCUUUGAUUAGAUUGGAUAUGAUGGGGUCUCUGAGCGCAGAGAGACUUCGCUACAACCCCGAGAUGCCACCAUGGCUUUCUGGUCCCCCGGCCCAAUGGCAUUGUAUCACUGGCCCAAAGGCCAUGGUGGCAGCGCGGAGAGACUUGACUACAACCUGAAAUGCUACAAUGGCUUUCCGGUCCCCUGGACCAAUGACAUUGUGUCACUGGCCCGAAGGCAUUGGUGGCAACCCAGGGUGUAGAGAAACUAUUCCCUGUAAUAUUUGUAAAAGUAGAAUUUUAUAGUAUGAAUACUUAACUGCAAUGUUAUAGAUUCUUGGGCUACGGACGAAAUAGGUGCCUGCAUAUAGGAUAAAGAUAAGAACUUGCAAUAGCUAAAUUGAAGAACAUUUUGAGUUGAAGUUCCGAAAUCGAGGUACUUAGCUUUCGACAUUUGUAUAAUCAAUUAAAUUUUCAAGUCCCCUACAAUACAUUUCCAAACGAGUUUUUUCACUUAUUUCUGUAACUGGCGUGAGUGUAUCUUUGUUCAUUCCUAUUAUAUUGGACGUUAAGUUAUGCGUGUUUAUUUUUGCAGUGGUAUUCAUUUUGGUUAGUCAGUGGUUAAGAAAUGGUUUGGUUUGAAUGUUUGAGCACUCGGAGUUGGUUGGGCAUACUUGGCCAUGGGCAUACCCAGCUCUGUGCUUCUCAUGCGGUUACUUUGCAUAUGGUCAGUGGGAUAUGCUGCAUUAUGGGUUAUAUAGUGGUUGGAUCCCUUCCAUCCUGAUGCAUCAUCUGGUUCUCCUCAUUUGCUUUACUCUUGCUUUGUAUCGGAAGGUCACCAUCAAUUACCUUAUUCUCACUCUCAUUUGCGAGGUACGUUGAACCAUCUUCUUAAAAGUUUUCUUUUCCUUAGGUUUUCCUUUUCUUCUUCAGAUAAUAUUUCUUAGUGUAAAGAAAAUUCAUCCAAAGUGUAAACUGCUCGGUUGAACUGUAAGCCAUUUGGACCCAGAGACGAUUUGAAUCCAUCGGUGUGUCCUCACGUGAAAGUAAUGUUAUGUUGUGAUCAUUUCAUAACAUAUUGCAUAAUGGUAGAUGAUAACGAAAAUGUCAGCAACCUCUUUUCCUUUUUUUUUUUUCUCCUGAUUUUGUUUGAACGAGGGAUGGAUGGAAAGUCUCAUUUAAUUUAUUUCUCAUUGAGGUGCUCAGCUUUACUAGGUUUUUAAGUUAUUUUCCCUUGUAAAUGAAUUGUCUUGAUUAUUCCUUUGCUAAGAUUUAUCUAGUUAAAGUAACUACAACCUCGAAAUGAAAUAUUUCGAUGUUGAAAUAAUAAUAUGUAAAACAUGGUGUUUGGGUUAAAACUUGCCAGGAAACGUCCCCAUCGGAAAUUCCCCCAGUCGAACACAUGGUAACUUCAAAUAAAUGCUAAGAAUCUGAAAUCUUUAGAGGGAUUUAGACUCAUAACGUGAAUUCUACACAACAGGAAACUGGUUCUGAUAUUUUCUGUUUCUUUCAACAGCUGCAUUCUAUCUUUCUGCAUGUGAGGAAUUCAACAGCUGCAUUCUAUCUUUCUGCAUGUGAGGAAAGCGCAGCGGAUGGCUGGCAUUCGUGACGCUAGAAACCAAAUUGUAAGGGCAGAGUGGGUUCUUAAUUGGGUAACCUUCACUUUGCAAGGACGGCAGCUCACCUUCUCGUCACAGCCAAGCUCUUCUGCGAUACUCCAAAAUUCGGAAAGGGUAUAGAGCUGCCGCUUGCACUGUUUGGGAUGUUCAGAAUGAACUUUCUGAAUGCUUCUCUUGGCAUUGACCUCUUCCAUGCCUUCAAGAGAGAGAGGAAUUCCCGGCAUGCUAAUGCUUAUCAUGAAUUACAAGGCCAAAACAGAGAGUUGCAAAUAAUUUUGGUUUCUAUUGUUUAAUUUAAUUGAUUUUGCACAUGAAAUCAUCAUCGUUUCUUUGAGAAAAUAAACAAUGUAAAUUAUGUGAUUAUACGAAAAAUAUGGUUUGUUUCCAUCUAAGGGUUUUUUUUUUUUUUUUUUUUUUUAUCCGUAUCAAAUCAAUUAGUUUAUUUGGGUGUUAAGAGAUGAAAAAAUGAAAAAAAAAAAAAUUCAGGACAAAUUUAAAAAGAGGUCCUACCGGGAGUCGAACCCAGGUCGCUGGAUUCAAAGUCCAGAGUGCUAACCACUACACCAUAGAACCCAAUUUGUUUGAUGAGUACACUGGAUGAAAUAAAACGGCAAGCUAACCUAAUUAAAUAUUAAUACUUUAGGGCCAAUGCUGUGUCGUUUUGGAUGAGAAUCCUCUCCAGAUUUUCUUUGUGAAGAUCAGAUAUUCUAUUUGUAUUUAAUUUUAAAUUAAAAAAUUCAUAAUGACUUUUGGAAGCAUGAUGUACGAUAAAUGGAUAGGAUGUGAGGAUCCGGAUGAGAUCCACAUCCACUAGGAUUGUGGUUCAAUUGACAAGUGUUAAUCAUGCUAUGCUUAACAUUUGAACACAAAAUUUAAACUUCAAAUUGAUUCACGAUCAUGGUCUAAAAUAUCGAUAUUAUUCCGAUAUUUCCAUUGAAAUUUCCGUGUUUUUGGACUACCGAUAUUUCCGAUAUCAUCGAUAUUUUAGACCUUGAUAGGAAGUCUAUGUGGUACUAAGUCACUCAUGUAUCUUACCAUGCAAUAUAUAAAGUGUAAAAUAUUGUACUAAUUCAUUAUAUAUAAAUGAUUAUGGUGUGUUUAAACUUCUUUCAUUAAUUACUACAUAUUUUCUACACUCACAAUGUUUGCCAGCUCGCUAUAUAAUCAACUUAAAUCAGUUAAUCCAUCAUGUAAUGCAUUUUCUUCCAUUUUUUUGUAAUAAACUAAUAGAUAAUUGACUAAAUAAACAUCAUGCAAAGUUUCAAUAAAAAUUUCCAAAUUUUUCUUACAAUUUUCAUGGUUUUUAUUCAAUUUUUAUCGAUAUCGAUAAUAUCGCGAUAUUUCCAUCGAAAUUUCCAUGUUUUUGGACUAUCGAUAUUUUCGAUAUCAUCGAUAUUUUAAACUUGUUCACGACUGUUUACCAUCGUGGAGGAGUUUCCAUUUUCUAGCUGUGUGGCCGUUGAAUCGCGACAUUCCAUGACCAUAACAAUUCGACUCGGUUCCUUCGUUUGUUCAUCUUUACAUAAUCUCACAAGAACGCAUCUGACAUGCCCCAAAAAGGAUAAAAUUAUAAGAGCUGAGAAUCUCUUGCAAAUAAACUGCAGCACUAACUUCCCCUGUAAUACAAACCCCAGAAACCAAUUAUGUUUCUUGUUUUCUCUACUAAAGAAUUAAUCUCGCCUAAAUUUCUAGUCGUAUGCCACUCUUGGUUCGGGAGAAGAACUUUGCAAACCCAUUUCGAUUCUUGUCAGAGCUGACAUGAGUCGACAACACAGUGGAUGAGGUUGAUGCAGACGAAGAUGGUGGGGAGUUGUCCUCAUUUCUAUUUGUUGAAGGCCCACAACUCUCAUCGGCUGGUUUUGAUACAGAAUCUCGUUUAGGUGAAAAUGUCACAUUGGAAUGCAACUUCCACUGUUCAUCAGCUUUAGGAAUCUGCGGCGCAACAGCAGUGAACCCUGGGAGGCUUUCGGAGUCUAUCAGGAAAUCUUCUAGUGUUGCUAGAGAUUUGAGUUGAUUUCCAAGCGAUGCUAUUGUCUUCUGGCACUCGGCAAGCUUUCCAGCUGCUACAGCUAGGUCUUCCUGGAAUAUUAGUCACCACAACAUUAAAUUACGGCAUAUUCAGUUGUUUUAACUAGGUAAAUGGUUUGAAUAAUCGAAUACCAAAAGACGUAAUGUAGAUGGGUAAGUCCUUGAUCACCAACCUGCUUUCUCUUCAAUUCACUGUUCGAGCAAGCAGUUUUCUGAAGCUUGAAUUCUUCGUUUUUUCUUGAUAGCUCCUCCUCUAAAUCUUGACAUCUGAUGGCAAUUUCUGCUGACAAAGCCCUCUCCCUUUGAACCUCUGCUUCCAAAGAAUCAACCUUAGCAGACAUGGUCCGCCCCUCUGCUUCCAUGCUAAUGAGCUGAGACUCAAUAUUCUGCCUUGAUUCAUUUGCAAUACUUAGCUCCUUUUGUAACUCCUCCAACUUCAUUUCUGCUUCUUUAAGCUGAAACUCUGCUGCCACAUAACAUUCUUGACUUUUGGCUAAAGCGGUUUUUAUUUUAGCUUUCUCUACUUCCAAAUUUUCUCUCUCGACUUCCUUCUUUUCUAACAUGUCUUCUAAUUCGGCUGCCCGAUGACUCAUAGCUUCAAUUUCAGCAUUCUCUACCUCUAACUUUUCUUUCUCUACUUCAAACUUUUCUAACUUGUCCUCAAGUUCGGCCGUCCGAUGACUCAUGGCUUCAAGUUCAGCUCUCAAGGCACGUUCUUCAUUAUUGGUUUGAUUAACUAUGGCUUCUGAUUCUAGAUAACUAGUUUCAUUCUCAGUCUGUGGCAACGAAGCAAGUCGUUCCAUCUCUAGGAAAUCGUCCAUGAGAUCAACAUCAAUGGAAGGGGCAGGCAAAUUUCUGUUUACAGCCUUUUCAUUCUUGAAUUGAUCAAGCUCAGCAACGAGGGCCGAAGCCCAACAGUCAGAGAAAGUCAGGUCACGCUUGUUUGCCUCUGAGCCAUUCAUCUUUUGAGAAUCUAUCUCCAUCAUGUUUAGCCUCUCUCCACUGUCCGAUUGACUAUCCAUGCAAGACUCCACGUACAUUGAAGAAGCAGCACUGGACUUGUGAUCAAUGACAGUAGGUAUUUUACUACCCAAAGCUUUUAGCCUCCGGCACUCGGAUUCAAGCCUUGCAACCUUUUUUAUACUCUCUAAAUGUUGCUUACUGGCCGUUUCAGCUGCUUGAGUACUCAAGUCCCUUUCAAUUGUCAUGAUUUCCAACUCCUCUGCUUGAGUCAGUAGCUCAUGCUUCAGGGCCGAGUUUUCGUUUUCUAAAGAUUGCAGCUUAUGAGAAAGAUGAGGAUCGACAAAAGCAGAAGCUUCAGAUCUAUUCACUUCUGCUUUUCUCUGUAGCUCAAUAAUCUGACUUUCAAGCUUCAACUUGGUGGACUCCCAGUCACGGGUUUUCUUCAGCACAGCUUCCUGUAUGGUUUGUUCCUGCUCCUCUCUCGCUUGUCUAAGCUGUCUAACGCAUUCCUUGAGGGCCCCAUCUAGAUGGCUUACGCGGUCUUCCAAAACCGAGUUUUGCUGAACUGUAACUUCAAGUUCUGACUUAAAAACGGCAGCCUCAUUUUCAGCCUUUUCCCAGCCUGUAAUAACAUAAAAAACAGAAUGGUUUAAGAUAGAAAAACAUGACAAUUAUAUAAAAUCUUUGGAAAACAAAACUAUAGAUCAUGGUUGAGAUUUGAUAAACGUAUCGUUCUCUUCUAUUUGGAAAGAUUGUCCAUUGCCGUUAGGAAUUUCACAAAUCUUUAAAACUCAUCGUCAUCAUUAUGUAGAUAAAAUAUCUGUGUAAAAAGAAAUUAGCAGCAUUACUAUGUUAUAUGACUAUUACCUGCGACAGCUUCUUCAGCAACUUUGGCAUGCUGCUUCACCAAGUCUUCUUUGGCGCUAACAUUCACAAGAGCAGCUGAUAAUCUCUCCGUUAGACUCUUCAGACUAUAAUUAACAUGGUCAGCACUGGAUGCUGCUUUUGAUGUGACUUCAGGUGAUUGAGCAUCAUGAUUCAGAGAUGCCUUUUGUGCCUCCUGCUAGAAUGAUAUCAUAAGAUAUUCGACCAAAGUUAAACAUGCAUAAAAUCAUAGUUCGGAUUGCACAAACAACAAAAAGUGCCUAAUUGAGAGCGUUGUAAAUGCACCAAAAGGCUUAUAUUAACAACAGGAAAGGAAAUAUCGCCAGUCUCUUAGAGUGAUAUGAAACAGUCUGAAAACUCAAGGGCUUAUUUUUUGCUAUGCUCCUGGAACUCUAUUUUGAUCUCACUUUGCCACCGGUAACUCAAAAGUCACCACUUUACUCCCUGAAACUCAAAAUUCGUUCCACUUUGACUUGUGGAUUCUCUCUCUCUUAACAGAUCUAAGGCAAUGUGGAGCAAAUUUUGAGUUUUAUAGAGACAACUUUCAAGUUUCAAGGGGAAAAAUGGAAUCAAAAUCAAGUUCCAGGGGGCAAAGUGAAGAGAACUUUGAGUUUCAGGGAGUAGAGUGGCAACUUUUGAGUUACAGGGAGCAAGGUGAGAUUAAAUUCAAGUUCUAGGGGGCGGAGCUAAUAAUAAGCCAUCCUAUAAUUGGCUAAAUCGAAGUGGCUGCUAUUAGUUUGUAUACAUGCGGUCACACUAGAAGCUACCAUUUAUCUUCCUUUGGAGCCUGCAAGGUGUCCUGUAAUACUAGUAAUUAUUCAGUUUUUAGCCACCAUAGGAGGGGUCAGUGUGGGUAAUAAAUCCGAAAGUAGGACCCAUAAAUUAUAAACUACACCCUCUAUUCUCCAAUAUGAUGCCUCAAACCUAGUCAACUAGACCAAAACUUCGAUUUUUUAAUUCCCCUACUUGAGAUAACAAUUUCAAAAAUUUUCUACCACACUUCACAACUACCACACGCCCCGUGUACUCAACCAAGCCUGUUGGGGUUACAAAUUUAAAAUUUCAUCAACCGAACUUCGUUUUCUAAGAGGUUGUUAACAAAAUGGAACUUCAAGAGUACCAAAAUUUUAUAUGUUAUAAAACUCAGUUGGCAUCAAGUAUCUGCCACUUAAGCUAAGACAUGGCAUGCAUACCAUAUCAAGGCAACGAAGACAAGAAACAAGCAAGAGGGAGGACAUAAGCCUUUCUACGACACCAACUAGCUAGAUAUGAUAAGGGUAUCUCAAACAGGAAAUGCAUCCUAAUUGUUUGGUUACACGGGCAGGCAAAAAGUCCUUGUGCAAGGCUACAAAGAAUACGAAACACAAAUUCCAAAUCAGAACAGCCUAAUCUAUCUAAUAGUUGUUUAGAACACUUGGUCAUUGAAUGCAAUUGAUUAGCAUAGGUAGGUGCAUAUUACUACGUUUUGGACAUAUGUUUCAGAAAUGAGAAAAAUAUGUAGCAUAGUAAACUAAAGCAAUCGUGUGGGGAUAAGCAACGGUAGUUACGGUACAUUAUUUGUCUCUUCACAUCAUUAAGAGUCUAUCCAGACAACAAAGAAAUGGACAGAAAACUUCCACUGUAAAUGCAAUCUUCAACCUUUGAAGGACAUAAAAAUUCAUCAAUAAAGCAAGGCUUUAAAGGGGUAGGGAGCAAAGCCGUUUAUGUGAAAUUGAGGACAAUAUACGUUAGUUACUUAGUUAAAUGCCAAAAGAACAGUGUGUACAAGCUUUGCAGAAGUAAAGUUGAACUCAAAUAUUGUGGUAAUCAGGGUUCAGCUACCCACCUGUUCAUCGGAGUACCUCUCUGAGUUCGAAGAUACUGAACCUGAACUAUCAGUUUCUCCAGAGCUCUUCUCCAAAGGCUUCUUCUUCCACAACCACUUGCGCUCCAUCUACUGUUACAGUUCAAUUCUCAACUCCUCAACUAGAUUUCACAAUGUGUUCAUCUACAACACACAAUUACAAGUUUACAGACGUGUCAUUGAAAACCCACCACGAAUCCUCAUCAAAGUUGCAGAAAACAAAACAAGAAAGCAAAAAAUAGAUAGCCGACACCCAAAUCUGUAUCAACUUUUGCUGCAAAACUGAACUCCAACCAAUACAGCCAAGCCCUUCAAAAUCAGAAAGCAAUAUUCUUUCCACCAAAUCCAAAGCAUUUGAGUAAAAAAGAAUGACUUCGCUUAUCGCAUUCUGUCAGCUUUGCUUCAAAUCCACUCCAAAAACCAUGUAAACCCAAACAAAAUAUUAUCGCUUUAUAUAAGAAUGAAAAAGACUCAACGAUUUGCAACUCCAGCAGCAUCACAUCCAACUCAAUCAAUUGCUAUUGAAAUAGUGAAAAUAUCAUGAAAUUGUGCAAUCACUGAAGACCCAAUUGCUGAAAUCACAAAAGAAGAACAGCCCAAUUCAUGAAAUCACGAAAGAAGAAGAACCCAGUUCUUGAAAUUACAAACCAGAACAACCCAAUUGAUAAAUUGAUGAAGUUUUGCAGAAAAUCCAGUUUCAGAAGCCAAAAUACGGAUGAAUGGAACAGUGCUUGCACCAGAAAAAGCAGCAAAAUAAUUGAAAAAACAAAAGUAGCCAACACAGAAGCUCCAAUUGAAGAGCAACCUAGAAAAUCGAAUUCAAAUAAUAAUCAAGAUUUUAAUGGACUAAAAUUCAACUAAGAAGGAUUAAAAGGAAGAAGACCCAGAUCAAAAUACCUUUUGACUGGAGAGCACAGCAACCUCAAAAGUUAGUUGGAAGCCAGCCAACCAGCCAGUAAUAAGUAAAUGUAAAGAUUCAAACUUCAAAACUUGAGACUGAAGAUUUUACAGGCCAGCAAUAAAAAUGAUAGAGAGCAAUAAAUAAACAAGAAAGGCUGCAAAAAUCUCUGUAGAAUGUCAGAUGAACAACCAAAAGCAGAAGCAUACAUAAUGUGGGUUGGGUUGGAUUUGCAUUUCUUGUUUUCUACUUCACCUUUUUGGGUACUCUCAAUAGUAUUAUUAUAUUAGUAAACAAGUGAAGAGCAUGUGCUUCUUUGUGGAUAUCAAGCUCUGAGAAGGUUGAGAGAGAUGAGAGAGGGAAUUGGAUCCCCUCCAGAAACCUCAAAAUUCCACUUUUUGUUUUCCUACAGCUUUUUCCUUUUUUUUUAUUCAAAUUUCAAAAAGAAUUAAUUACAAUUACGAUCUAAUAGUUUUUCUUUUAAUUUGUAAAUGAGAGGUGUGUUCGAUUCUUGCUAAAAAUAAAUUUGAAUAACAUUAUUACUUGUUUAGUGUGAGGCUUAGUUUACCUUCUCACAUUUAGUGUUCGUUUCUUAGAAAAAAAAUCAAAAGGGAAAUUUUGUGUACCAUUUUUCUAUUAUUUGUAGUUUGGACUUUGAAAUGGAGCUGUGCCUUGCCGCCUAUAACGGCGAUUCAUUACUUGUAAUUUUGUAGCAAAUGUAGCUCACUAGCAAGUUUUAUUUUUCCAAACUCGGUUUAACUAAAUUAGCUAAAGCAACAUGUUUGGUGUUCAGCACAUUGAUACGAAAAAAACUCACCUAUACAUAAGUUUAAUUUAGUAUAGUAAUUCUAUUAUUUGACAAUUUUUUAUUUUUUUUAGUUUUCUAAAAUAUUGGUUCAAUGGCAAUUAAAAUGGUUUUUGUUUUUGCAAUAUUUUAUGUUGCAGAGAAGGUGGUCCUAAUUUUCUUGUCGCCUCUUGGUUUUUCAAGAAUGAGGAUCCUCUUCGGAUCUUUUUUGUGAGGAUCAUGAGGAUCUUCAAAUCGUAUUCAUUUAUCGUACAUCGUAUGAUCAGUUUUUGUUAAGUAUUAUUUAUAUUUAAUUUUAAAUAAAAUUAUUUAAAAUAAUUUUUUAUCACACAAUAUACGAUAAACGAACAUAAUUUUAGAAUCUCCUUGAAUUCUAAGAAAGAGUAUCAAAGAGAAUCCUCUUUCGUUUUUCAAAACUCUUUUAUAUUGUUUUGUAUUGGUCGUGGGGCCACAGGCAUAGUGAAGGAAUCUUUAUCCUGAAGCCGGGCCCUACAUCUUCUCCCAUUUCAUAAUCCAACGGUGGAGAAAAAACUUUGGGGGAAUUUUCUCUUUUUGGGAAAUGAUUUGUUUUCAUGAAAAUUUAUUUAAGCAUGCUAAAUUAAAAGUGAGAGGUUAUAGAUUCAAUUCUCGUUAAAUACGAAUUUAAACUGUAUUAUUAAUAACUCGUGAAGUAAAAUCUACCCCUUUUAAAUGGUGUAAAUAAUAUCGUUUGUUAAAAAAAAUAAAGUAUGCAAAAUAAGAAAAUAGGUAUGUGUGCAAAAAUUGUUCACAUUUUCUUUUCUUUUUGUUCAAUUUUUUUCUUUCUUACCAAAUUUCAUGGGUGCUUGUUACUUCAAUUGUGUUUGGUACACUAAAAGGAAUUCAUGAAAAUUAAUUUCCCAUGUCUUUUCCUUGAGAAAGGAAAAUGCAAAAUUCCUUUUCAAUGUUCACUAACGAAGCAAAAUUAGGCAGGAAAUACCAUUGGGAUAUAAUGGUCAUUUUAUGUUUUUUGUUUCCCCUCUAUUUUCUCAUGACUCAGAAAAUCAUUUCCCAAGCCUUACCAAAUAUGAAAUAGACAACACUUUUCCAUUUUCAAGCUCUCUUUCCCGCAUACCAAACGUAGACUAGGAUUAUGUAAAAUAAAGGCCAAAUCUCACUUUUAGAUCAUGUAAUUUAGUUGAAGUUUAAUUGGUGAUUGUAGUUUAUCAAACGAUAAUGUUCAACAACACAUCACAUUUUUCAUUCAUCUAGUUAAUGAAGAAGGCAUGGGACACUCAAAUGAUCGAGCAUUUUAGUAAUUUUAAGACAAGUCAUGACUCUUUCUCUCCUAAAAGCAAUUCACAUUUGUGAUAAUGGUGCUAUUUUUCUUUUUCUUUUUUUAAGUUUACUACUUUAAAUUAUUUAAUAAUUCGUUUAAAAUAAUGUUUAUGUUGCAGUCCUAUUUAGGAUUAGAUUACCUAUUAAAUGUUGUAAUCCUAAAGGGAAAGGUUUUACCCUUCCUAUUACUAUAAAUAAAGGCACAAUGGGAUGAGAUAACACAUACCCACAAUUACACAUCUCUCUAUUGCCGCACCCCCUCUCUCUCUAAGGCCUCCAUAAUUGUUCAGUAAAUUAUGCCUACAACACGUUAUCAGCACGCUCUUGACGCUACGCUAACAAGAGAGUUUGAUCUUCAAUUUGAGGAGUAUUACGUUUUAAUCAUUCUUUUCAUGAUUAAUUUAUUAAUUUAUUAAAUUGAUCUACAUGUUAUUGAUUCAAUUUAAUUUUUCUGUGUUGAACGUAAUACAACGCAUUGGAGAAUUCCGACUUUCAAGAAGGAUCUUCUACAAAUUCAAAGGCUUUUGUUGUUUUCUGCUACUCAGGUACGCUUAAAAUAAAGGAAGAUAUUUGAAACGACCCAUGAAGCAUGAAAACAUUCCCUAUGAUGCAUGAACCUUCUACAUUUAUAUUUAUCUUCCGAUAUAUAUAUUGUAUAUGUUCAUAUAUUGGUUAAUAUAUAUAUUUGUUUCAUACAUUACGCAAUAAUUGCUAUGUGGAAUUUGUGAGUCAAAGUAUUCAAUUAAAUUAGAAGCAUGUUUCGGGUUUUCCUAAACCCUAAAGGAUUUGAAAAAAAAAAGGGGGAAUCAGGACAUGGUGCGGCACACCACCGCACCAUCAUUGUGCAAAUAAUCACCAGGCCUAGGCCUAGAUUUUACCUCGGUAGAGCCUGCAGCCCUGAGCCUAUGCACACUGGCCUUGGCCCGCAGCCAUCCAACUUGCCCAAUUGUCUGGGCUGUCCUCCCAUACACACGCUGCAACCUUUUUGGUUGCUGGGUUUUGUUGCUCUGGCCCUCAUACAUAUAGCCAGCAUAUGCUGGGCUUGUCACUGCGCCACCCAUACCCAAGCCCAUGACCUGCAGUCAUUAUGGGGCUGCUUUCACGCAACCAGCCUUCGCUGGGAUCCCCGUGACAACCCACAAGCCAGCUUGCGCUAGACCUGUCUGUGCACUCCCUUAUGGCCCAAAACACGACCCAGCUGCGGCUAGGGUCUCCCAUUCCUCACUCGUGGCCUGCAGCCACCACCAAAUGAACAUUUGGGCCUCGCCUUAUGCUUAAGGCACCCAACCCGUGCCUCUUAACCCCCGGCAUUAAGCCCAAUUAUUUUUGGGGCUCUAUUUUCGAUCCAAUAAUAUUAUUUUAAUAUUAUUUUGCUUCUACGAUUGACCCCGAAUGGUCCAGAUCUAUUAAAUUAAUUAAAAGUGACCUGUAGUCCAUUAAUCUGAUAAUGAAUCCAAAAUUAUUGACCUGAAGAUCACUUUUGGACAUUAACGAUUUAAUAAUUUAUUUCUCUUCUUUGAACCGUCACAUACUUUUGUAGUAGCAAAGCUCUCACACUUGAGUUCCUAAAGACAACUCAAAUCCACUACACUAAGUUAGUAUAUUGCAUUCUGAGUUUCUUGCAGGAACCUCUCCUUUAUGAACUAAAUGUUCAUAAACUAAAUUGAACCUGUAGUUUCAAAUUUAGUGCCUUUGAAACCCGAAGAUUUCAUAAAACAAUACACCAUGAAAACCCGACGUUUUUCAUGAAAACCAUGUCUUAGAACUCGAAUGUUCUAACUUUGAUGCUUAUGGAUGAUUCAUUCCCAUAGCACCAAUCACAAUCUUGUUCCCUCAAAUUCAGUGGUUUGUCAAACCGUCACAAGUUUGAUUUUCCUGAUUUGGACGUUUUCUAAUAGAAACCACUUUAGGUGGGGUACAAGACGUGAAUCUCCACUUGACUAUCAAGAAGCUGAGAAACCAUUUAUGCCAACAAUGGCAAGGAAGAGCUGAAUAAGCCUCCGCCAUAAUCUUCAUUCGAAGACUUAUGCUCAAAGCAUUACAAAUGGAAAUACUCCCCGAACGAGGAUUCCAUGGCUCUUUGGCUCGCUUCUAUAGACCGUCUAAUCAUGAAAGAAAUUGCCCGCAGCAAACCAUGAUUACGUCCAUGAAUGAGUACAAUUCUGAAUUUUAUAAAUCCGAUUGAAUCUUGACUGGAGAAUACUUUUCUCAUCAUUCCAUGUUUCUAACUCGCUCCUGAAGCAGCAGUGUAGAAAGUGCAAAUUUACCAAAUUCUCGGAUCUGAUUACUACCGAAUGGCUCGACCCAGUUCAUCAAAACCUAACCAAAUGGUGAUGCACUGCUUCGGCAGGAAUACACUGAAUGGCAUAUUCUUUCACAAUACAAUUUCAAGUUUGUGUUCACAAACAUAUAGUAUAAUCAUGGCCUGUCAAGGUGUGGCAUCAUGCUCGAAGCAUGAUCCUUGGUACAUAAGACCUAAAAACUUCAAGAAUAAGGGAUAAUAUUCUCGAACCUCAACCUUACAAGAAUCUACUCCCGUCUUGAUGGAAUAGAUCAGUGGUUAUGCACCUGUUCGUGCCCCUACCAAUGUUGUUGAUGAGUGCCAUUCUAGUAGUCAAUAUGUGAGAUUGAUUUUGCUCCACCGGACAUCGUUGGCAGAGCAAAAUUUCGACAUGGAUGGCCUUAUUGGCCGAAUCCCCUUAGUAAAUUUACUUUGUGAACAUUUUUCCAUGUUCUUGGAUUCAAGUUUGGUGUAUGUUUUACUUAUGGAUAAUCUUAUUGAUAUUGUCCUCGAAUAUGAGUUAAUUGAAUCAUGUUUCUUAAUACAUAUGACUGAUUCAAUUAAACACGUGAUUAGGUAGGAAUGUGGGAAAGUUAGUUGUCUGGAUGAAUGCGUACUACGCACACUAACUUUACACCUAAAUCACAUCUCUAACAACAACUUCAGGUCUAUCCAACCUGAUUAAGAGCAUUGGCACGCUCCUCGUUGUAUGAAUGAUACUGAAUUAUCAUUUAAAGGACCUUAAAUUCUUCCUAACGUUAAGUUUUUAAGGAUAUUCAAGAUGACAAUGAUCAUCAAUGAAACCACUGAAGAAAAUAGAAUGAAAUAUCUUAGCACCACCUCCAAAAAUGAGCCUGAAGCUUUGAUUUGGGGCCAAUGGGUUGUCUUCCAAUUGGGAAUACACCACAUGUGGCCAGCCUAUAGCCUGGUGAUUGAGCAGUUUACUUGCUUUGGCACUACCUUUUGGGACACUUAGGUCGAACAAUGAUGCUACAACGCAUCUCCUUAUCUGAAGUAAGGAUUUUAUGCCUACAAGCACACUUUGCCAAUCCUGCUCAUUAGGGAAAUUGAUUUUCUAUAUCAUUUCUUGCAAAGAUACGACGCGACUCCAUUUUCGCAGUGGAUUCAAGGGAAUAUAUGUGGACUAAUCCAACCAAAAUGCGGACCAUAUAAAUAUUUAUGGUUUUGGUUGAUGAAUUGACAAACUGGUCACAUGUUUGUCCACACACAUUACUGCUAAACCUCUUGGACGAUUAAGGGUUCAUCACCCUACUUAUCCCUUAAGGUCUGGAAGACUAGAUAAUGCUAGAGAGUUUAUAUCGACGGUUUUCGAUAAAGUAUUGCAUGUCAUUUUGGGUUUUUAAUUGAACAUCGCAUUCCCAUGUUCACCCCAAAUAGCCUAGCCUAGCGAUCAUAAAGCGCAAUUUAAAUGAUUGCCCAAAUUUUGGUAAACGUACCAAGUUUUUGGUCUUUGCUUAGGGCUAUGUAAUCUUACAUGCAGCUAUGUUGGUCCACCUUGAGGCCCAUUGCCACCCAACCUAUAUGACAUUACAGUUGGUUACUGGGUACGAACCUGACGACUUUCGUAUUUACGCAUUUGGGUGCGCAUUCCAUGUGCCAAGUUGCACCGCCGCAACGUACCACCAUAGGUCCUCAAAGAAGGAUGUGUAUCUUUUGUCGAUCAUGAUUCUCCUUCACACUAGCUCUCUUCGAGCCCUUGCACACGAUCUCUUUACCACUUAUUUACGGGUUGUCACUUUAAUGAGACAGUCUUCCCGCCGUUAGGGGGAGAUAAGAACGUCAACGUUCCUGUAGAACAACACGAAUUUGCAUGGACGUUGCCCACUAUGUCUCAUCUUGAUCCCCAUAUCGUACAAGUGUGAUAAGCAAGUGCGACGAAUUCUAGAUUUCAAAAUGUUGCUCUAGACGCAUUCCUCUGAUCUAGCUAAAGUGACGAGAUCAUAUACCAGCUGCAAACAUGCUUGCAAGGAUAGACGUACUUAACGGACGUCGAGUCAACAUCCUUGGAGGGUGUGCCGCCCAUGUUGGACGGUUUGGACGCCCCUGUUGGACAGUCCGGUACACCGGUGGAUAGCCAAUCAAUAUGUCUUGGCCUGGAGCAUGACAUAUCAUUCGGUUCGUAGGAUUCACUUCCCUGGAAGAGGAAGACACGGCACAACACUGAAUCUAAACUCGAUUGCUGUCUCAAAUCAUUUCCAUCUCAUGAGAUUAAUCCGGAUUACUCCCGAGACUUGAAGUUCUUGGUCCAGUAUACUAGUUUAGAUGAGAAAAUGGAAUUGAAAUGAGAUUAUCAUCGAUGAUGUUUUCACUUAUAUGGUAGCUACCGACAUAAAUGAAAAGCGACGAUAUCGAACCAUGUUCUGUUGAUUAAGUGACAAUGUAGAACUGAUUGGACAACUAAAGUUACAAUCCAGGUCAAAUUCCUUACCAAAAUGUGUAUUGGACCUGUUGUUCCUACACUGCCCAAGGUAACCCUGUUGAGUUACAAGUGGGAAAGGAAACGUUAUGAGAUGAAUGAAAUAGUGCAAUAUGAUGCACGCCUUACGGCGCAAGGUUUCUCUCAAAACGUCCUAUGAUUGAUAACAGCAUUAUGAAAUGUGGUUAGUAUUUCUCCAUGGGGAUAUAAAUACGGAGAUUUACGUGUAAGUUCCCAAAGAAUUACAUAGGCUGGUUCAAAUAGUUCCAAACCACGGAACACCCUCUUAACUCGUUUUGAGGCGUUCACUUAUGGAUUGAAAAAUCCGACGAAUAUGGUAUACCCAUCUAAAUGAUUAUUUGAUCAGUCAAGGAUAUGAAUUAUGCCCUUGCGUGUUAAACUAUGAAGUCUUAUUCCAAAUUGCUAGAGUUACAGUUUAUGUCGUUAACACGAAUCUCACUAAGACUCUGGAAGAGCUUGAGAAAACUGCCUCGUACCUGAAGAUGGAAUUUGAGAUGAAGGAUCUUGGGAAAACUCGUUUAUGCCUUGACCUGAAGUUGAAGCAUUGUUUUGACGAUAUUUUGGUCUACCAGUUGAACUACAUCCGGAAUGUGUCACCUUUGAGUAUACCCAUGAUCAUCUAUACAUUAUAUGCAAAUGAGACUCUUGAAGAGUCUAUGGAAUCCGAAAUUCCAUAUCUAAAAGUUCAACUUUGCGCUUUGUUGUACUUAGCUCAUUGUAUUUAGACAGGACAUCUCAUUCGCUGUUGAUCUUGGUAAAGAUGCAGCACCGUGCCUACACGCAACCACUGAAUUAGUAUUAAAGACGUACCCUGAAGGUAUUACGUGGGCAAAUCCCAACGCAUCUUGAGUGGAUCUAACCCCCUUGAUCCUCGAAAUGAUGCUUGCCUUGUUUGUUAUGCUGACACUGGUUACUUAUCAAACCCGCAUAAGGUAAAAUCCCUGAAUAGUUAUGUCUUUACCGUUAGGGAUAUCGCAAUAUCUUGGAGGUCCACGAUAUGACCCUAGUUGCGAAAUCUUCGAAUCGUUCCAAGACUCACCUUGCUUCAUUAUGCCACAAGUGAGACAUGGUUAGGAGUUCUUGUUGAGCAUAUUCGAAGUACUUGCUAUAUUUUCAUCCAUCGUUGAGUCCCAACGACGAUCCAUGAAGAUUAUGCCACAUGUAUCAACCCGACCAAGCCAUGAUACAUCAACGAAGUCAACACUAAGACAUAUUGCGUCUACAUCUACAUCAGCAAAGCAUCAGGAGAUUGAAGUCAUGCAAACCGAUCCCAAACAACCUUGCCGACCUCUACACGAUGUCACUGCCGAAGUCAACCUUCCAGAAGCUUGUCCGAGGAAUUGGUAUGCCUAACUACUCAUAUACAAUGCUUGUAGUUCUCAUUUGGAAGUUAUGUCAAACUCAGGGGGAGUAUCCAGAAGUAUACUCACUUGAUCUUAAUGUACUAUUUUUCCCUACGAUUAGGAGCAUUUUUCCCACUGGGUUUUUGCUACCUAACUAGGUUUUAAUGAGGCACCCAUCCUGGGCUGAUCAUACCCUUGAGAGCUCUUCUACUUGCGUCCAAAAGACGUAUAGUUUUGACUUAAUGCAACUUCUCACUUUUCUCCUUAAACUAUGGGUUUUUCUCCCAUCUUGGGUUUUACCAUAGCGAGGUUUGUGAGUUUUACUUUUUAUGCAUUCUUCUGUUGUUUUGAGACUCGCAUUUGCCCAUUGUGCCGACGACUUCAUCAACUGUACUUACUUCAUCAAUGAAGACUUGAUGCACCAUUUACUUGAGUAUUUACACACUCAAGGGGGAGUGUUGCAGUCCUAUUUAGAAUAGGAAUGUGAUUGUGUAAAUCCUAGGAAAUAUGGGAAUGUAUCUUAUAUUCCUAUUAGGAUUAGAUUACCUAUUAAAUGUUGUAAUCCUAAAGGGAAAGGUUUUACCCUUCCUACUACUAUAAAUAAAGGCACAAUGGGGUGAGAUAACACACACCCACAAUUACACAUCUCUCUAUUGCCGCACCCUCUCUCUCUCUAAAGCCUCCAUAAUUGUUCAGUAAAUUAUGCCUACAACAGUUUAUUAUUUUUUAAUAGGUUCUUAGUCAUCAAGUAGUCUAAUUGGAAUACUAAAUUUGGGGUUCAGAUAAAUCUACACCAUCGAAUUUGAGAUUUGUAAAAUGUUUGCAGUUGUACAAAUUGCUCCACCUUUUUAGGGGAUAGUAACUUAUAUAGAACUGAUUGAUUAUCACGUAGCGUUCCGACCCAAUCAUACAUUUCAUGUAUAGAAAAAUUUGCACAUACAAAUGCAUUAUUAAUUAAGGAACGCCAAGUGAAGGUAAACCCUUCCAUGCAAGUCAUUCUCUUUUUCGAGAGAAUACGUUGUUAGAUGUUCUCCCCAGCUCACAUAGGUUCUACGCACGGGCUACACACGACUUGGCUUUGUCAAAUCUUAAUCUUUCAUUCCUUUACCUGAAAACAAGCGGUUUUGAUUAGAUUUGAAAAGAUUGGCUGCAACAAAGAAUGAAUCACUGUAUAACUAUCUUUAGAAGAAUAAUUGCAUUCUUUGUUGCAACCCUUUGCUUGAAAUCUUAUCAGAGCCGCUCGUUUUUGGUUAAAAGAAUGAAGGGAUGAGAUUCAACUAAGCCAAGUCGCGCGCAUCCCGUGCAUAGAACCGAGUACGCAGGGGAGAAAAUUUGGUAAACCUAGCACUAUCUAAGCACCACCGUGAUUUAUUUACUUGAUUAACUGCCUAUAGUGUGUCACUACCAACAUUUGAUUAGCAUAAACGCAAUAGAGAGUUAAUCAAGCCCAAAAGUAUUUUUCUUCUUCAUCUGUUUUUGUUUCUGGAUAAUUUAUCAAGUUAAUUAUUCAUACCACUAUAAAUAAAACCCCGUCCCUGGAUUUCACUAUUCAAGUUUCGUAUUUCAUAGGUACAAAUUUAAUUUAAUUUUCGUUAAGUUUUGAUUUUUAGUUAACUAGCUACAGAGUUUGAUAUUUUAGUAAUUAGUCAUUAAAAAUCCGUAGACAUGUUAAGGUCUCUUUUAGUAUAUUUGGAUAAGUUCAAUUCUACGAACGCGUAAGCGGAAACCGUUCACGAAAUAGAGUUUUAGCAAAGGAAUUAUGAGCUAAUAAAGUUAAGGGCAAAUUGGUAAAUUGGGCUUUAUAGCAACUGAAGUUUGUGGAAGGGGGAAAAAUCCCGUUUUAGAAACAUGGGUCUGCAAUUGACUCGUUUGCUGCGCGCGAUACCGGUUCUUGACACAUUUCCUGCAAUAAUUUUCAACGCGGAUUCUGGCAAAAUUUGAGGACGAUGAAUGAUCGGAUCAUAUUUAUAUAUAUUUUUACUUCAAAUUCACUCGUCUUUUCUUGUUUAGUUCCUUAUAUUUUUGAGCUAUUUACGUUAUUUUUUUGUUUAUAGGAUCUGUUAUGCAAAGAAAAUAAAAAUAGCACAAAUAAGUUUAAAAUAAUAAACAGAAAAAAAAAAGAAGAUAAGGAGAUAGUUGUCCACUCAAAAAGGAAUGGAAAUAAAAAUGUCCAGCUAAAAGAUGUCUUUCCACUAGGAGCUUUCGGUGCUCUUGCUUUUCAUCAUUUGGUUUAUAGGCAAAGCAAUACCAUUCAUAUAUUAUUAUAACAUAUGGACAAUUUUAAUACUGGAAAAUUGAGCAGAAAAAGAAAUAAGGAGCGCAGAGGAGACUGACGCGGGAGAUAAUGAGGAGACGUGGCGGAAAGACAGAAAGGCAGAGAGCAACAUGGCAGACAUAGAGGAGUGGGAGCAAAAAGAAAGGAAAGCUGCCCUUGGGAGCAGCGGAAGAAAACCAAAGAGAACACAAUCCACCCAUCCACCCUUCACCAUAACCCACCUAUAUCCAUCCACCACCAUAAUUUACCACUCAUCCAUCAAACCACACCUUGUGCCGCUACAAAGAGAAGAAGAAGGAUCUUGGACGUGCUUGCCAUUCAAAUUGGAUUGUUGGAGCGUUUUUAGGUGUCUUCUUUCUUUUGUUUUCAAUGUUUAAAUUUGUUUAUCUUUGCUUUGUAAGUAUGAGUGGCUAAACCCCUAUUUAGUUAGGGGGAAGUUUGAAGCCAUGAACGUGCUUGAGAUUUAAAUUGAUUUCUUCCAAUUGUGAUUUGAUAAGUUGUGAUUGCAAUUCAAUUAUCUAUUUUAUUCAUAACUAAUUCUUGUAUGUUUAUUAAGGAUGCAUACUUAGUUUUCAUGCAUGAAUUAGAUGCUAGAAUAUAAAUGAGUUUCACCUAAUCGUUACAAAUUUAUAUUCAUAAGUAGUGAAGGUUGUUUAUCACAAUCGCGUUAAUUGAAUUCUUGGCAUAAGUUUCAUGCAAUUCAUAGUUACAAGUGUUUCGUCAAUACUUAUGAUUUUCAUAGAACUUAAUGAUUCUUGCUUGUAUCUCUAUUAUGCAAUUCAUGUAGGGAACUUGUGGGAAUGCUUUGGGUUGUUGUAUGCAAUCAUCCAAUUCAAUGAAAUUAGGAAAAUCUGAGGAUUAAUUUAAGCGUACCUAAUUAAUCUGGGGUGUUGAGCAUCAUAGUUUAUUGAAAAGCAAUUGGAAAUCAAUUCAUAUACAAGUGUGUCAUGUGUGAAGAACGGACCUCUAACUAAUCCAUCCAUCAUCUUAUUUCUUAAAUUUGUUUUACAAUCUUCCUAGUUUUAUAACUUGUUUGUUUGUUUCAAAUUCAUCAAAACUAAAAUCCCCCUUUUACUUUCUUGUUUCAAAGUGUUUAAAAUUUGUUUGUUUGUGUUUUAGAGUGUUUUGAGUCAAGUCAAAACCCAAAUUUCGUCCAAAGUUAUGCUAGAGUCAGAAACUGCCUAGUUUGUGUUUUUAGGCAGUUUUGAGUGUCUUUAAGUUAUUUUGAGUCUUGUGAACCUGUUUUGAGUUCUUUAAGUCUAUUCAAACGUUUUUAACUUUGUUUUUAUGUUUUUGAGUUAGUUUAGAGGUUUUAGCAAGCCCUCCUAAUCCCCGGUUUAGAACGAUCCCUACUUACAUACUUUACUACAAUUGUCAAAAAGAGGGUUUAAUUCAAACGUUUUUAACUUUGUUUUUAUGUUUUUGUACUGUUUUUUAUUUUUUUUAUUAGUACCUCAUAAUAGGUUAGUAAUAAUGUGAUUCAAUUAGUUGUUCAUUAAAUAAUAUUUUCUCUAUUCUUAAUGUAAAUUCUAUAGAGACUAAUUUUAUUAUGUGGAUUUAGCUGAUUUAAUUGGUUCAUGAGGGGUUUCUUUUAGCAUGAUCUAAGAUUAUUCAUUUACUUUUUCUUAUAUAUAAAGCCAACAAGCCCAAUGAAUAGUGUUUUUUGGUGUCACAAGCUUCACCAAAAUAAAUGGACAAAAAUGUCCCUCAAACAAAAAAACUUCAAAAGCAACCCAAAAUAAUGCAUCAAAUGUGGCAGAGGUAUUUUCGUCAUUUAAACAGUGUUUUUUUUAAUAAUUAAUUUUUUGUACAGUUUUUUUUAAUUAGUAGCUCACAAUAGGCUAACAAUAAUGUGGUUCAAUCAACAGUUCAUUAAAUAUUAUUUUCUAUAUUCUUAAUGUAAAUUCUAUAAAAAUUGAUUUCAUUAUGUGGAUUCAACUGCUUUAAUUGGUUUAUGAGGGGUUUCUUCUAGCAUGAUCUAAGAUUAUUCAUUUACUUCAAAUAUUUGACUUUCCUUUUGUCAAUUUACGCAUAUAAAUACAUUUAAAACGUGUAAGACGCGUGUAGCAUGCCGUGAUUUAAAAAACGUCUUCUGCACGUGCAUUCAUGAAGGCUAGUAAGAAAUAGUUUCUCAACUAAAGAAAUGAAUGGUUGGAUACUUUUUUAUUUUUUAAUUUUUUUAAUUUUUUUUAAAGUUAGUGGAACAUAUAAAUUUCUAGUAAGGAGAGUAGAGAAGGAAGAGAGAAAAUCAAAGGAUCAUCACCCAAAAAGUGUUACUCAUGUAUUGUAGUUUGAUAAUCGAAACUAUCUAUAUUUUCAAUAUCAUUCAUUAUAAUUAACAGGCCAAUUUUGUUAAUCCACAAUCAAAUUACUUAUAUCUCAGUGAAACUCAUUUCACAUUGAGCUGAAGACAAGUACUCCAAACACCUAUUUGAUUGACUAAAAACAGUUGCACACAUAAAAGCACAAUAAGAGAAGCGCCCUGCCAGCAAGUUAUGGUACCAACAUUCAAUCAUGAAAUCUAAACCUGUCAAUUUCUUACACAACCCGUUAACAUGAUACGUAAAUGAGACGAACAUAACGGGUUUCGGAUCGAUACGAUAACUAAUCAGGUCAUUAUUGAGUCACACGAUAAGAACCUGUUCAUAACGGAUCAGUAACAGGUUUACACGAGAGUGACAAGCGGUGACGCGGGUAACCCGUUGCAACACGAUAAGAAAAAAAGUUAUUUUGAUUAUUUUAAUUUUUUAAACUACUAAAAAAACUUACUAUAAAAUACAAUGGCCAUAGUCUAUAUGUAUUUAUUGUAUAUUAAAAUUUGUAUUGUUGCAUUAUUAUUCUACAUAAAUUUAAAAAUUUGAAGUUUUCUUUAUUUUUAAGGAAAGCUAAUGAAAAUGGCUUGAAAACUUUAAGUUUUAACGAUAAGGACAAAAUAAAGGAUAAAGUGAAUAGUACCAAGAUUGACUUUUUAGUGUAAAAAUGUGGUUUUUCGUUAAAGUGAACAGUACUAAGAGCUUUUCGUUAAAGUUCCAUUGUUUUUAUAGUAUACACUAGGCAAUGAGUGAGAUUAAAAAAAUUAUAAAACACAUUAAAAAUAAAAAUAUCAAGUAAUUUAAAAAUACCAAAUACAUUAAAAAAAUAUAAUAACUAAUUUACAAGUGCCAAAAAAUGUGAAACAAAAUAUGCAAAAGCUCGUGAUCGUAUUCUCUACCCUUUAAGGAUGGGUACAUCGUCGUUUGAAUUUUUGAAACCAUACAAAGCCUCAUGAAUAGUAUUUUAAGGGAGUUCAAAAUAAACCAAUAUUAUUUCCCUUGGUGAUUGAUGAAAAUUAUUGUAAAAAACAUGUAAGGUUUCCUCAACCUUGAAACACAACUCCUUUUAUUUUGCAUAUCCUUGAACAUUUGGUAUUUUGUUGUAAUGCACUAAUGUUUUUUCAUUAGACUCUUAUUUUUGGGUAUGUAAUACUUAAAAGACAAAUGUUGUUUUUAUGUUUUAAAGUAAUAUUUAUGUGACAAUGUGAUAUACGUAUACAAAUUUAGUAUUAUGUUUUCAUUUUUUUUGGGGUCAAAUUAUGGUUUUCAUUUCAUUAUUUAUUGAUUUAAAUAUAUUUUUCUUAAUGGGUAACAGGUCGGGUUACAUUACCUGAUAAUAUUAAAGGGUCGAUUUCAGGUCGGGUCAUAUUACCCAUUUACUUUAACGGGUGUUACACAACACGACCUGUUAAGAUAUCAGGUAUGUCACGAAAACGACACGAACACAGUAUACACGACACGAAUGUCAAGUCUAAUGAAAUCUAUAUAAUUCAAUUAACUCAUGUAAAUUCAAGCAUGUAAUCAAGCAUAAGAUAAGCAAGUAAACUGAGCAAGUUCAAAGAUUAAAAAUAAGUUGACAAACACUAUGAAGAAAAUUCACUAAGAACAAAACUAAAUAUACAAUUCAGUCAAGCUUAGGGCUAGUUUGGCAGUGCUGAAAUUAUUUUAAAAGCAGUUUUUUAAAAAAGCUAGGGCUAAAAUUGUGUUUGGUAAAUGAAAAAAAAAGUGUUUAUUGUCAAAAUCAUGGGUCCAAAACAGCAGAAAGCAGAAGUAGUUAUACCUCUGCUUUUGAAAACAACAUUUUUUUUUUCAUAGUACAACAAUCCCAAACUAGCCAUUAAACACUUACAUUUAAGUGAUUCUUUGCUUAAACUCCAGUCGAUCAAGUUAACAAUGAAACUUGAUUGAAUCAAUGCCUAGGAAGAGCCUAGCCACAUUAACUAAACGAAUCUAACUCAGAACAAUAUUUGCGAUGCGAAAUCUUCUUUAAGAGACACCUUGACGAGGGAGGGUGCAUUCAACAAAAUAGUUCCACUCCUUCGUGGUCCUCUUCCGUGGUAGAUAAAGAACAAACCACUUUCAAAGAACGGAGAUGUGUAUCGCCAUAAAUACAAAGGUGUUCAAGAAGUUCGCAAUGCGAUAUAACCUGCUCAACGGGUUCUCUACUUAUAUUUAUAUACUUCAAAUAAAGAUGUAUAUAGAAUAGACAAUUUCAUUAGUGUCGAGGAAAAAAAAUACCGAGACGGGCGUAUCCGCCGAGUUGAUAUAUUCCUAUACCUAUUUGAUUAUAGGCGCAAUGAGCUAUAGGCUCAUAUACCUAUUUGGCUAUAGGCACAAUAAGCUAUACGCUUCCAAGUGCAUGAAUAUAAGCUUUAUAUUCAUCUAUAUGGGGCUACAAAGCCAAUAGCCGAUACAAUUGGCUAAAUGUUUUUAAAUUGACUAGCAAUAAAGAACAAAUGAUUGUUCUUUUGCCAUAAAUAUAAAAGAAAACUAAUGAAAAAUGUUUGAAAAUUUUGAGUUUUAAUCAAAAGGAUAAAAAUGUGUUGUAAGUUAAUAGUACCAAUAGUGACUUUUUAGAGUGAAAAUGUCAUUUUCGUUAAAAGUGAACAGUACCGAGAGUGUUUCGUUACAACUCCCUAAAUGUAACUGUAGAAAUAAAAGGAAAAACUAAUUAAGGUAAAAAGGCAUAGAGAUCAAAAGUUUAAAAUUUACAAAUUAAAUUCAUGGUAAUCCAAUUAUGCCGAUUGAUUGGCCUUUUAUUACAGUGUUAGUAGUGAAAAAGUGUUGAGUCUUUACAUGAUGGUGUGGAUUUGAACUUCGUCAAUGACUAAUCUAACAUUUCAUCUAACAAAAUUUAUCGUUUGAUCAAAAAAAAAAAAAUUAUGCCGAUUGAUUAUACGUCGUGCACGCACAGUGCCAAGGAAAAAAAUCAAAGUGAAAAUGAAUGGCAGACAUAUACCAGUAAAUGUAUAUAUGGUUUUUCAAAGAAUAUGCGCAUAAACAAAUGCGGAAUUUCAAAGGAUACAUCACACAGGAUUUUAUCGAUGCGGAAUUACAUUGUCCAUAUCACUCUUCUGCCUUCCAAGAGUAAUUAAACAAGUAAACUUGUGUUGACCCUAAAAGCUACCAAGCUUACGUGGCCCGCAGGCCGAGUAACUAAUGAGCUAAUUACGUCCUUCGGUUAUGUGCGGGGCGUGCCAACUCGAUGGCCGAGCUAGCCGGGGAGUAAAAUUUGUUGAUGUUGCGUUGAGUGCGCUGUUGACUUCUUGAUCUUGCAACUACGGCCGAGGAAGGAACAUGUCUCGGCCUUCGGGUUCUAGAGCCUGAAGAUAAGGCUGCUAGUCUGGCAAAGUUCAUGGAUUGUCGGCGCCGGGUUCCGUCACGGUGAUUAUAUUCGUAAAAGUAUAAGCACACCGAACUGGCUCCAAACUAUACAGACACAAGUACUCAAAAGAGAUAUAUGUCUUGAUGGUGAAUGUGGUUCGACCGUCAGAAUGCCGAAUUCUAAAACUUACCUAUGUAUAUCCAAUCAUCAACAACUCGACUUUCAAUGUGCCGAGCCCAAUAAUCUAUAACACCUCACUUCACCAAGAAGGCUAAUGAGAUGACCUAUGCCAACAAGAACUCGAAAAUCAUUCUUGGCCGAGACUUGGAUAGAUAAUCAAUCGGCCUCGACGCAGUGCUGUUUAUCCAAACUGAAGGUGCUCCGCGGUCAGUUGAUUAUACGGCAACAAUAUUGUUUAUCCAAACUGAAGGUGUUCGUCGGUUGCCUUCACAGUGUUGUUUAUCCAAACUGAAGAUGUGUCGGCGAAAAAGAAAAUAAAAAUCUCAAGGUUGUUGACAGGUUUCGCGUAGAGCGAGAGUUUGCUCAAGGCAGUUUAUGUGCUAUUAAAACUCUUCCACUGACUUGAGCCUCGGAUAAGCCUUACUACUCCUAAGACUCUGAACUUAGUAAAAAAUGCAACCAAAUUCGAUCCUUGUGUUCUUAUCACAUCGAAUCUCAAGAUAAUGUGCAUGCUUGGAUUUGAACAAAUAACGUUCAUCUAAACAGCCACCAAUUAUAUAUAUAUAUAUAUAUAUAUAUAGCUGGUAGCCUUUCACACGACAUGCAGGCCAAGUCCAUCAUCAAUUCAAUUCAUCUGACAACAUCCAUAAAUAACCUAGCCUACUUGCGUCUCCUAUCUCACCAUUAUCCAAGCCUUGCAAAUCCCAUGCUAUGCUACGUGAUAAGAAUCCAAGCCGAGUUGCUCUAAUCCAUAUGGUACACUGCUAACAAAUCCAAAUUAAAUCAGACUGUUCUGCCUGUCUCUACGUUGGGGCUAUGAUUUUUAUCCUAUUUAUUUUGUACAAGAAAAUCAAGAUAAUUUAUUGAAAGAUAAUUAUUAUGAUUAAAAACCAUAAUUUUAUCUCUUAACAAUCGCAAAUUAUCUUAACUUUCUUAUCCGACGGUUAAGAACCAUGCUCACUCAACGGUCUCGAUUACUUGGGCCGAUGGUGUAAAAUCGGGUCCAAACAACUUGCAAACUGAUAAUCUUAUUGAAGUUAUAUAUUCAAAGAAUGACUAACACACGAUAAUAAUCAAAAGUAAAAUAAUAUAAAGUUUUGAUUUCACAUGUUGACUUUGUAUAGAUUUCCUAUUAUUCCAGGAUCACUUUAAUCUUGGUGUUUGGACCCGAUUUUACACCAUCGGCCCGAGUAAUCGAGGCCGUUGAGUGAGCAUGGUUCUUAACCUUCGGAUAAGAAAGUUAAGAUAAUUUGCUAUUGUUAAGAGAUAAUAUUAUGGUUUUUAAUCUUAUAGCCCUAACGUAGAGACAGGCAGAACAGUCCGAUUUAAUUUGGAUUUGUUAGUAGUGUAUCGUGUGUUACUAUUCAAAAGGGUUAUCGUUGUUAUCACCUUCCAACCAAGAAAUUGUUUAUCACUGCCGAUGUCACUUUCCAUGAAAAUGAGACGUAUUUUGGUUCCUCUGAGUCCUCACUGGGGGUGUUUCAAGGUGAUGAAGUUUGUUUAUACCAUAUUUAGGGCCUUGUAUUUAGACCUCGUAUAAAUACUCGAGGGACUUAAAUGUAAUUAUGCGGUAAAGGAAAGGGCAAAUAUGUAAUAAGUAAAGAGUCUUUAUUCUAUAAAAGGACCCCUCACCCUCACAAUUAGGGGAGGCCAUUUCUGGAGCCUUCUCACCCCUCUCAUAUCUCCUCUCAUUACAGAGGUUCUCUCCCUCACUUCUCAGAGAAAUACAAUACAAUCAGUGUGGACGUAGCCCAAACCUUGGGGUAAAUCACGAUACAUCUUGUGUUAUUUACAUUAUAUACAGAUUCACGGUCGGAUUUACGUUGUUCCAAGACCUCUGGUUUUGUGCAUCAACAUUUGGCGCCGUCUGUGGGAAACGACACAAAAAACUAUGUCGGUUCUCUCUCAUUUUUUUACCUCCACCGUGAAUCUGCAAAACCUCAACUCUCUAAACACCACACAACACAACUCAAGAAAACCUCAACUCAUCGUUGUUUAUUUCGCAAUGAGCUUCUCUGUUGCUUCAAUCUCUGCCGUCCAUCACGGUAAUAAACACCAAAACCCAACUUGUGGAGCUCAAAAUGUGUAGAGAGACGAAUGAUCUGUUUCUUAAGCUAGAUCAGACUGUCUAGAAUCCUUUGAAAUCCCAGAUGUUAGUACUAUCCCGCGUCGCCGACUCCUCGGAGUACAAUCUCUUGCACUUCCCGGCACUCCCCGGCGAACGCCGCCAGCUUUUGUUGUCAGCGAUCCUGUGGAUUGAGGUAGGGAUACUCAGGUUCUCUGUGGCAUUCUAAGAUCUGUAAGGCUUCCUGGAGAAUGGACAUCAACCGCCUCUAUAUUUUACCGCAGAUGAUCUUGAGUAUCAGAUCUGCACUCUCUUCCUCUCGAAGUUUUCUCCUCGCUCCGCCGAUGGAUUUACAGCUCCGUUCCUCCGCCGAUAUGGCCCUACCAAUUGAGACAGUUCAGAAAUUUGAGCCUCCUCAAAAAAUUGUGGAACCCCAUGUCACCUAUCAUCAUGAUCAUUCCUCGCAUCCACCUCUUAAUGAAAGGAUACUUUCAUCUAUGACCAGGAGGUUUAUCGCUGCUCACCCGUGGCAUGACCUUGAAAUCGGACCUAGAGCUCCUAAGAUUUUCAACUGUGUUAUCGAAAUCCCAAAAGGAAGCAAGGUGAAAUAUGAGCUUGACAAGAAAACUGGACUCAUCAAGACUUCAUUGUCAACCACCUGGUCAAGACCUUCCAGAAAUGUCUCAUCUCCAUCGUUAAUCUCCGGUUGGUCCCUUGGGGCAACGCCUGGCUCAAUCCCGACGUUUCCCUCACCUGUCAGUGGGCCAAUCACGGAUCCCUCAAAGUCUAUCACGGCUAUAACCCAGGCCCUCGCCGGCUCCGGCAUCGCCAUCGCCAUCGGCGCCUCGAAUGGGGACAUCCUAGCCCUCGCACUACGAUCCCAAUGUGGCGGUGCAGUGGAAAGUUUUGAAGACAAAGAUCAAGAACCGGUUAAACGCCAACUUUCUCAUGAGAAAAUGUUUCAUGUUUUGGACUUGUACCAAGCGGUAUCGGAUCUAUGGCCCGAGAUCGAGUCCAUUUUCUCAUUCGAAUUAACCUCCGUUGUCUGAUCCCUGAUGGUUAACUCCCUGGUGAAGUAGGGCGAGGCCGUCCGUCCAAUCCCUGGCGGUUAACUCUCUGGUGAUGUUAAUGCCAAAGACAGGGAAUAAACACCUGUACGCCGACAGGCUCUCGAAGCUUCUGGAAAGUUCCACACAUUUCUAUGGGAUUCCUCAUCCUUCAGGAGCUCAAUCCUCGCUCUUCUCUCUACUAGCAGAUGGCGAAUGCAGAACUAUCUUGGACGAUUGAGGAAGAGCAGACUGGGGGAUCUGCUCCGUAUAUAUCUUUACUUGCCGGGUCAGGCUUAUAUGCUCAAAGAUCGACAGAACCGUACAACAUCUCAUUGGAGCCAGCAUGGUGAUUCCGAUUAUAUACAUGAUUUUAUUAUACAAGUGGGAAACAAAAGCAAAAGAAGAAAGCAAAAGCAAAAGCAAAAAAGAGAAAAAGAAAGAAACACCAUCAUCCAAAAACAGGCAAAGGCAAUCAUCCACUAACAGUAGCACGGGCACCACCAACGGGUCAUCCACGAACUCCAACCAUGCACUCACCUGUUAUAUAUAUUAUCUCCACUGCCAUUAUUACCAUAGAAAUCUCAGUGUCCAAGCAGUUGCCACUUUAAAGAGAAAGCGAAAGAAGAAAGCAAAAGCAAAGCAGAAAACAAAAGCAAAAGCAAUGCACCAACGAUUGCUUUAUUUAUUUUUGAAUGAUGUAAUUUAUUUUUCGUAUCUUUCGGAGAUAUUUGUAUAAACCCCAUCAGAGGGUAAAAAAAAAAAAGGCAAAGCCCAAAAUAAAAGGGUUGGAAUGUUGUGUGGAGAGCGAAGGCCCAUAAGCCUAAAAUAGCACCAACCAGGUCAUCAAAAGUACGCCCAGUACUCCACAAUUGUUCGGCAACCCGCCGCAAUUACCACCAACCAGGUGAUUAAAAGUACGCCCAGUACUCCAAAAUUAUUCGGCAACCUGCCGUUAUUACCACCAACCAGGUGAUGAAAUGUACAACCUGUACUCUAAUAUCAUUUGGCAACUAGCCAUUCAUGCCACCAACCAGGUGAUGAAAUGUACAACCCGUAGUACUCUAAUAUCAUUUGGCAACUAGCCAUUCAUGCCACCAACCAGGUGAUGAAAUGUACAACCCGUACUCUCCUUCAUGCCACCAACCAGGUGAUCAAAAGUACGCCCAGCACUCCAAAUUAUACAUGAGCAUUACUCAUGUCAUUCAUACAUAAACAUUCAUGAGCAUCACUCAUGACAAUCAUACAUAAACAUUCAUGAUCAUCAUUCAUGUCAACAUUCAUGAGCAUCACUCAUGUUAACAUUCAUGAGCAUCACUUAUGACAACAUCCAUGAGCAUUACUCAUGUCAAUCAACAUAAACAUUCAUGAGCAUCACUCAUGUCAAUCAGCUUCAAAAGCUUCAUUUACGGAGCUCUAGCUUCAAAAGCUUCAUUUACAAAAGCUCUAGCUUCGAAAGCUUCAUUUACAGAGCUCUAGCUUCAAAGCUUCACUUGUAAAGCUUCACCUACAAAGCUUCAGUACAGGGUAUACAAAUACCACCUCCGAACAACCGCCACUUUGGCCCUUACAUGGAUUCAAUUUGAAGUCUCCAACCAACAGACUCUAUUGACCGAAGACUUGGGAGACUACAUUAUGUACCAUAUAUUGGGCCUCAACUGGGCCUUAUGAAAAAUACUUGGGGGACUUAGUCCAUUAUUUAUGUAUUAAUGAGCGAGCCCUUAUUCUAUAAAAGGGACUCCCUCACUUUCAUUAGAGAGCACUCAUUAUUCAUAUAUUGAGAAGCGAGCCUUUAUUUUAUAAAAGGGACUCACUCACCUUUAUUAGAGAGCAACGCUGCCAGCUGAGCAACCGCCUCGCCUCGAGCAUCACUCCUAGCCCAUCACUUAUGUAUUGAGGAGCGAGCCCUUAUUCUAUAAAAGGGACUCCCUCACCUUCAUUAGAGAGCAACGCCGCCUACUGAGCAACCGCCUCACCGUGAGCAUAAACUCUAGCCCAUAUUUAUGUAUUGAGGAGCGAGCCCUUAUACUAUAAAAGGGACUCCCUCACCUUCAAACGCCACAAGCCGAGCCAACCAAGGCAACAUAAGCCACGAGCCGAGCAGCCUCGCAGCGUGUGCUACUUCUAGUUCAGCGUCAUUUCAGAUUAAGCACUACCUCAUAUCGAGCAUCAGUUCAAGACAGCAUCUAGUUACUUCGGCCCACACAUGGACUGAAUUUCAAGUUUCCAGCCAAAAGACUCUCUUGACUGAAGACUUGGGGGACUACUGUUUGUACCAUAUUUAGGGCCUCGUAUUUAGACCUUGUAUAAAUACUCGAGGGACUUAAAUGUAAUUAUGUGGUAAAUGAAAGGGCAAAUAUGUAAUAAGUGAUGAGUCCUUAUUUUAUAAAAGGACCCCUCACCCUUACAAUUAGGGGAGGCCAUUUCUGGAGCCUUCUCACCCCUCUCACAUCUCCUCUCAUUACAGAGGUUCUCUCCCUCACUUCUCAGAGAAAUACAAUACAAUCAGUGUGGACGUAGCCCAAACCUUGGGGUGAACCACGAUACAUCUUGUGUUAUUUACAUUAUAUGCAGAUUCACGGUCGGAUUUACGUUGUUCCAAGACCUCCGGUUUUGUGCAUCAACAAAGUUCAAAUGUUUAAUUAUGGAACCGAGGAAUAAGCCAUUGUACAAAAACCCACUGCCGAGUAGCAAGUUGCUGCACAAAAGCCCAUUACCAAGGAAGAGGAAACUGCACAGUAGCUUACUGCCAAGCAACAAGCUGCUGCACGGCCGCCUAUCACCAAGCUACAGGCCACGGAGCGGCAGCCUACUGCCAAACCUGAGAGGGAGGAAGACACUAUUCCCUUUGAGGAAAACAGAGCACAUUCCGAGGUGAUUGAUGAUGGUAACCAAUGGCAGUUGGAACCCACGAUUUUGGAUGAAACAAUACAUGCAAACUCGUCUCUCAGUGAUUCUCAUAACCAAUCAUCUUCCACGCUAGAAGGACCACGACUCUGUAGUCUCCCGGAACUGAGUAACCGAGAUAUUCCUAAACCCACUUGUGAGGUAGACCUUAAGUGUAAAACUAAAUAUUCAAUGAGUGAAUCAACCCAGAACCCGAGAGUGAGGUACCCACUAAACAACUUUGUGUCUACCUGUUACCUGUUUGAAUCAAAUAAGUUAUUUGUGAACCAAUUGUCUACUGUAUAUAUUCCUAACAGUGUGUAGGAUGCCCUAGCAGAUCCUAGAUUGAAAGAAGCAAUGAAUGAGGAAUUAAGGUUACUGAAGAAGAAUGCUACCUGGGAACUAUCAGACUUGCCAAAAGGCAAAAAACCUGUGGGAUGUAAAUGGGUAUAUACAGUGAAGUACAAAGCAGAUGGAAUGGUUGAUUGGUUUAAAGCGAGAAUGGUAGCAAAGGGAUGCACUCAAAAAUAUGGCAUAGACUACACAGACACCUUCGCGCCAGUAGCUAAGAUCAAUAUCGUUUGAGUUCUAUUAUCUCUGGCAGCAAACCUAGAUUGGCUGUUGCAAUAGUUCGAUGUAAAAAAUGUGUUCUUACACGAAGACCUAACCGAAGAAAUUUAUAUGGACCUUCCACCAAGAUGUACCGGAAUAGACAUGCGAAAUGGAAAGGUAUGUAGGCUUAAAAAGUCAUUAUAUGGGUUGAAGUAGUCACCAAGGGCAUGGUUGGGUAAGUUCACUAAACCAAUGAAGGCGUUUGGGUAUAGACAAAGCAAUUGGGAUCAUACUUUGUUCUUAAAGCGCAAGAAUGAGAAGAUUAUGGCACUCAUUGUAUAUGUGGAUGACAUGGUGGUUACUGGAAAUGAUUCGGUUGAGUAAUCAGAACUGAAGAAGUAUUUGUCCACAUAGUUCGAAAUGAAGGACCUUGGGCCUCUGAAAUAUUUUCUCAGGAUCGAGGUAUCGAGAAGUAAGUUCGGGAUAUUUUUGUCCCAAAGAAAAGAUAUAUUGAUUUGUUGAAAAACACCGGGAUGUCAGCAUGCAAGCCGGUCACUACUCCGUUGACCGAAGGGAUGAAGUUGAGUUUAGAUCCAAAUCAAGUACCAGUAGACAAAGGAAGAUAUCAAAGGUUAGUGCGAAGAUUAAUGUACUUGGCCCAUACAAGACCAGAUCUUGCCCAUGCUUUGAGCGUGGUCAGUCAGUAUAUGCACUAUACCGAGAACAACAUAUGCAAGCGGUUAUGAGGAUAUUGUGCUACUUAAAAGGAAGUCCAGGAAAGGGACUUUUGUUUAGAAAGAACACGCAUUUCAGAAUUGAAAGAUAUAUUGAUGCUGAUUAGGCAGGUUCGAUAGAUGACCGACGUUCAACAUCUGGAUAUUUUACCUUUAUAGGUGGUAACCAGUGAGGUGGAGAAGUAAGAAACAAAAUGUAGUAGCACGGUCUAAUGCUAAGGCUAAGUAUAGAAGUAUCGCUCUUGGCAUUUGUGAACUUUUGUGGCUUAAGUUCCUAUUGCAAGAUUUGGGGGGGUUAAACAUAGUCAGCUAAUGAAGUUAUUCUUGACAACAAAGCUGCACGAGAUAUUGUUCAUAAUCCGAUACAACAUGAUAGGACUAAGCAUAUGGAAGUUGACAGAUUCUUCAUUAAAGAAAAGAUGGAAGGGAAAGUAAUUGAAGUUCCUCCAAUCGGGACCAAGGACCAAGUGGCAAACAUACUCACUAAGUCCAGCCCUAGUGAGAAAUUCUCAAAGUUUUUGGACAAGUUGGGCAUGUGUGACAUACAUACACCAACUUGAGGGGAAAUGUUGACUUUGUAUAGAUUUCCUAUUAUUCUGGGAUCCUUUUAAUCUUGGGUUUCCUAGUUUAAAAGAUAUUGUCUUGUAAUUAUCUUGUAAUUAUUCUUUCCUAUUUACAGUAGAAUUGUAUAUGAUUAUAUAUACCUCUUAAUGAGAAGAAUAAAAUAUAUAUUCAAAGCUUUCUCUUCUUCACAUAUGCAAUUUAGAUAUGUGAAAAUUCACGAGAAGAAAAGAAAAUCAAAAGCAUGUUGCAGUCCAAUCGUUAAGUGUAGAAAAAGUCUAAUCCAUGCAAUGACUCUAGCUUAGAUGAGGAAAAGCGGGUUGAUAACGUGUUGGAAUUAAAGUAUAUAUAUAUAUAUAUAUAUAUAUAUAUAAAAGACAAUAUAGAGAUGGGAGGAGAAAACUAAGCCAAGAGGAUCUUAGAGAUCCUAUAAUCACAUCCGUUUAUCGUACAUCGUGCAAUCAGAAAUCAUUGUAAUUUUUUUAUAUUUAAAAUUGAAUAUAAAUAGUACUUAACAAAAAUUGACCGUACAAUAUACGAUGAACGGAUGUGAUUGGAGGAUCCCCGGGAUCCACACAAAGAGGAUCCGACGAGGAUCCUCACUCAAAACUAAGUAUCUUCCUUCUCAUUAGAGUGCCUAUUUAUAAGUGUAGGAUUUACAUAGAAAGGUAUUCAACUAUUGAGAUAUUAUAUAUUGGUCCAAAAAAUGAACAUCCAUAUGAUAGAUAUUAUGUAUAACAAUUUGGAUUAUAUUCCUAUGGAACUGCCCCUCCAAAAAUCACUUCUAUAUAUACUCCUUGCAAAUGUUUUUUCUUAAAAAAAAAAAAAACAACAACAACAACUCUAGUGUGCAACUGGGCUUGUGAGAUGUUCUUACGAAGAAAGUUAAGGUUCUACCAUAAAAUCAAUUGGCAAUAUGAAGAAUAGUCUAACUUACUUAUAAGGCUUUGCAAUGUUUCUCUUUUCAUCAAUGUGAUAUUAUUUUACCUUCACAUCCUCACACGCCCCCCUCACGUGUAGCGAAUUUUAAAGCCAAACACAUGGACAACACGAAGUGGGUGACGUGGAGUAUGUGUUGCCAUUGAUCUUCAUAUAUGGGUUAACUUGCUCUGUUACCAUAAACAAAGUUGAAGUUCAACUAUAAAACCAAUUGACAAUAUAAGGAGUAGCCCAACUUACUUAUAAGCUCUUGCAAAGUUUCUUCUUUCAUCAAUUUGAGACUCUUUUACCUUCACACCAAGAGCUUGGUAGGAAAUUAAUUUGGCAUCAUCCUGGGCAAGAUGCUUUUAUACCACAGAACAAAACUGUUGUUGGUAUAUAUAGUUCAUUUUUCUUUUAGAAUUAUUCAAAUAUUACAAAUUUAUUGAGGUUUAUAAUGUGCCAACAAAAACCUUGAAAUAUCCAGGUGCACUAUGCUUCUUCAUCGAUGUGUUCAAAUUUGAUCUGUCGGCCUUGGAUACUUUUUGUACCCAGCUUGUAUUUUUCCUGGGAUUCUAGCGAGAAUGUGUGUGGCUCACAUCUCCCAAACUUGCGUGCACUUACUCAUACAGUGGGGUCUGGAUGUGACCCUACGGAAAAGCUCCAAGUGAAGGCAUGUGUUGUAAAUGUCCCAUAGCUAGUCCAUGUGCGUGUUGGUUUAGUAGAUUCAUUGCAAGCAUAAAGGAGACAACUUCAUUGAUUAACAUGGUUUGGUUUAAGAAAAACCCUAGCUAACUAGGAGCUUAUUAAGUAGAUUAAUUGACACAUCCUGACCCAGAAUAUUUAUCUGGACUUUGAAUUGUGCUAUGUUGACCGAUACCUAGAAGGUGACGAAGCCAUAAAGUGUAGUAAUGUGGAAAGUAUGAGUAAAUUUAAAACUAAAAGUGACUAAAUGCAAGAGUGCGCAUGUGAGCAGGAUUGAACUCAUUUCACAUGUGAUGUCUGAGCAUAAGUAAAGUAUAAUAAAAGUAAAUAAGAAUUAUACCAUCAGAAGUAAUCUCCAUUUAAGCUCCGUUUGCACCCACGCGUUCGUAACGUUAAGUACUGCAAUGAUACACUAAAAGAAUGGGACAUACAUCUCACGAUACAAUGGUCAAUGAAAGUCAACAUUCUUGCCUCUUGGGGCAUUUUGGUCAAUUCACUCCUUUAGAAAUAAAAAUACCGUAAAAUUAGGGUCGGGUCCUAACAUUUACUCCAUUUAAUUGACACAGAAUACUAAAAGCAGUCUAAAGUUCACUUGCAAAUGAGUUCUAAUAAAGUUUCUUUUAGAUAGGUCCAUUAGGCUUAAAUUAGGAGAGAUUUUCUUAUGUAUCCAAAACACAAAUAUAUGAUCAUAACUUCUACCAAUCACAAGUGGGGCUUAUGAUUUAUUUUUUCUUUCUCCUCUCGAUUAAGCUUUUAAGUCCUGUCCAUUUUUGACCUAUGUCUAAGCUUUGGAUCAAAAAUUUGAUCAUCAAAGUGUCCAUUCUAUUUAGAGCUUCUUUCCAAGAUUAGUGUGUUUAAUCCCAAAUGCAUUUAGGCUCACAUGACAUAACUCCUGUCAAAUUUAAUUAGACUUGUCCUGUCCAAAAAACAGUCCGCCAAAUGUGACCAAGUUAUGUUUUACCACAUAAAAUACCAGUGUUGUAUUGGACUAUAUUAUUGUACUACACAACCCAAACAUUGUGCACACGGUGCGGUAUACUAUUAUUUGGUCCACUGUAGCAAAUUUAAUACGGUAUAUAUUAUCGAACGGAAAAAAAGUUAUAUAAAAUAUUUGUGGCAUGCUCCGUUACAAGUAGGCCUGGCAAACGGGUUGUGUCAGUCGUGUUCGUGUCGUUUUCGUGUAACACCUGUUAUCUUAAUGGGUCGUGUCGUGUCACACCUGUUAUCUUAACGGGUCCUUAACAGGUCGGGUCACCGUUAUGACCCGUUAAGAAAAAAAAAAAUUCUUAAAUUUGCACAUACCACACAUUGUCACAUAAAUAAUACUUCAAAACAUUAAAACACAUUUGUCGUUUAAGGACUACAUCUACACUCGAAAAUAAGAGCCUCAUAAAAAAUACAUCCAUACACUACUAAUCUAUUACAAAUAUUAAAUGUGCAAGGAUAUGACAAAUGAAACCGUUUUUGUUUUCAAGGUUGUGAAACCUUUCUCAAAAGUUUAAACCUUGCUAAUAGAACUCAAAACUUAAUGAAAGUGACUCACUAGAGUGUUUAUUCGUACUUUCAUUAAGUAUAACAUAAGAUUUUGUGGUAUCCACUAGUGUAAAUAUUUUAAAUUGAAGAUCGAAUUCAUUCAUUGUAUUCAUAUAGGGUCAAGGAGUGUAGUUGUAAAAAAUCAUCAAAAUCGGAGUUAAAAUAACCGUUAAAUUGUGAUUUUUCGUUUAUAACCGUCGAAAAGUUUUGUCCCGUUACUUAAUCUUUAAAUGUUUGUUUUUUGCAAUUUUUUGGCGUACAAAAAAGUAUGACGGUUAGAUCGUUGAAACUAAUUUCGUAGAAUGCGUAUCUCAUCAAAACAAUAGGUUCACUAACACUUAAGAGUUUAUUCUUACUUUCAUUAAGUAUAACAUAAGAUUUUGUGGUAUCCACUAAUGUAAAUAUUUUAAAUUGAAGAUCGAAUUCAUUCAUUGUAUUCAUAUAGGGUCAAGGAUUGUAGCUGUAAAAAAUCAUCAAAAUCGGAGUUAAAAUAACCAUUAAAUCGUGAUUUUUCAUUUAUAACCGUCGAAAAGUUUUGUCUCGUUACUUGAUCUCUGAAUGUUUGUUUUUUGUAAUGUUUGGCAUAUGCAAUCUCAAAGUAUAUACAAACAUGUUUGACGGUUGGAUCGUCGAAACUAGUUUCGUAGAAUGCGUAUCCCAUCAAAACAAUAUAUUCACUAACACUUAAAGAUUUUAUUCAUACUUUCAUCAAGUAUAACAUAAGAUUUUGUGGUAUCCACUAAUGUAAAUAUUUUAAAUUGAAAAUCGAAUUCAUUCACUGUAUUUAUAUAGGGUCAAGGAGUGUAGCUGUAAAAAAUCAUCAAAAUCGGAGUUAAAAUAACCAUUAAAUCGUGAUUUUUCGUUUAUAAAGUUUUGUCUCGUUACUUGAUCUCUGAAUGUUUGUUUUUUGCAAUUUUUGGCAUAUGCGAUCUCGAAGCAUAUACAAACAAGUUUGACGGUUGGAUCGUCGAAACUAGUUUCGUAGAAUGCGUAUCCCAUCAAAACAAUAGAUUCACUAACACUUAAAGAUUUUAUUCAUACUUUCAUCAAGUAUGACAUAAGAUUUUGUGGUAUCCACUAGUAUAAAUAUUUUAAAUUGAAAAUCGAAUUCAUUCACUGUAUUUAUAUAGGGUCAAGGAGUGUAGCUGUAAAAAAAUCAUCAAAAUCGGAGUUAAAAUAACCAUUAAAUCGUGAUUUUUCGUUUAUAACCGUCGAAAAGUUUUGUCUCGUUACUUGAUCUCUGAAUGUUCGUUUUUUGCAAUUUUUGGCAUAUGCGAUCUCGAAGCAUAUACAAACAAGUUUGGCGGUUGGAUCGUUGAAAUUAGUUUCGCAAAAUGCGUAUCUCAUCAAAACAAUAUAUUCACUAACACUUAAAGAUUUUAUUCAUACUUUCAUCAAGUAUAACAUAAGAUUUUGUGGUAUCCACUAGUGUAAAUAUUUUAAAUUGAAGAUCGAAUUCAUUCAUUGUAUUCAUAUAGGGUCAAGGAGUGUAGCUGUAAAAAAUUAUCAAAAUCGGAGUUAAAAUAACCGUUAAAUCGUGAUUUUUCGUUUUUAACCGUAAAAAAGUUUUGUCGCGUUACUUGAUCUCUGAAUGUUUAUGUUUUGCAAUUUUUGGCAUAUACAAUCUCGAAGUAUAUACAAACAUGUUUGACGGUUGGAUCGUCAAAACUAGUUUCGUAGAAUGCGUAUCCCAUCAAAAUAAUAGAUUCACUAACAUUUAAAGAUUUUAUUCAUACUUUCAUCAAGUAUAACAUACACUAGUGUAAAUAUUUUAAAUUGAAGAUCAAAUUCAUUCAUUGUAUUCAUAUAGGGUCAAAAAGUGUAGUUGUAAAAAAUUAUCAAAAUCGGAGUUCAAAAUAACCGUUAAAUCGUGAUUUUUCGUUUAUAACCAUCGAAAAGUUUUGUCUCGUUACUUGAUCUCUGAAUGUUUUUUUUUUUGCAAUUUUUGGCAUAUACAAUCUCGAAGUAUAUACAAACAUGUUUGACGGUUGGAUCGUCGAAAUUAGUUUCGUAGAAUAUGUAUCCCAUCAAAACAAUAGAUUCACUAACAUUUAAAGAUUUUAUUCAUACUUUCACUAGUGUAAAUAUUUUAAAUUGAAGAUCGAAUUCAUUCAUUGUAUUUAUAUAGGGUCAAUGAGUAUAGCUGUAAAAGAUCAUCAAAAUCGGAGUUAAAAUAACCGUUAAAUCGUGAUUUUUCGUUUAUAACCGUCGAAAAGUUUUGUCCCGUUACAUGAUCUCUGAAUGUUUGUUUUUUGCAAUUUUUGGCAUAUGCGAUCUCAAAGCAUAUACAAACAAGUUUGAUGGUUGGAUCGUCAAAACUAGUUUCGUAGAAUGUGUAUCCCAUCAAAACAAUAGAUUCACUAACAUUUAAAGAUUUUAUAUAUACUUUCAUCAAGUAUAACAUAAGAUUUUGUGGUAUCCACUAGUGUAAAUAUUUUAAAUUGAAGAUCGAAUUCAUUCAUUGUAUUUAUAUAGGAUCAAGGAGUGUAGUUGUAAAAAAUCAUCAAAAUCGGAGUUAAAAUAACCGUUAAAUCGUGAUUUUUCGUUUAUAACCGUCGAAAAGUUUUGUCCUGUUACUCUAUCUCUGAAUGUUUGGUUUUUUCAAUUUUUGGCGUAUGCGAUCUCGAAGUAUAUACAAACAUGUUGACGGUUGGAUCGUUGAAACUAGUUUCGUAGAAUGCGUAUCCCAUCAAAACAAUAGAUUCACUAACACUUAAGAGUUUAUUCAUAAUUUCAUCAAGUAUAACAUAAGAUUUUGUUACUAGUGUAAAUAUUUUAAAUUGAAGAUCGAAUUCAUUCAUUGUAUUCAUAUAGGGUCAAGGAGUGUAAAUGUAAAAAAUCAUCAAAAUCAGAAUUAAAAUAACCGUUAAAUCGUGAUUUUUCGUUUAUAACCGUCAAAAUUUUUUGUCCCGUUACUUGAUUUCCGAAUAUUUGUUUUUUGCAAUUUUUUGUGUAUGCGAUCUCGAAGCAUAUACAAACAAGUUUGACGGUUGGAUCGUUGAAACUAGUUUCGUAAAAUGCGUAUCUCAUCAAAACAAUAAAUUCACUAGCACUUAAAAGUUUAUUCAUAUUUUCAUGAAAUAUAACAUAAAAUUUUGUGGUAUCCACGAGUGUAAAUAUUUUAAAUUGAAGAUCGAAUUCAUUUAUUGUAUUCAUAUAGGGUCAAUGAGUGUAGCUGUAAAAAAGUAUCAAAAUUGAAGGUAAAAUAACCGUUAAAUCGUGAUUUUUCGUUUAUAACCGUCGAAAGGUUUUGUCUCGUUACUUGAUCUCUGAAUGUUUGUUUUUUGCAAUUUUUGGCGUAUGCGAUCUCGAAGUAUAUACAAACAUGUUUGACGGUUGGAUCGUUGAAACUAGUUUCGUAGAAUGCGUAUCCCAUCAAAACAAUCGAUUCACUAACACUUAAGAGUUUAUUCAUACUUUCAUCAAGUAUAACAUCAAAUUUUGUGGUAUCCACUAGUGUAAAUAUUUUAAAUUGAAGAUCGAAUUCAUUCAUUGUAUUUAUAUAGGGUCAAGGAGUGUAGCUGUAAAAAAUCAUCAAAAUCGGAGUUAAAAUAACCGUUAAAUCGUGAUUUUUCGUUUAUAACCGUCGAAAAGUUUUGUCUCGUUACUUGAUCUGUGAAUGUUUGUUUUUUGUAAUUUUUUGCUGAUGCGAUCUCGAAGCAUAUACAAACAAGUUUGACGGUUGAAUCAUUGAAAUUAGUUUCGUAUAAUUUGUAUCCCAUGAAGUUCAAUGGUGUGUGUGUGUAUAUAUAUAUAUAUAUAUUUAUUUAUUAAGUAGAUUUAAAUCUAUUUAUUUUGUAUGUAUAAUUAUUAUAGUUUUUAGGGGUAUAAAAUUUAAUUUAAAAUUUAAUAUAUAUAAAUAUAACUAUUAUAGUUAAUAUUUUGGGGGUAUAAUUAUUAUAGUAUAUAUAAUUAUUAUAAUUAUUAUAGUUAAUUUAAUAUAUAUAUAUAAUUAUUAUAGUUUUUAGGCGUAUAAAAUUGUUAAAUUAAUAUAUAUAGUAAUUAUAGUAUUUUUUUUAGGGUUAUAAAAUUAUUAAAUUAAUAUUCUGUUUAUCGUGUAUCGUGUUACCCACGUGUAUACCCGAAACAACCCGUUAUCUUAACAGGUGCUUAUCGGGUUACCCGAUAACGACCCGUUUCGUUAUCGUGUCGACCCGAACACCUGUUAAUUUCGUGUCGUGUUGUAUCGAGUUAUCGGGUCAUGUCAAGAAUUACCAGGCCUAGUUACAAGAGAGAUAGAAAAAGUGUACAUGCACAUGCAUAAACUGGUGAUUGUCAAGUUUUUCCCGUAACACAUGAGUUACAAAAUCACAUUAAUGGCCACACUCUGCAACAAUUGAAUUGAAUAUUCUGUUGUUAUGCUGUGUUGCUAUAUGAUCUUCACCUUAUCAAUCCAACCUGUUAAAAUUUUACACGCGUCAGUUCCAAAGUUUGUGGACUAUUUUAUAAUUUGUUGAUGUUAUUGCACUGUGGUAGGCUCCAACAUUAUCUUCAACAUCACAAAGUACUCAAAGACGUGGCUUUUUAAUUGCCCAUCAGUUGCUCACACACACACCAUAUCCACAUCUCUCUCGAUUUAAACCAGCUCUAACUCUCACGCACACCUCCAGUUCUCCACCCGAAGCAACAAAGAUAAUCUUCUUCCAACAACAGCAAAGUUAAACCCUAGCACAAAAAAAAAAAAAAAAAAAAAAAAAGAAAAAAGAAAAAAAAACCAUGGCUCAAACCAUGCUUCUCAUGUCUAGUAGUGUGUCUUCAGGCCAUGUUGUGGACUUGAAGUCCUCAGACCCUUUACUCCAAGUACAAGCUCAAAGACUUAGGCCUAAGUCUUUCUCUCAACUUGUUUUCAGAGCCCUCCCUUCAUCCUCUUCAGCCUCGUCGUCGUCUACAAGGAUUUCGACCGUUGUCGCUCUCUUCAAAUCGAAAACUAAAGCUCCUGCCAAGAAGGUUUUCACUUCUUUUACACUACGUACAUUCAUUCUUUGUUUUUAUUUUUGUAGUUAAAACGUCACUUAGUUAACCACAAAUUUACAGGCACCACCGCCGAAGCCCAAGGUUGAAGACGGUAUCUUUGGAACCUCUGGGGGCAUUGGUUUCACCAAGCAAAAUGAGCUCUUUGUUGGUCGGGUUGCCAUGAUUGGCUUUGCUGUAAGACAUUAAUCUUCUUCUUGCUCGUUUUUGUUUGUUUUUAAACUUACUUUUCAGUUAUAUAUGAUUUUCCUUUUGUUGUUAUAAGUUCUUAUAAUCUCACUUUGUGUGUUUGUGAAUAGAAUUCUUUUUUUAAACUAGCUAGUUUGUUGGGUGCUUAUCAGAAUGAAGUUGUGACAAUUAGUUCAAUUACAUUACUCAUCUGAGCACUAUUGAUAAGUUGAGACAACUUUUACACCGAGUUUCUAUUUUUUUUGUUUUACAUUACCACGUACGAAAGAAAAUAUAAUACCUUAUAUUAUCUUCAGAAUAUGUUAGUACUUUGUAACACAUAUUUUAAGUGACACAGCAAAAUUGUGUGCUUGGGUUGUGGUGGUAGACAAAUUUAGAUAAAUGUUUUCUUGGCCAUAUAGGAUUUGAGUUGCCUAACUUUUAAUUUUUAUUUUUUAAAUAAAAGAAAACAACUUUGACAACACAAUGGAAAUUUUAUUAAAUAAAAAAUUACAUCUUGUCAUAGGACAUAAAUUUUACGGCUUACAAUAAAGCAAAUUUGAAAAUUGAAAGAUAGAUGAACAAGAUGGAGCAUGAAACCUACUCCGUUCGAAACAAAAAGCUUAAAAUUAUUGAGCUCCAAAACAAGCUUUGAAUUGAGACACAUAAAACAAAAUGUUAGGUAAUAAAGAAAAUUGGACAUCAGGAAAUUUCUUCAUUUAACAGCUUGAUCCAAAGUAGUGUAACAAAUUGUCUACAUAGCUAUGUUAUCAAAUCUUAACAUAUUAAUAAUCAAUCUCGAGUACGAGAAAACCUUUUUUACUGUCUUCUUGCCACCCAAUCAGUUCUUCAUGCUCUGAUAACAUCUUCCAAAUUAUGUUACGUGGAAAAAAUUGUUUCUUAUCUAACCAACAAAUUUCUGUAUAAUCCUCUCCUUUCUCGCUGUGCUCUAAUGCCACUUCAUUUAGAAUUCAUGGUGCAAAAUACUGGUCUAAUUAAAUAGUAAAAAUAGUAUAAAAAGCUUCUUAAUCGUGUUCUUAUAGUAGACCAUCAUAUAAUUGGCAUGAACGAAGUAUUUUUAGAUGAUCAUAUAACUAGCAUGAUGAAGCAUUUGAAGAUAUACAAAUAGUAAACCCUCACACAGGACUGCCAAACAGUCACAAGCCUUGCCCUUUUGUGUGUGUAUGUGUGUAUUUAUGAAGUAUUUUGACAUAUAACAUAUAAAACAAUGGACGUCAUGUACGAUGAGAAUUCGUAGAAGCAUGAAAUUGUAGAAUUGUAUUAUUUAUGUAUUUAUUUAUUGUUCUGAGCCUUUCUGUGCAAACGUUACAGGCAUCAUUGUUGGGAGAAGCAAUUACAGGGAAAGGGAUUCUUUCCCAAUUGAAUUUGGAAACUGGAAUUCCCAUCUAUGAAGCUGAACCCCUUCUUCUCUUCUUCAUCCUUUUCACCCUGCUUGGAGCCAUUGGAGCUCUAGGUGACCGUGGUAGAUUCGUCGAUGACCCGCCCGCUGGAAUUGAAGGGGCAGUGAUCCCUCCAGGCAAAGGAUUGAAAUCAGCCCUGGGACUCAAGGAAGGAGGUAACUAAUUUGCAUGUCAAGAUAAGUAAUGUUCAAAUUAUAGAGUAACUGUCUUUUGUCACAUGUUAAGUUGUUACAGUGUCAUCUUAGACAUGUAGAAGUCUGAUCAAUUGAUAGUUUUACAUCAUAACAUGUCUAACGAGAAAGCGUAUUCAUAUAGAAGUAAUUUAUAUUUGUGCAACGUGGCAUGACCUAGAUGAUCUAAGGAGUUCUUGUUGUGUAACAAAUGCAUAGGUCCUCUAUUUGGAUUCACAAAGGCAAAUGAGCUAUUUGUGGGAAGAUUGGCACAGUUGGGAUUUGCAUUCUCCCUAAUAGGAGAAAUCAUUACAGGGAAGGGAGCUCUAGCCCAGUUAAACAUUGAGACUGGAGUCCCCAUCAGCGAAAUCGAACCCCUUGUGUUGCUCAACGUUGUCUUCUUCUUCAUCGCUGCGGUGAAUCCCGGAACUGGUAAAUUCAUCACAGAUGUGGAUGAAGAAGACUAGAGAGAGAUAAAUACUACAUUGAUGCUCACAUCGAACUUGUUUGAAUCAUGUAUGAGAAAAUACUUCUUCCUCUAAAUUUUAUUUUAUGUCAUCGAUCUUUUUUAUUUUCCCUUGGUCAUGUUGACCUUAAAUUAAGUUACUGUAUUUUGCACUAGCUUUUAAAUUCCUAUAAUUAUUGGUUACAACGCGCGCACAAAAAAAUAAAAAUAAAAAAAAGAAAAAAAGAAAAAAGAAAGAAAGGAAGAGAAUGAGAAAUUCGACGCAAUGAGCUAGCUUUCAACUCUACUGAGUAAACUUACUUAACAAGCUUGGUUUGUAUAUUGUAAUCCCCUACACGAUUUACCGUAUCGAACGGAUCAAUCAAAUGCGACAUUGUCUUCUAUUGAGUUUACUUUCUAAGCUAGGUUUGUAAAUUGUAAUCACUUACAAGAUUUUCUUAGUUGGAUCUACAAAUGCGACAGUGUCUAAAAACCUUAGUCUUUCCAAGGAAUGUCUCCCAUGUCCCAAUUUUCUUACGAUUUUGUUGACUCUAAAAACUACCAAACAUACGUGGCGUGUAGGUUGAGUAACUAAGAGUUAAUUACACACUUGUUGUGGUUGAUGGGGGCUUGCCAACUCGCCACCGAGGUGAGUUGGACAAGUAAGUUGAUGAUGGUGGUGGUGGUGUCGAACCGCAAUGCUGACUUCUGUGAUUGUGAUCGAGGAAGGAAGACUCUCAACUUAGGAUUCUACUAACCUAAAGAUAAGGUUGCUAUCUUACCGCAAAGUUCAAUAAGUAAUUCGACUUUCGUUCUAAAACUCAAUAUACUUGCGAGAUUUAUUUUGACAUUUAAUUGACAAAGAAAAUUUGGGACAAGAAGUGAUCAAGUGUAAACUUCGAGGAAACUUAAUAUAAACGACUUUAUUUCCAUGUCUCCACCAAGAAUCCCCUAUCAAAUUGUGGAAAUCGUUUUCAUUUGCAACUAGCGCUUUAAAAACAAUGUUCACUCCAUGAUUAUUUAGCAAUAACACUUACAGACUAAUUUAUGCGAAUCACAUACAUCUUGCAUCUUAGUUUAUGAAAAAAGAAAAUUUUCUCAAUCUAUACAACUAGUUUUUUUUUUUUUUUUUUUGUCAACUAUCCAUAAAAUAAUUUUUUGUCAACUAUCUAUACUAUUAUUUUUAAUCAAUUAUCAAUACUAUUAAUAAGAUAAGAUGCUUAGUACCUCCUAAAAAUCCCUCCUAUGUCCCAAUUUCCUUACGAUUUUGUUGACCCUAAAAACCACCAAGCCUACCUGGUGCCCAUACCAAGUAACUAAGAGCUAAUUACGUCCUUCUUGUGGUUGAUGCGGGCAUGCCAACUUGCCACUGAGGUGAAUCGGGCGAGUAAGAUAGUGAUGGUGGUGGUGGUGGUGUCGAAUCGCAUUGUGGACUUCCAUGAUUACAAUCGAGGAAGGAACACUCUCGGCCUAGGGUUUUGCUAACCUGAAGACAAGGUUGCUAAUCUUGCUGCGAAGUUCAAUAAGUAAUUCGGCUUUCGUUGUGCCGAACAAGGGGUAACUUGGGAACACCUCACUUCACCAAAACUGGUAAAAUGACCUCUUGAGACGAAAGAAUAGGAGAAUUCCUCAUCCGCCAAGACUUGGAUAAAUAACCAACAAGGGUAUGCGAGUGUUGCUUAACCAAACUAAAGGUCUCCUAGGCCAAGCAGAUUCUACGACUCCAGUGUUGUUUAACCAAACUAAAGGUGUGUCGCCAUUGUUGACAUGUUUAACCAAACUGAAUAUUUGCCAACUGGGAGGGAUUAAUGAGUAGUUAGUGUUUUCUCAAGGUAUGAGAAGGUUUCACGUAGAGUGUUGAUUUAUAUGUUGAGUCGAAGAUCUCCUUCUCGUUGCGAUGCUUCUUCUAUUAAUAGAUAAAGCCCUAAGGAUCAACAGGUUUGCCAAGGCAAAGUCUUGCUAGGACUGAACCUCAUCUGCAUCUCCCAAAAUAUUCCUACCCAUCCUUCUGUAGCUUAACCCUGAUCAGCUUCUCCAUUCGAAUCAGGGCUUUAAACUUAGUCCCUUUCUAAACCUACUUCCUUCUUAGCUGAUUAAGCAUGAAUUAUGAUCUCUUUAACAACCCUAACCUUAUCAGAAUCAAUUGCCAAUCCUUAACAGUUUUAGUCCAUCUGGGACUCGGGUGAACCCUACUCAAGUGUAACCUCUUUAAACUUAGUUUCGUAGUUUUUAUUUAUAAAACAAAUUUUAUAUUUCAACAUUAAAAAUAAAUAAAUUAGAAUUUAAGUUUUAGUAAUGUAAGAUCUUAAAAAUUACUAGUUACUUCUUAUUAGUGAAAUUAUAUGUGUUUAACAUCGACAAAUUCCUUGUACUGUUGGCGGAGCAUAGCCGCAACUCCUCUGGUACUUUUCCAUGGUUUGAGAUGGGUAGGUAGGCUUAGGUCCUCAAUUAAGAAGUGGGUGAAGCCUAGUAAGAGAUGGAUUAAAUGCAACUUUGACGAGUCAUGGGAGGAAAGAUUGAAGAAUGGUGGCUUUGGGGUGAUUCUUCAUAACAGUGAUGGGGGUUUCUUAGUGACGGUGACUGGUUGAACUCGGGGUGUGGUUUCAAGUUUAGGGUGAUUUGUCUAUGACCCUUGCAGCGAUGGCACCAAAAGGAGAUGAUAUGUCAAUGUUAGGGCUGAUUGUUGAUGUCCUUCAGUACUGUAUUCAAGUAUUUCCUCCUAAACAACUGAGCCAUGUACGAUGAGACACAAACCAUGUAACACAUAGGCUAGCUCAGGUUGGGCUAGGUCAACAACUGGAGGCGCAAUGGCAGGAGCAUCCACCUGGUAUUCUCAUUAAUGUGCUUAUGCACGAUAGUUCUUUGUGAUGUCUUAAGUUUCUACUGUUAGUGCUUUUGUUGAGGAUAAUGAACUCUAAGUUUGUAAGUGCAGAAUACUCUUUUUUCCUUUUACUUAGUUGAAAUCCCCGACAAGGUUUUUAUCGAGACCCAGUUCUGCAGUCUAUCCUCAUCUUGGUUUGUACGUUUUCCACUUUUUCAAUGAAUAUCAUGUAGAAUUAUCAGAGAGACGGGCCAUACGGCCCACUUCCAACAACAUCGAUAUUGUCCCUAACUUAGUAAUUACCACCUGCACAAUCCGUCAAGUGUGGGGUUUUAUCAUAAAAGGUCUCGGUAUUAGUUAGAGUGUGGUUAGGAUAUUUAAACUAUUACUUUUCUUUUUGUAUGGCCGAUAUGGGAUUCAACACACCCCAUCACGUGGGAUCUAAUUAGUGGGUCACACGUGGGAGAUCCACACAUCGGCAACCAUGUGGAGCCAAGGGGACUCACCCUACACGCGGGGCCAAAGGACCCACCAUCAUCGCGCAGGGCCAAGGGGACCCACCAUCACAUGGCAGUACAAUACAAGCACGCUCCCCGACUCUGAUACCAUGUAGAAUUAUCAUAGAGACGAGCCAUACAUCUCACUUCUAACAACACCGAUACUGUCCCCAACUUGGUAAUUACCACCUGCACAAUCCGUCAGGUGUGAGGUUUAUCACAAAAGGCUUCAGUAUUAGUUAGAGUAGGGUUAGGAUAUUUAAAUUAUUACUUUUCUUUUUGUAUGGCCUAUGUGGGAUUCAACAUAUCAUACUUACUUUAUAAAAAAUUAUCAAAUUAGGGAAGAACAAAAUUUAGUAUUUUAUAUGCUUCAUCAUAUUUGGCCUCUUCCUUUAUAUAGAGAGAUAAAAGAUGCAAUAACGACUACCACUUUUCCUUUUCCCACAAUAACUAAACCCACCAAGGAAAAAAAACACAUUUUACUUCAGCUAGACAUGCUCAUUUGGAUGUUUAAUGUUAUAAUUUUUUUUUUACGUAAUUAUUGUUAUUACCGUUGAAUGCGAAUGGAAUGUGGCAUGAUGAUAAGUUAGGUAAGGAAAAUAUUAUUAUGGAUUACUUCACACAAUUGUUUGAUUCGUAGUGAUGAAUGAAAUGAUAGAAGUUCUUGAUGCCAUUAGGAAAUGAACGAUGAACUUCUUUUGCCAUUUAAAGAUGAUGAAAUAAAGUUUGCUCUCUUUCAAAUGCAUCCUACAAAGGCUUUACGACCGGAUGGUAUGACCUGUUAACUUGUAUAGUUUCCUAUAAUUUAGGAUUUCCUAGUUUAGGAUGGAUCCCGUGUAAUCUGGGUGAAAUCUCUUUGUAAUCUUGUGUAAUUAUUCUUCCCUAUUUUGUUAGGAUUAAGAUUGUAUAUUAUACCUCUUUCUCAGAAGAAUAAACUUAUCAUUCAAAGCACUCUCUUCUUGGCACUAAAGCCAGGUCGAAGAAAAAAAAAACCCUAGUUGCAAUAACACUGUUGCGGGUUAGCCAUGUUUAGUGCUAUGUCAUUGGUCAGCAUGCGACUAUUGUUGUUGUUGUCUCUUGACUAGCAAGCAACUAUCGUCAUUGCUAUCCCUCGAUCAGCGAGCGACUAUUGUCGUUGCUACCCUAUCUGUAUUUAAAACGAACAGCGAGCGAGCAACUGUUGUCGUUGCUACCCUAUCUACACGGAAGAGACCAUCAGAACCCAUGGACGCACCUGCACCAACUCACCACUAUAGUUAAACUGCUACUGCCUAGAUUGGUUCAAAUUGUCACAAGAUUGAACCCACUGUCUGCAACAUGAACUUGAUCCCAUUGAAAUAUUUUUUUUUGCCUAGGGGAGGGGCGAAGCGGGUGCUUUCACAUUGGAGAGUGGAAAGUUUUGAGUCAAUAUUCAUAGUAGAAAAUAGUUUCUUCACCAAAGCAGUUGUAAGCUAUAAUAUCAAAGCCAAUGUAAGAAUCUUAAAUUGGCUAGUAUUAGAUCCUAAAAAAUGUUAGGCGCUAGUCAAAAAAUGGAGAACUUAGCAGCUAGGUGCCUAGGCGAGAUCUAGGUAGGAGCCUAGAUGGAUUUAAAUUAUCGUAAAAUAAGCAUUAAACAAUAUUUACGUUGUUUUUAAAAAGUAAUACAAUAUUUAUAAAUAAUGUGAGAGUUUAAGAUAAAUACAGUGAGAGUCUUAAAACAGAAAAUAAAAGUACAUACAAGAAUAAAAAAACAAAAAGGAGAGAAAUGGGUUAAUAAACCACAAAAAAAAAGAUGGGGUCAGAAGAGAAAAAAAAAAGGAAGGGGGAAAUGGGUAAACAAACAAGUGGGGUAGAAAGAUAAAGACCAAAAGAGAAGUGGUGGGUUAGCACAAUAUUUUAAGAGAGAAAAAAGUGAACAAAUGGUCAGCAGGAUAAUACUUGGGUAAAGUGUCAAUACCCAAUUUUUACUGACUUAGGUGGCCCAAUAAUUGUCCAACACCUAUCUUUAAAACUCACACCCAAAUUGAACAGCCAAUACACAAUUUACUCACCUUAUUAAGUGGCCCAAUAAUUGUCCAACACCUAUCUUUAAAAUACAAUACAUUUCUUCUAUUGCACACUUGUUAUAUUGGUAACCAAACACCCUUUCACCUUAAACAAGAAACCAAACACUCAUCUUCUUCUUCCUAGACAUAGACCUUCCAUGUUCCACACACUUUCAAUGAGCCUUACCAGUCACCACGCACUACCCACUCCCAUCUCUCCUCCAACCUCUAUCCUCCGUCAAUCACACACCCACACCACAAUCCAUUCUCCAAUGGUCAAGCCAACCCUAGACCUCCGAUAUCUCUCAUCCAUCUUCACUCUUCAUCUACAACACUGAUAAAAACCAAACACCUAUCUUCUUCCUCCUUUCCCUGUGCCAGUCGUUCCAUCAAUCCCAACCUCAUCCCUUGAACCUCUUUCCUCCAUCUUCGUCAUUCCUCUGCAAUCCAACCAAACUAUUGCCCUUCCUUUACAAAUUCGACCAAGACAAUGCACCGGCCAAAACCAAUUUUUACAGGUGCUAUGAAUUUCGAUGAGAGCGAAGGGGUUGAACCAGCACUCCUAAGUGUGGCGGGCGCCACUCCUUGCCCUCACGUAGCUUCGUCACUGUCUGCAUCCUUCGUCAGAGAUAAACAUAUUAAAAGUCGAUGCCCAAAAAAAAAAUAAAAGGUUUUAGAAGACAAAGAAGAAAAGAAAAAAAAGGAAAAGAAAAAGAAAAAGUAAAAAAAAAAACGAAAAAAGAAAAGUAAAUCGGUUUGUUUUUUGUUUUGGGCCAUUGUUUUAAGGCUUACUGAUGUGAACAUUAUGUUGACACACAAAUUAAACCCUAUUGAUGACAAUUGUAGUAAUGAUGCAAGUAGGGAUCGUUCUAGACCGGAGAUUAACUAGGGAUGCUAAUCAACACAAAUAAGACUCAAAAACACUAAACUAGACUCUAUAGACUCAAAACUAACUCAAAACACUCAAAACAGCAAAUAACAACAAAAAAGACUCAAUUCUAGACCUACAAUUGAUUUGGACGAAAAUAGAACUUAAAAGACUCAAAAGACUUAAAAGAAACAAGUUUUGACUCUAAAAACAAGACUUAAAAGUAAGGGGAUUGGUUUUGACGAAAUUGGACUUUAAAAUAUAAACUUUGAAAACAAACUUAACAAAAACAAUUUUGGAUGAAAAAGAAUGGUGAAAGGCUAGUUAGAGGGUUCCUUCUCCACACAUGAAACGUAUGCAUACGACUCGAUUUCCAGUUACUCUUUCAACAAACCUGAAUGACAAUGCCCCAAAUUAACUAGAUUGCACCAAUUAAUUCUCAGAUUUCCCUAGAUUCAUUGAAUUGAAUGGAAUACGCAUUACAACCAAAUUAUUCUUAUCAAGGACCCUAAUUAUGGAAUACGCAUGAUAGAGACACAUAUCAAAGAUCAUUAAGUUCAAUGGAAAUCAUAAGUAUUGACGAGGCAUUCAUAACUAUGGAAUACGCAUGUUACUCUUGCCAAGGAUUUACUUAACACAAUCGUGACUAGCGACUUUUACUACUUAUGAAUAUAAGUUAAUAACGAUUAGGUGAAAUUCCCUUAUACUCUAGCAUCAAAUUCAUGCAUGCGAACUAAGUAUGCAUCCUUAAUUAACACACAAGAACAAGUUAUCAAUCAAAUAGAUAAGUAAACCACAUUCACGAUUCAUGAAAUCAUAACUGGAGGAAAUCAAGUCAUAUAAAACAUAUGAUCAUGGCUUUGAAUUCCCCUCUAACUAUAAAGAAAUUAGUUCCUCAUGUUCGCAAAUAAACAAAGAUAAAUAAAUUUAAACAUUAACAUAAAGAUAGAAAACACCUAGAAUCGCUCCAACAAUCCAAGCUCCUUGAAUGGCAUGCACGGCUCCAGAUUCCUUCCUUCUUCUCCUUGCAAACUCACGGCACAAUGAGGGGUUUUGGGUGAAUGAUGUAGUGAAAAUAUGGUAGAGGGUGGUGAAUGAAGGGUGCGGCAUAGACUUGUAUUUAUAGGCUGAAAAUCCCAUCUCCUAGGUAGCCAAGGACAAGGUUUUAAAGGCCUAAACUGCAUAGGACAAUAACAUAUAAUCCUUUAAGGAAAACAAAUCAGAAAUCCAAAAGGGAGUGGGAAAUAAUGUGCGGCACAAAGAGUGUGAAAGGAUAAGGCUUCUAGAAAGCAAAAUCCCAAAGGAAAUAAGGUAUAGGGUGCGGCACAAAGCUAGGGUUCUAGAAAGACAAUGCAAGGCAGAUUUUUAGGCUUCUAGAAAGGUUCUAGGCGCCAUCUUUGUAGGACAAGAUUAGGUCUUCUAGAAAUCUGAUUUUAAGCUUCCUAAUCUAGUUAGAAACCCUCCCUUGCAGCUGAAAUAUGGGUAGUUUAGGAUUAGGAUAAGAUAGGAUAGGAUAAGGUUUGUUUGGAUAAGAUAAGCUAAGAUAAGGUUAUGGAUGAGGUUUUGGAUAAGAUUCCUUCACUUGAGCUGAUUCUUUGGCUUUAACUCUUCUUCUUCACAUAGGAAUACUUGCUUGAGUAGGAAACCUCAUACGUCUAGGAAUCCAUCUUCAAUUAGGACUCCUACAUUGAUUAGGAAUCCUACAUUUAAGCCCUUUCCUACUUCAACUAGGAAACUUUGUAUCUUCAAUUCUUCAACUUCGAAAAGACAUUCCUAGCUUCUUCAAUCCCUCAAAUUCGUCCAUCCUUUGUGCUCCACAUGCAUGAGCUCCAUUCUAGCUCAAUUUUGCUCCAAAUUGCUCCAAAUUGCAUCUUUUUGCUUACUUUGUCCUUAAAACCUGAAAACACAUGAAAAUAGCUUAAAAGACUAACUUAACUAAGAAAACACAACAUAAAUGCAUAAGAACUAGCUAACUAAGGUGCAUAAAUAUGCUCCUAUCACUUACAUAGUUUUUUUGUUGGGCCUGACAUGUUUGGGAUUUUAGGCAUUGUCUAUUUCAACCUAAAGCAAUGGCAAUGCGAGUUCAUACCCCUCUGAAUCGAUCUGAUCGAACUGAACAGGGGAGUAAGAUUAAUAGUGGUCGGUCCAAUUGAUAGGAGCAUAUUUAUGCGCCUUAGUUUAGCUUGUUCUUGUACAUUUAUAGUGUUUUUGCUUAGUAAAGAAGUCUUUUAAGCUAGUUUUAUGUGUUUUCAGGUUCUAAGGGCAAAGUAUGCAAAAGGAUGCAUUUUGGAGCCUUUUAAAGCAAAGUUGAGCUUGGAAUGAAUGUCAUAUGCUUGGAGCCAAGAGGAUGGACGAAAUUGAAGAUUUGAAGAUGAUGUUUCCUACUUGAACAAGGUUUCCUAGUCGAAGUAGGAAAGCGCCUAAGUGAAGAUGGAAUCCUAGUUGAAUUAGGAUUCCUAGUCAAGAUGGGUUUCCUAGUUGAAUUAGGAUUCCUUGAAGAUGAAGAUUCCUACUCAAACAAGGUUUCCUACUUGAAGUAGGAAAGUUAAAUCCAAAUGGCAUCAAGUUUCAGCAACAAAGAAGUUUUCCAAGUCCAAGAAGGAAAAGGAAUCCAAGAUGAAGAAGGAGAAGAAUUCCAAGUCAAGGGAGGAUUGAGACAUGUUUUCCUAAUGCUAGAAGGACUCCAAAGUGUUGUAGGACACAAAUGAGAAGUUUCUAGAAAGUUUACAUCCUUGCCGUGGGUUUCAUGCAAUUCCUAUCAGUUUUGGGGCUUUCUAGAAGCCCUAUCCUUAAAUCCCUACAUUGGUGCCGCACCCUAGCUUCUAGAUGCCUAGUUCCUUGCCUUGCAAGGCAUUCUAGAAACCUUAUCACCUUAUCCUAUCCCUGCCGCACCUAGGACCCUUUUUCCCUUGCAAAAUCUGAUUGUUUAGACCUAUUUCCUUGUGGAUUUGGGUUAUCCAAGUCCAUAUCUGAUUACCCUAGGGUUUUAAGUGCCUAUAUAUACUCCUAUUAACCCUUAAAUCAGAUCACCACUCACCACAAUUCAUAAAUCACUCCAGAAAUUCGUCCAAACUCUCUCCACACCUUUGCCGCACCAUUCCCUUCCCCUAAACACUACUACAUCCAUCCAUAACCCUUCUACACCAUCCAUAACCCCAAAGAACCUGUCCAAAGUCCUUUGCCGCACCAAGGAGGAGGAGAAGGAAGCUCGGAAGUUCAUGCAAUUCAAGUUCGUGUCGCUGGAAUUUCUAGGUGUUUCUUUUCCUUUGAUUUCAAUGUUUAAAUUCAAUUCUCUUUGUUUUUUGCGUAUGAGGAACUAAACCCCCCCUUGGCUAGGGGGGGAUUCGAAAUACAUGUUUAUGUUUGCGUUAUGAUUUGAUUACUUCUAAUUGCGUUUCAUAAGUUGUGAAUUCAAUUUACUUAUCUAUGUGGAUUACAUUGAUUUGUGUGUGUUGGUUGAGAGUGCACGCUUAAUUAUCAUGCAUAAAUUGAAUGCUGGGAUAUAAGGAAAUUUCACCUAAUCGUUAUGGAAUUAUAUUCACAAGUAGUAAAGGUUGAUGAUCUCAAUCGCGUUAAGUAAAUUCUUGGCAUAAGUUUCAUGCAAUCAUAGUAACAAGUGCUUCGUCAAUGCUUAUGGUUUUCAUAGAACUUAAUGAUUCUUGCUUGUAUCUCUAUUAUGCAAUCAUGUAGGGGACUUGUGGGGAAUGUUUUGGGUUGUCGUAUGCAAUCAUCCAAUUCAAUAACGUUAGGAAAAUCUGAAGGUUAAUUUAAGCGGACCUAAUUAACUUGGGGCAUUGAGAAUUCAUGGUUUGUUGAAAAGCAAUUGGAAAUCGUUUUGUAUGCAAGUAUAACAUGUGUGGAGAUGAACCCCUUAGCUAGCCUUCCAUUCACCCAUUUAAAUCAAAUUCGUUUUUACAAUCUGUUCUAAUUUACAAAGUUUGUUUUGUUUUUAAAUUCGGCCAAAACCAAUCCCCCUUUGUUUUAAAGUGUCAAAUUAGUUAGUAAGUGUUUUACUUUGUGUUUUUAAGUGUUUUGAUUCAAGUUAAAACCCAAUUUCAUCCAAUUUGGUGCUUAGUGUCCAAAACUGCCCAGAUUGUGUUUUUAAGGCAGUUUUGAGUGUUUUGGUGCUGUUUUGAGUCUUUUGGUUUGUUUUGGUGUUUUAAAGUUUAGUUUUGUAUUCUUUGAGUCUAUUUUAGUGUUUAAAACUUGUUUUUACGUUUUUGAGUCAUGUCCAAGUGAUUUUGCAAUCCCUCCUAAUCCCCGGUCUAGAACGAUCCCUACUUACAUACAUUGCUACAAUUGAUAAAAAGAGGGUUAAUUUGUGUGUCAACAUAAUUUUCACAUCACCAAUGGUCUUGGAGAUUCUUCUUAUCAUCCGCUUAGCAAAUGUCCUCACUGUAGCCUGAAAGGACAUUCAACAAAUAUCCUAAUAAUUGGGACAAGACUUGUGUGAUCCCCGCUGUAACAAGUCGCGUGCAUUGUUUGCCGAAACUAAGGUAGAUUCUAAACAAGAAAGUAAUGAUUUGCAAGGCUUUAAAGUUUUCUGCAUUUGUUACGAAGAAUACAUGGACAAUUAAUUCUGGUGCUAUUGAACAUAUGAAUUGUGAUUCUAGACAAGUACAGAUCCUAAAACUAUCCCCCAAAAUUGUUGUGAGUGUUUCCAAUGGUAAUGUUACACUAAAUCUUGAUUAUGUACUCAUUGUUCAUUCUUUUGACUAUAAUUUAUUAUUUGUUGCUCAAAUAAUUGCCACUCUACAUUGUCUUGUGAUUUUUUGGCCUUCUUUUUGUACUCUUAAGGACAUUCGGACUCAUAAGACGAUUGGUUAUGGUAUUAAGAAGGGAAAGCUCUACUACUUGAAGCUCAUAUCGAACAGUACACAAAUGUUGACUCAAGCUCUUGCAGUGGAAGCAAUUCAGGGGGAGAGGAAUAAAGCUUCAGAGAUUUGAUCGUGGCAUCGUCAACUUGGACAUGCUUCGUUUGGCUAUUUGCACAGGUUGUUUCCUAGCCUAUUUGUUAAACAUGAUAUUUCUAGCUUUAAAUGUGGGGUUUGUGAACUGGCUAAAAGUCAUCAUACUUCGUUUCCGCCUAGUUUGAAUAAAAGUUCAAUCCUAUUAUGAUGAUUUAUUCUGAUGUUUGGGGACCAUCUAAAACUGCUACACUUGGUGGUGCUCAUUCGUUUGUUACUUUUAUCGAUGAUUACACACUUAUGACUUCGGUUUGUUUGAUGAAGUCUAAAAGUGAAGUUACUUUUUUGUUUUAGUGGUUUUACAAAAUGGUACAAGUACAACAUAAGUCACAAAUACAGGUUAUCAUGAGUCACAUUGGCGGCGAAUAUCUAAACUCUAAACUUCGUGCCUUUCUUGAUCAUUAUGGUAUUUUUCAUCGGAUUGCAUGUCCAUACACUCAACAACAAAAUGGGAUGGUUGAAUGCAAUAACAGUCAGCUUCUAGAGGUUGUUCGUGCUUUUUGCCUAAGGCGUGUCUCCCGCUAUCCUUUUGGGGAGAAGUUCUCACCUUAGCUGCGUAUCUCAUUAAUCAUGUUCCAUCAUAAUUAGUCGAUUUUCAGACAACGCUACAGGUUCUUUCCUCAUAUGUUGAUGCUCAUGCAGUUCCCAAUCUUCCACUUCAUGUGUUUGGCUGUGUGGUCUUCGUUUAUCUAUAUAAAUAGCAAAGAAAUAAACUAGAAGCGCGAGCCUUACAGUGUGUGUUUAUGGGGUAUGCCUGAAAUAAAAAGGGGUAUCGUUGUUAUCACCAUCUGAAGAAAAAGUUGUUUGUCACUGUGAAUGUUGCAUUUCAAGAGAAUGAUAUGUUUUGCCAAUCCCAAGUCUUCACUUCAGGGGGAGAAUCAGAUAGAAGUUCAAACUCUUGAUUAUACUAUUCCAAAUACAAAUAGUGUGCAUGAUUUGGAUUUAAGUGGUGAUGUCUUGGAAAUAAGUGGUCAUCAUUCACACGAAAAAAAUGAUGUGAAUGAAUUGGAACUAAGUGGUAAUGUCUUGGAGACAAGUGGUGAUCAUUCACAUGGAAACAAUGUUGAAAACCUUGAAAGGGACGAGUUGACAUCGCUAGAUAACUCACUGUCAGUUUCCCCACCACCAGACAACCAUGUGUCGCCAGCUACCUCAGAGUCGAUCUUGCCACACUUGAGUCCCAAUAACCAUAAUCAAUCAUCUUUGAUCCCGGAUGCACCACCACUACUUCGUCUCCUUGACCGUGUCAACCGAGGUAUUCCUAAACGUAUGCAGCUGACCAAAAAUGCAAAACUAUUAUAUCUAUUCCUAAAAGUGUGCAAGAGGCUUUAACUGAUCCACAUUGGCAAGCAACAAUGAAUAAAGAGUUGAAAUCUUUGAAUAAGAGUGCUACCUUGGAGAUCAAAGACUUGCCAGUUGACAAGAAACCUGUGGGAUGCAAAUGGGUCUAUACGGUGAAGUACAAAGAUGAUGGGACAGUGGAUCGCUUCAAGGAAAGACUGGUACCAAAAGGAUACAAUUAAAAAUAUGGAAUUGACUAUACAUAUACAUUUGCCUCUGUGGCUAAGAUCAAUACAGUCCGUGUUUUGUUGUCCUUGGCGGCAAAUCUUAAUUGGUUAUUAGAACAGUUCGAUAUGAAGAAUGCCCUCUUGCAUGGAGAUUUGACAGAAGAGAUUUACAUGAAACUCCCACCAGGGAGUAACAUUCCAUAUAUACAUAUAGGGCUGGAAAAAAAUCCCAAAAAUCCCAAACCAAACCAAAAAAAUCCCGAUCCCAAACCAAAAUAAUCCCAAACCAAAAUUCCCGAAAGUUUCGGGAUGUAAUCCCAAACCAAACCGAAAUUUUCGGUAUGGGAUUCGGUAUUGCAUUUCAUUUUUUCGGUAUUCCCAUACCGAACCAAAAAAAAAAAUAUAUAUAUAUAUAUAUAUAAUUUUUUAAUUAUAAGAGAAUUAUUUCAACCGUUGAUUGUUUUGGAUUUAAUCUGUGCCGUCGAUUUGUUUUUAGGUCAGAUGAUAACAUUUCACUUUUGUAUUCCUCCGUUCAUUUGUUUCGAAGCGGAGCCGUGAGCCUCCGACCCUCACCAACGUCGUCCCUCACCAUACUGUCGAAUUCCGACCAGCCACCGACCCACCACCACACCAUACUCUCGUCUCUGACUCUCCAGCCUUCCUUUACCACACAACUACCGCUCUCUCUCUCUCUAGGGCGAUUGUCUUUCACGGACAGGACAGGUCACAGAACUGGGGAUCUCUCUCGAGUAUACUUCUGCAGUUGGAUCUCUCUCAAGUUUUGCUGCAGGCAAAGCUGUGCGUGGAUGAAAACAUCACUGUUAUUCCUAUACCUGGGCCGUCUGCUUUGUGGCUGCUCUCUCUGCAUCUGGCCUCUCCACGGAUGAGUUUACGUUUGGUAAGUUUUCCAUGGAAAUGAUGCUGCAGAUAUUCUUCUUGGUGGAUAAGAUGUAUAUAGAACUCUGAAACUGAGUAUACUUCUGCAGUUGGAUUUCUCGCUAAACAUGCUGGAUCUAGAAGAGAGAGGUUGACGGUUUCAGCAAAUGAGGGGACGACCCAAAUAUUCUAUGUGCCUCCCCACAAACUUCAGCAGUUUCUUGAAGAGACUUCUUCAGUUUUUGGUGUUUCAAGGUAAAUACUUUUAAGGCUUCAGAUUAAAAAUCAAUUUUAAUAAAGGUAUUAAGAAAAAAUACCAACUUCAAUAAAAGCUUUACUGACUUAAGAAAAGAAUGAUUAUAUAUUAGUUUUUGUUAUGGUGAGUUACAAAUUAAACUUCCAUGUAUGGAUUUAUGCGCUUUUACUGACUUAGUGGUUUUACAAAAAACUGAUUUGGUGAGUUUGUAAUUGUGUUUCAGAAAAUGCGUCCUAGCUCGUGAAAUUACAAAAAUUCAUGAAGAGGUAGGUUUAUGGUGAUGUCUUUUAUUUAUAUCUGUUUUACUUGUGAUCAGCUUGCUGAAUAUGUGCACAUUAUUUUCCUUACUUCAUUUGUGAUGAAUCGCAUGCCAUUAACCAUUUUAAAAUCCCAUUACAUAAUUUAUCAAGAAACGAAAAGUGAUCUACUUUUUAUGAGUAGUCUUUGAUUCUUUCUGAUGAUAUAACUUAAAAAUUUUGCAUAGAUCUAAGACUAGUAACUAAUAAUAUGGGCGAUGUCUCUGUACAAGACUCUUUUGACAUGAAAUAUGCUCCUUUCUGUUAGCUUUGGUAGAUUCCACCAUCUCAUUUAUUCUUUCAUGUCCAUGUCAUUGCAUAGAUUGUUGCUCUGUUAGUGUUAGUAAUAUCAUUAGUAUUGUAAUACUGAUGUUGCUUGAGCAUUAUUAAACAAGUAACAAGUUAAUGUUAUCAUAGGAUGUAUAUAUUGGGUCAGAUUUUACUUUGAAUGUACAUUGUUAUUAAUGUACAUUGUUAUAUAUUAAUGUACACACUAUGCUGAACUGUGGUUGUGAUAUAUUAAUGUACAUUGUUAUUUUAUUUGUUAGGAUGGACGGAUCUAGUAGCCAAUCUAGUACACAUAUGGUCUCGGUAUUAGGAAAACGAAAACAAACCCAACUUAGUGGUACCCUUCAACUAGGCACUCCCUCACCUCAAGAUUAUUUGCAUAAUGAUUAUUAUGAAGAUUGUUGGGAUGAUGAUCUGGAUGUGGAGGAUGAUAUUGCAUUAGAACAAAUAGAAGAAGAGGGGGAAGAUGCAGCUGAACUGCUAAUGUUCGUUCUGCUCUUAUAAACAUUGCAGGUUUGCCCAAUAUUUUUUUAUUUGGUUGAAUAAAAGUUAAGCCCAUAUGUGGGGGCUGUUACAUUCAGUGGGCAGGCCCAAUAUUAGGUUUUUGUCCAAUUGGACCAACAUUAGCUUUUUUUGUCCAAAAGCCCAAAAACCCAAAAUUAUUUUUGGGAUUCCCGAUUUGUCCCGAAAUCCCGAAACUAUUUCGGGAUUCCCGAAAAUUGGGAUUCCCGAAAAUUUGGUUUGGGAUCGGUAUUGAAAUUGGGAUUCCCGAAAAUUUCGGUAUGGGAAUCGGGACAAGGGUUUCGGUAUGGGAUCCCAUACCGAACCACCCCUAUAUACAUAGACAAAAGAUGUGCAGGCUAAAAAACAUUGUAUAGUUUGAAGCAGUCCCCAAGAGCGUGGUCCGGGAGAUUUACCAAGUCUAUGAGAGCAUUUGGAUAUAAGCAGAGUAACUGUGAUCACAUGUUCUUGAAAUGUCAGAACGGAAAGCUUACAACACUCAUUGUAUAUAUGGAUGACAUGAUAGUUAUUGGUAAUGAGCUGGAUGAGAGUGUAGCCUUGCAUAAAUAUUUAUCUACAAAAUUCGAGAUAAAGGAUCUUGGGUCUCUGAAAUAUUUUCUCGAGAUUAAGGUAUCGAGGAAUAAGUCAGGAAUCUUCCUGUUGUGACUACUCCCUUAGCAAAAGGAACGACGUUGAAUAUUGAUCUAAACUAAGCACUAGUCGAUAAAAGGAGGUACUAAUGGUUAGUGGGAAGAUUAAUGUAUUUGGCACAUACUAGACCAGACUUUGCUUAUGCCAUGAGUGUCAUCAGUCAAUACACGCAUAAUCCAGGAAAAGAACACAUGAAUGCAGUUAUGAGAAUAUUGAGUUAUUUGAAAAAGAAGUCCAGGGAAAGGGAUUUUAUUUAAGAAGAAUGAUCAUUUUAGAAUUGAAGGUUAUAUGAAUGCUGACUGGGCCGAUUUUAGUAAUGAUAGGCCCUCAAUAUCAGGUUACUUCACCUUUAUUGGUGGAAAUUUGGUUACUUGGAGAAGCAAGUAGAAGGGUGUAGUAGCAAGGUCGAGUGCAGAAGUGGAAUACGGAAGUAUGGCCUUUCGUAUUUUUGAGAUUUUAUAUCUUAAACUACUAUUACAAGAUUUGGGCGUCAAACAUAGUCAACCGAUAAAGUUGUCUUGUGAUAAUAAAGCUGCUAGCGAUAUUGCUCAUAAUCCGAUGCAACAUGAUAGAACUAAGCAUGUAUGAGUUGACUUCCUCAACCCUACAUGAUGCCAAAUCCACUUGAGUAUUUACACACUCAAGGGAGAGUGUUAUAAACUUCUUAUUUAAGUAUGAUUGUGUAAAUCCUAGAUUCUAUUUGAUUCUAAUUAUUCUUCCCUAUUAGGACUUGUAUUCCUUGGAAGAAAAGAAUUUCUUCCCUACCUUAUUACUAUAAAUAAAGGCAUUGCGUAGGAGAAAUAACACAUUCUCUACACAACACUACAAACACAUCUCUCUCUCAAUAUUUUCUCUGUGUCGCCAGCCCGCUCUCACUGUCAGUUAAAUAUAGGACAGAACAAUAACAAUAUUAUUAAAGAAAAUAACAAAAUUAUUCCCAUUUUAAAUUUAAAAAAUUAUUAAUCCAUAAACUACAAAUGCCUUCUCGCCGUUAAUGUCCACGUCAACACAGAGAAAUCUAUUCACAGAGAGAGAGAUCGAAGACGCCGCAGAGUCUGUUUACUCUGCAAUUCAUUCAUCUCGGCUUUCUUCUUUCCGGACACGGCCACUAUCUGGUUUCUGAUACGGCGUCGUAUCCGGUCGAAAUCCCAGCUCCAACUGCCACUGUUGGCGGUUAAACUCCCCCGAAUCAGGCGGGACACGCUCUUCGCCAUCCCACUUAUCCACAUCUGUCUUUCCUCUGCCCACAACUGUAAUAUCAAAACAGUCGAAUUUUCAGAAAAGUCUCCGCCACCGUCACGGCCACCGUCUCAGCCGUUGUUUCCAGCGUCUCCGAUGGAGAAAUCGAAUCUUUUCAGAGGCAGUUACCUCAACGGAGCUUACCAUCCUUCCUUCUCUUCUUCUUCUCGCGCCGAUGUCAAUUACAGGUCCCAUCUCUCUCUCUAAGAUCAGUCUUUUUAUUUUUCAUAAAUUAGAAUUUUUAUUUUUAUUUGAUAGAUCGAAAUAAAAUUUGAAUCUUUGCUAUCUGGGUGGAUUUAAUUGUUGAUUAUAUUUUAAUUAAUUAAUGGAGAAGGAGUGAAAAAUUGAAAGAAUUGGCAGGAUUUGUUUUGUGUUUAAAUUGAUUGGCAACAGAAAUUCUUUGGAUUAAACAAAUAAGGAAAUAUUUUUUGAGAUCUGUGAAAAGGGUCCUCGACAAAACUGCCAAAAAUGGUGUUAAAUUUCAGUUCUUGGAUCAUUCUUGCAGCUUUUGAUAUUUCAAUUUCAGUUCCUUGAGAUUGCAAUUGUUUAGUUUUGUAUCUUAUAGGAAACAGUGGAGUGCAUUUUUGCUCACUCACGACGGAUGACCGAUUGUUAUUAGAUGAGCGUGAUUUAAUCUAUGCAUUACAGAAAUCUCAAAAUUUAAACUCAUCGGAAUGAUAAUCAAUAUAAUGGUGAUGCGUAAGUGGUGAGCAAGAAUAUUGCCGAAAGAGUGGUAUAGAAAGGGUACCUAUUUUCGCAUUUCUCUUCAAGCCUCGACACUCCGAACUGAAUAUUCUAUAAUUUUAUCUACAUUCGCGGGAGGAGUGUAGGAAAUUAACAUAGCACUGCUAAAAUUACUGACCCACGUUUAUCAUUUAGUAACACUAGUUGAAGUAUUGUCACAGUGGAUUAGCGGUAGAACAAUUACCUCAGCCUACUUCAAACCAUAGCGGACUUCCAAAUUUCUAAGACCUUGUUCGUAAGAAGUGCUAAGAGUAUAAGGAAAAUUUAGUUUUUAUUGUGAAAGGAGCAUAAAUAUUCAAAACUCCGAGUCAUUUCAAUUUACUUGUCCUUAAGUUCUUAAUAUCAGGCCAAUUUACAGAACAUUUAACAUGAAAGUUGGUUUUUCAUGCAGCUGUGGUUCCUGUGGGUAUGAGCUAAACCUAUGUUCCAGCAACCGGAACACUACUACGAUUGGCUCUAAUAAGUAUGGAAAAUCUAUAAAGCGAGGGAUCAUAUCAUUCUUUAACAUCGAUGAGAGCAGAUUUACUCAGGUUGAUGAAUUUAAAUGUAAACCCCAUUUCUCUAAGCGUUCUUGGGGUUUGUUCAGCCGAAGGACUAAACUUCUUUGUCGCAAGUGUGGUAACCAUAUAGGAAAUGCUUAUGAUGAGUACACUUCAUCGUCUUGCCCGCUUGUGUUAGAUGAAUCAGAUUCAUCCGCAGGUCAUGAAGUUACUAAAUGCAGAAAAUUUGAUGUUAGAAUUUGCGCUUUGCAGCCUUCAAAUUCUGAAGAAUUUGGCACUUCAAUUUUGGAAUGAAACUCUGUACGGAUUGUAUCGUUUUUGUGUUUUACCCCUUUUAUUAGAAUGUUACUUGUAUAUAAAAGUUUGAUCAGCAUUGAAGGAAUUGUGGUGUGGAAUUUUUGAAGUGCUUUGAAUGAUUGAGGAAAAUUUGUUAGAAGCUUAGAACAUAGCAUUGCUAGUUUCUUCAAUUUGUUGGAGUUAUAUAAUGAACUACUCAUUACUCUUUUCCGUCAUUUUUUCGGGUGAGUUUUUGUGGGGGUACUUUGGCAGCUCUCUCACGCUAGGGUUAGACCUGAGAGAGCUGCCUAGGGCAAAUUUACUCGAGAAUUCUCCUAUCUGUCAUUUCUUGUAUUCAUAGAAAACAAACUAAACAAUAAUACAUUAUACAAAUCUACAUAGAACAAAAUGGCAUCCAAAGAUUUUAGUUAUUUGAUAUCGGAAGAUUCAGGGCAUGGGUGUUAAGAAUCAAGAUACGCAUUAUCUUACCUUUGAAAAUCAAUGCUGUGUUUUUCUUCUUCUUAGGUUUGGACUAUGCAAGUCACGGACAAAAAUAUUGAAAUGUCCAUCAAUUGGUCGGCUUACAAAAUUUUGACGGAAAUAUUCAAAUUGUCUAUUUGUACCUUCGAAAAUGCAUUUCUACAAAAGAGAGGCAAGAAUUCACAAAUCAAUAACAUUUAUUACGGUCACUUAGUACUACUGUCUGUUGGUUUUCUUCUUCGCUUGUAAGUAAGAAGCUUUAAGUUCGAAUCAUUCGAUACCAAUUAGGUUGCCCAUUGUGUGGUUAGCUGAACUCUUCCUCCCCUUAGCAUAAAAUAUAUCAUUGUACUAAAAAUAAAAAAUAAAUAACAAUUUAGUGUGAAUAAACUUUUUCUUUAAUACUUUUAAUAAGUUAUUUAUGCGAGUAUGUAAUUUGUAAGGAGGAAUGUCUCCUUAAUUUGAAGGAGCCAAACAACAUUCUUCUACAAAUGCAAAAUUUGAGUAGUGGCUUUCUGAUGUGGUCCAAUAAAAAGAUGUGACAGGUUCUUUAUUUAUUAAAGCCCAUAAAAAAUUUAAAUUUAUCAUGUCUAUUAUUUUAUAAAUUAAUAAAACACGUGUUAAUAAAUUAUUGGGCUAGAUCGUAAAGUCAAUAUAACGACAGUGACAAAUACUAUCCGUUAAGUAAAAUUCUCCUUGCACUAUAAAACAAACAGUAGUGCCCUCUUGAAUUUACUUGUCAUAUGCAAAAAUGUUUCUGGUAUUAUUUUGCUCUUGCAUGCUUUUGUCAAUCAUAUAUAUCACCAAUUUUACUGCCUUGGCUUUGGAAGGCUGAGUUUCCAGCAAUCUUUUAACUUUGGAGACUCUAAUUCAUGGUGAAUUGGCACACUCCUUACGGCGAGACUUUUUUUCCGUAGGCCGGCUAGAUGAUUCUCCGACGGCCGCCUCGUAAUGGAUUUCCUGGGUAAGUAUUCCACCAUCUCUUAGUUUACUCAAAACUUGUUUAUCCUUUGGAUGACAAUUUAAACAUGAAUGGUAGUUAGAGAGAGCACUCUUUUCUGUUAUUCCAAGGCUCUUUCUAUAGGACAUGUCUACAUAAGUAGCACACAUCAUAUACUUUGUUUGUUCUCAAUUAUAAAUCAUUGUUUUUUUUUUCUUUAUGAAGUAACCGAUGUUGUGGUCUAUUUUAUCUAACAAUAUUUAGGGUGGCCGGCGGCAAGGAGAAGAGAGAAAAGAGAGAUGUGUUUGUAGAAUUGUAGGGGAAUGUGUGUUGUUAUCCCUCCUACAUUGUGCCUUUAUUUAUAGUAGUAGAAGGAAAGAAGAUAUUCCUUCUUCCCCAAGUAAUACAAGUUGUAAUAGGAAAGGAUAAUUAGAAUCAAAUCUAAUCUAGGAUUUACACAAUCACAUUUAAACUAGGAAUGUUUACAGCACACCCCCUUGAGUGUGUAAAUACUCAAGGUAGAUUUAGUAUUAUGCAGAAGUUGAGGAAGUUGACUCAUCGGAACUGAUUCCAAGGAACAACGCUUAUUCUCAAUAAUGUAGGAACUUGCAUAAGUAAUAAGUCUCACUAAAAAACCCUAAGGCUAUGGCAAAAACCCAAAGAGGGACAAAAUCCAUGGUCUAAGGAAAAAUGUGUGAGAAAUGCAAAAGUCAAAGAAACGUCUACGGGACAUCAUCAGGGAUAUGACUAGUCCAAGGUGGGUGUCUUGUUAAAACCUAGUUAAGUAUCAAAAACCCAGCAGGAAAAAUGCUCCUAAUCGUAGGGGAAAAGACUACAUUAAGAUCAAACAAGUAUCUACAGGAUACUCUCCCUGAGUUUGACAUAAUUCCAAAGAGAAAUAGCAAAGUUACAACUCAGAAAGUUUACGCAUACCAAUUCCAUGAAGAAGCUUCUGAAACGCCGUCUUAGGCAUUGAUUUGGUGAAGAGAUUGACCAGAUUGUCUUGUGAACAGAUUUGCGUGACUUUAAUCUUCUGAUGCUCUUGUUGUUGAUGUGUAAAGAAAAACUUCGGCGUAAUGUGCUUGGUGUUGUCUCCUUUGAUGUAACCCUUCUUGAGCUAUUCGAUGCAAGCUGCGUUGUCUUCAAAGAUCGUCGUCGGGAUAUCAACGAUGGGAUGAAGAUCACAAGAGCUUCGAAUAUGGCCUACUACUGCUUUCAACCAAAAGCAUUCCCGAGUUGCUUCAUGUAAGGCGAGAAUUUCAACAUGGUUAGACGAAGUGGCAACUAAGGUCUGUUUAGUUGACCUCCAAGAUAUUGCGGUGCCUCAAACGGUAAAGACAUAACCUAUUUGAGAGCGCGCCUUGUGGGGAUCAGAUAAGUAUCCUACGUCGGCAUAACCAACAAGGCGAGAAUCAACUCGAGGAACAUAGGGUGCGGCAUCAUUCGAGGAUUCGUAAGGAUAGAACAAGCCCCCGUAAUACCCUUAAGGUAACGGAAGAUGUCUUUCACGCCAAUCCAGUGUCUGCAUGAAGGUGUAUUACUGUAUCUUGCCAAAAGAUUAACAAUGAAGGAGAUGUUGGGUCUAGUGCAUUGAGCUAAGUACAAUAAAGCGCCUAUCGCACUUAGAUAAGGAACUUCAAGCUCUAAAAUCUCUUCAUCAUCCUCAUUCAGACGGAAGGGAUCUCAUUUUGCAUUUAGCGAACGAACGACCAUAGGAGUACUCAAAGACUUCGCUUUAUCCUCAUUAAAGCGGUGCAGCACAUUCUGGGUGUAGUUCGAUUGAUGUACUAGCAUUCCAUCCGAACAAUGCUCUAUCUCAAGACCGAGACAAUAUCGAGUCUUACCUAGAUCUUUCAUCUCAAAUUCCGACUUCAAGUGCGAGGCAGUUUUUGCGAGCUCUUCAGGAGUUCCAAUAAGAUUCAUGUCAUCGACAUAUACUACUGCAACAAUCGCAAAUCCUGAAUGUGACUUCUUAAUGAACACACAAGGGUAUAGUUCAUUGUUCACAUAUCCCUGACUAUUCAAAUACUCACUUAGAUGGUUAUACCACAUUCUUUCAGAUUGUUUCAAAUUCCGACUUCAAGUGCGAGGCAGUUUUUGCGAGCUCUUCAGGAGUUCCAAUAAGAUUCAUGUCAUCGACAUAUAUUACUGCAACAAUCGCAAAUCCUGAAUAUGACUUCUUAAUGAACACACAAAGGCAUAGUUCAUUGUUCACAUAUCCCUGACUAUUCAAAUACUCACUUAGAUGGUUAUACCACAUUCUUUCAGAUUGUUUCAAACCAUAGAGUGAACGCCUCAGCCAAAUUGAGAGCGUGUUUCGGGGUAUGGAAGUAUUUGAACCAGUCAAUGCAAGUCCUUCGAGAACUUUCAUAGAGAUUUCCGUAUCAAGAUCCCCAUAGAGAUACGCGGUUACUACGUCCAUCAACUGCAUAUCCAGUUUUUCAGAAACUACCAAAUUGAUAAGGUAGCGAAAAGUAAUCACAUCCAUAACGGGUGAAUAAGUUUCGUCAUAGUUAAUCACUGGGCGUUGUGAGAAGCCUUGUGCAACAAGACGAGUUUUGUAAGGCACAAUUGUCAUCUUCAUUUUGAGUAAAACCAAACAAUUUGAUUUCAGUGUCAAAACAAAUGUUCCAGCUCGAAGAGGCUUGCUUAAAUCCAUAAAUGGGCCUCUGAAGCUUGCAUACCUUAGUCUUUUCAGACUUGGACAUGAAACCUUUAGGUUAAGUCAUAUAGAGCUCUUCCUCUAGAUAGCCAUUCAGAAAGGUCAUCUUCACAUCCAUUUGCUAUAUCUCAUAAUCAUGGUAUGUAGCUAUAGCAAGCAAAAUCCAAAUGGACUUAAUCAUGGCUACAGGAAAGAAGGUUUCUUUAUAGUCAAUUCCUUCUUGUUGCCGGUAACCCUUGGCUACUAGUCUAGCCUUAUAAGUCCCCACGUUCCCAUCAACUCCUAUCUUUUUCUUGAAGACCCAUUUGUUUCCAACAGGUACGAUACCUUCUGGAGGGUCUACAAGAGUCCAGACCUGAUUUUGACAUAUGCUUCACAAUCCCAAAUCUUAAUAUGAUUAAGACUUGGCUUUCUCCCAUGCCAUAUCUCAGAGGGCGUCUGUGAAAUUAACUUGGAGGGUACUCUAUUAAGCAAGUAAGCUGCUGUAUAUAGAGCGUAUCCCCAUAAUGUUACUGGUAGAUCGGCGAAACUCAUCAUAGAACAAACCAUGUUCAUCAAGGUUCAAUUUCUCAUUUCAAAAACUCCAUUAAGUUGUGGAGUUCCUGUGGAGUCCACUGUGAUAUUAUUCCACACUGUUUGAGAUAAUCUAGGAACUUGUUACUUAGAUACUCUCCCCCUCGAUCUGAUCUUAGGAUCUUUAUCUGCUUCCCAGAUUGCUUCUCAACUUCGUUCUUGAAUUCUUUAAACUUUUCAAAGGAUUUUGACUUGUACUUCAUAAGAUACACAUAGCCAAACCGAGAGUGAUCGUCGGUGAAUGUGAUAUAAUAGGAGAAGCCUCAUCUCGACGUAGUAGACAUAGGUCCACAUUCGUCAGUGUGGAUUAACCCUAGAAUUACAGUGGCACACUCUCCCUUCCCAGUGAAUGAAGACUUGGUCAUCUUCCCUUACAAGCAACAUUCACAAGUACCCAUUUGGUCAUUACCUAAUGGGCGGAAAUAUCCGUCUUUCAACAUCUUGCGAAUCUUAUCAAGGUUCACAUGUCCAAGUUUAAGAUGCCACUUAUUUUCUUGGUUAACUUCUUCUCUAGCCCUUUUGGGUUUUGAGGUAUUCUUGCUUUCAAUACAGUGCAUCCUAUUACUUGUCUCUGGGUGAAAAAGUCCAUCUAUCAUAUUACCAUGAGAGAUAAUACAACCGUUCAAGUAUAAAGUGCAACUCAUUUUGCCAAAAACAAAACUGAGUGCCCAUCUCAUAAAAGCAUAGAGAUGGAAAUCAAAUUAUUUAUACAUGAAUGAAAAUAUAAACAAUUUUUAAGUUCCAAGACUUCCCCAGAGGGUAGUUUAAGCAUGUAGGUGCCUAUUACUUUUGCAGAGAUCUUAGUGUCGUUCCCAACUUGCACAAUCAUCUCCCCAUUGCGCAGUGUCUUGCUCCAUGUUAGUCCUUGCAACAAAUUGCAGAUAUGUUGACUAGCACCUGAAUCAAAUAUCCAGGAAUUGGAGCUUACUGUAAAAGCACUCUCUAUGAUAGAAACAGUCCCUUCAAAAGUUCGUGUUAUAAAGCUCGCAAUACGCACCCUAUAUUUCUUCUUCCAACGUUCAUCCUUUCCACAAUGAAAGCAUUUUCCUUUGGAUUUUCUUGCCUUCUUCUUAUGUAGCAUUUUCCUUAUGAUUGCAUUCUCACUCCCAUUGUCUUUUUUGAAACCUUGUUCAAAUUCACAGCACAGGUCAAUCAUCUUUGAAAUAGUACGAUCGAAUCUAUUCAAUUUAUAGUUUACUAUAAACUUAGUGAAUUCAUCUGAGAGAAAUGCAAGGAAAAAGUCUUAGGCCAUUUUCCCAUUGAUGGAAGUUUCUAAACUCUCAACAUCUUGAAAGAUCAUUUCCAUAUUUUGUCCAUGUUUUUGGACCGAUGCCCCCUUUCCAUUUUGGCAUUCAAUAGACUACAAACAUUUGAGAAUCGUAGAUUACUAGUCCCAAUGUCAUGCAUCUUAUGCAAACUAUCAACCAUGGCACAAGAAAUGUCCAUGUGCUUAUGUAGCUUCUUAAACUCCUCACUAAGGGAAGUAAGGAUUAAGCAUUUGGCUUGUAAGUCAUCCUCAUAGUAUCUAGCAUAAUUUUGACACUCCUCAUUUGAAGCUAGUUUCGUAGGAGGUACAUGAGGAGGGGAUUGCUUGAGCAUAUACGAUAUGUUAUUCAUCUUUGAGACAUUCUCAAUGUGAUGAUACCAAGCAAGGAAACGUUGGCUCUUAAGGCUCUUUUUGUCAAUUAUAAUGGUAGGUGUAAUUUUAGGUAUGUCGUUGACUACAUAACAUAACAAAAAUCGUAUUAGAUUGUUGAUUUUAAAAAACUACUUCAUUGGGUCUUAAUAUUACCACCCUCUAAUUUUGGCAAAUUCCACAUCCCUCAAUGGAAUCCAAGAGUUAUGUUGAACUCUUAGCAGGAUAUGGGAGGGUCAUCAUUACCAAGCCCACCUCACAAUGAUAUGAUGUUGGUUAGCGACAAUAAUGAUGAGAGAAUAAUGCCUUAGUCAUUUACAACUCUGGUACUUACCCAUCUAGUUUGGCUUCUAGAGAAUGAUGCCUCAUAGUGAUAUGAUGUUCGCACCAUUGCACUUAAUUAAGUCAUUCCCACCAUGCUAGUUCAUGUAGGGGUUCGAGAAUAACCUCACAAUAUGAUGUUGGCCAUCCUCGUGCCUACCUCAUCACAUCAUGUAUGUACAUAUGGACUCCUCCUGAAUGUAAGUGAUAUGAUAUUAACUAGCACUCAAAUUAACCCUCUUUUUAUCAAUUGUAGCAAAGUAUGUAAGUAGGGAUCGUUCUAGGCUGGGGAUUAUGAGGGAUUGCUAAAUCACUUGAAAACUGACUCAAAUACGUAAAAACAAGUUUAAAACACUAAACUAGACUCAAAGAAUGCAAAACUAAACUUUAACACACCAAAAUAAACCAAAAGACUCAAAACAGCAAACAAAGACUGAAAACUGCCUUGAAAACACUUUCUGGGCAGUUUCUGACACCAAGGAAAAAUUUGGACGAAAAUUGGUUAUAACUUGACUCAAGACACUUAAAAACACAAACUAAAUUGAUUUCUAACUAAUCUAACACUUCAAAAUAAAUGGGGAUUUGGUUUUGACGAAAAUUGCAAACAAAAACAAAACUUGUAAAUUGAACAGAUUCUAAAACGAAUUUGGUUGAAUUGAAGGGAUGGAAAACUAGCUAAGGGGUUAUUUUCCACACAUGUCACACUUGCAUACAAAACGAUUUCUAAUUCCAAUUCAAUAAACCAUGAAUACUCAACACUCCAAGUUAAUUAGGUCCGCUUAAAUUAACUUUCAGAUUUCCCUUAUGUCAAUGAAUUGGACGGAAAAAGCGCAUCGCAAUCAACUAUUCCUCAAAAGUUUUCUAUAUGAAAGCGCAUAAUAAAGAUACAAUAAAAAAUCAUUACGUUCAAUGGAAAUCAUAAGUCUUGACGAGGCACUCGUAACUAUGAAAGCGCAUGAAACUUAUGCCAAGAAUUUACUUAACACAAUUGUGAUCAACAACUUUUACUACUUGUGAAUAUAAGUUCAUAACGAUUAGGUGAAAUUUCCUUAUAUUCUAGCAUUAGAUUUAUGCAUGAAAAUUAAGCGUGCACUCUCAACCAACACACACAAAUCAGUUGAAUUCAAAUAGAUAAGCAAAUUGAAUCCACAACUUAUGAAACGCAAUUAGAAGUAAUAAAAUCAUAUAGCAAGCAUAAACAUGGUUUCGAAUCCCCCCUAGCCAAGGGGGGUUUAGUUCCUCAUACUCGCGAAGCAAAGAUACAUAAAUUUAGACAUUAAAAUUCAAAGAAAGAGAACACCUAAAACGCUCCAACUUCGCAGCAGGUGCAUCCACGAUUCCUCCUUCCUCCUUGCUGCGACACAGAGACUUUGGAUAGGUUUUGGGUGAUAUUUAUAUGGGGGAAACAAUAUGGGAUGGUAUGGUAGUGGUUAUGGUUGAUGGGUGGUGCGGCAAGGGGUUGUUUUUGGCAGAAAUUUGGGAGAAUGGUGGUGGAAGGCUACGACAAAGGGCAAGGCAGAUUUCUGGUGUGAAUUUGGAAUUAUGAGAGGUGGUGGUGUGCGGCAAAGGUGUAGAGAUAUAUAUAUAUAUAUAUAUAAGCACCAAAAACCCUAGCAAAUCAGAUUAGGGUUUCUAGAAAACCAAAUCCAUCAGAAAAUAGGUUAAAACAAUCAGAUUUUGAAUGGGAAAAGGCCUAGGGUGCUGCUGGAUGGAUAGGGUAAAGGAUUGGCCUUCUAGAAUGCCUUGCAAGGCAAGGAAAAGGGUUUCUAGAAAAGGAGAUGUGCUGCAGGUUUAGGGGAAUAUAGAUAGGGCUUCUAGAAAGCCCAACACCAAGAAGAAAUAAGCCCUAACCCACGACAAGGAUGAGAAAUUAUUCUAGAACCUUUCUUUGUGUCUUCCAACGCUUAGGAACCUUCUAAUGUUGCUAAAACUCAAGGCUAUUUAGGUUUAGGAAAGAUCAACCCAAAGUGGAAACUUUUAGGCUUAGCUUUCCUACUUCAAGUAGGAAACCUCGUUUGAGUAGGAAUCUUCAUUCUUCUAGGAAUCCAUCUUCAACUAGGAAUCCCUCGUUGAUUAGGAAUCCUUCUUCAAUUAGGACUCCCUCGUUGAUUAGGAAUCCUUCUUCAAUUAGGACUCCUCCUUGGACUAGGAAUCCUCAAAUCUUCAAAUCUUCAAUUUCAUCCAAACCUUGUGUUCCAAGCAUGUACUAUUCAAUCCACGCUCACUUUUGCUCCAAAAAGCUCCAAAUUGCCUCAUUUUAUGUAAUAUGCCCUUAAAACCUGAAAACACAUGAAAAUAGCUUAAAAGACUACUUUAACUAAGAAAACAUAACGAAAAUGCAUAAGAACUAGCUAACUAAGGAGCAUAAAUAUGCUCCUAUCAAAUUCCCCCACACUUAGCUUUUGCUAGUCCUCGAGCAAAACAAAGAAACAAAAGAAAAACAAAAUGAAACAAAACAAACAAACAAAACCUAACCCUUCCAACGUUUGCCUCAGGGAUUUCCAAUACACAUGACAUAUUAAAAAUCAUCCUUCCCACAGAUUUUAGUCAUCUUCACACUUAAGCACAUACUUAAUCAUAGUCACCACGUACUAGUUCACAUUCAACCAAUUAAAACAUGAUUUUGAAUGUAGUAACAUGCCUUAGAGAAUUUGCUCACUUCCUUACUAGAUAUGCACUCAAUUUUCACUCAGAUUUUCUAACUACACACCCUAUACUAGUUAUAUGUGAGAAGAUUGAUGUAGAUAUAAAAACGAACGCUCACAUAUAUAUAUAUAACAAAGAAAGCAUUUUCUGGAGUUAAAUAACAUGUUUAGAUAUGAUCUCAUGAAUGGAAUGCUACUACUUAGAUGCGAGAACCAGUGACACCAUAUGCUCAUACCAAUUCUAAACUCCACAAAUUGAAACACACAGCACUCAAGAUUGAAGUCAAGGGUUGUAACGGGGCUAAGGGUAUUGGCUAACAAAGAAAGGUAAAGGAUAAACAAACGUUCUUAAAACAAUAGUAAGCAAAGCAAUGAAAUUGACACUUAGAAUUCACUUUUGACUGCAAAAAUCAACCUUAAACACAAAGGGAAAGUUCAUGCAACACUUAGGGUCAAAUACAAUGUUUUGGACCCUUUAUUCAACAACCAACACUUUAGAGCUCCACUUCACAUUUUUUCAACUCUUUUUCAUACUUUUCACCACUUUUUCGUUUAUCCUUUCUAUUUUCCAUGAAUUUUUUUUUCUUUUUUUUUUGUUUUUUUUUUGUUUUUUUUCUACCCAUGCCUCAUUUAAGACUUUGGCACACACACACAAAGGAUCACUUUCCCCCACACUUGUUUUCUGCCAUACAUUGAUCAAAAGGAAUUCUUUUUUGAGUCAUGCUUACUAUGCUUCAAGAACAAAGGUAAGGAUGGUCCUAAUCUAGGCUAGGUACGGAUCAUGUGGGUGAACAAACAAUAUAGGCUAAACAAGGCUCAACGGGGUUAAACCUACAAAAACAAAUGCAUGGAAUGAAGGCUUUUUGGCUAUGGUGGUACUACUAAACAACUUCAUCUCGAAUAUGUGUCAUGCAAUUCAAUAACAUGUUUUGAAUGAAAUAGGCAUGAGUUCUAGCAUUUGGAACUGAAUAAUGAAACGCCUUCUAAGCAGAAACCAAGCAAAGAAUAAUGAAAUCAGGCAACGACUUUAGAAAACAAGAAUGCACAGAUUUUAACUCUCCAAAUAAACGUUUAGGCUCAAGUCUCACAAGGUUGUAGCGUUAGUUUGAGUUCCUUCCUUCAAGCAUGUUACAAAAACUAAUUUUUCCUUUGUGAUUACAUGUGAAUUCAUAAGUUAUAACCACAACCAAGCAUAAACCAAAGAGUAAAUCGAACUUUCAUCCAUGUUUACAACUCUCUUUAACAGUCAUGCAAUUAAAAACUGAAUCCUCAUCAUUGUGUUGGAAGGUACCCUAAGACACAAACAAACACACAAAACAACUUUAAAACGACUCUUUUUGGUUUUUUUUUUCAAAACAUUUUUUUUCAAAUUUUUUCUGGGAUUUUCGGAUUUUUAUGUAAAACACACUAAAAUGCAUCAAAACAGCCUAAAAGCACCUAAAAACAGCAAGGAACAACAUUGGAAAUUAUGGGUGAUACAACCCUACGAAUUUGCAUCAAAACACUUUGGUUACCCCCCACACUUAAAUCAAACAUUGUCCUCAAUGUUUCAAGCAUAAACUAACACAAAUAACAAAUAAACAAACAAACAGCAACUAACAUAAUAAACAUGGCAGAAACGAAAUAAACAACAAAGAGAAGGGUGUAGGAACGUAAAUCUGGAAUUGGAGUGAUUCCUUGGUCUUCCUUUGUUGCAUGCAUAGGUUGCCUCCCAAGAAGCGCUUUCUUUAACGUCUUGCAGCCGGACGAUGCUCCAUUGAAGGUUUAUGGAACCCCACGGCAUGGAGGGGUUUUUCCACAACCUGUCAUACGAAAUACUUCAUGCUUUGGGUCCUUGAAUGGAAUGGGAUAAUGAUCGUUUCUUAUUGUCAUGUUUUGCUUCUCUAACUCAACACGAACUCUCCCACCACGUUCACUUCGAUUAGGUACCUGCACCAUACAAGGUAGCAACCUAUUAGUUGAAAUGGGAAUCGAAAUUGGAAUAGGUGGCUUACCUUUGUACGGCAAAGAAGUGGUAUCAUUAUGGACAGAUGCACAAGGGGUGCACUCGGCCAGAUUUGGUGAUUUCAAGGUUGGGGCCGUGCACUCUUUGUUGUUCACUCCAAUUCCUUCCUCGAUGGUGGGUUGUGGUACAUUCUUCUUGACUAGUGUUGAACAUUCCUGCCCUAUAUUUUCAAUUACAUUAAUAGCACAACAAGAAUGAACAUCAUUAGUAUUCUCAACCGAUUCAGAAAUCUUAAAGUUAAUCAUAUCACCACCAAAGGCCAUAGUUACUGCUCCCUUGGCCACGUCAAUCUUGGUUUGAGCCGUUUUCAUGAAUGGUCAUCCAAGUAAGAGUGGUGAUGGUGGAGAGUGGGUUGAGUCCUCUAUAUCAAGCACAUAGAAAUCUGCAGGAAAAAUCAAGUGGUCUACCUGCACCAAAACAUCUUGCAACACUCCUUUGGGAUAUGCAUUAGAUCGAUCGGCUAAUUGAAUAAUAACUCCAUCAUUUUUAAGCUUUCCUAGAUUCAUAGAUGCAUAAACAGCAUAUGGCAUGACAUUUAUAGAUGCACCUAAAUCUAACAUAGCAUGAUCAAACCUCGUAUUGCCAAUAACACAAGGGAUAGUGAAACUACCUGGAUCUUUGCAUUUAGGUGGUAACUUUCUUUGCAACAAUGCAGAUACAUUCUCACUUACGUGUACCACCUCUUUCUCCCGAAUCCGUUUCCUUGUUGUACAAAGCUUCUUAAAAAACUUGGCAUACUUCGGGAUUUGCUUUAUAGCAUCAAGGAGUGGGAUAUUGACAUGCACCUUCCUAAACGUCUCGAGAACAUCUUUCUCCUAUUCUUCGUUCUUGGCUUGCAAAAAUCUGCUAGGAAACGGUACAUUCAAAGGAAUGACAUUAGAAUUAACUUGAAUUGGACCUUCCUUACCUAUGGUGGCCGAAUUGGAAUGCUUGGGUGGUUGCGGCAAGGGUGUUUCUACCCUUGCCGUGGCCUUUGCUUGGUUCUCCUCCCCAAUUUGCAACUUCUCGUCCUCCUUGGGGGCAGAUUUCGAUGGUUGUGGCUCAGUUCCUACUUCUUUCCCGCUCCUUAGCAUGAUGGCCUUGGCAGUUUCAAAUCAUCCCCUCGGAUUGACAACAGUUGAACUUGGCAACUUG